UUUUUUUUUUUUUUUUUUUGUAGUUGAACGUGGAUCUUUUGAUGACCUUCUAGUCUAUUUUAUUGCUUUUUAUUGAACGAAACUUACCCAUUUGCGGAAUUAGGCGUGUAGGUGCUACAUAAUUGAUAUUCACCGACUUUAUCUGCAGGCUUCAAAGGUUGAAAUAUCAUCCUUUCGUUUCAAAAGAUAAGAAGACAACUCUUGGCAGAAAUGGAUUCAUAGCUACACACCAAGAAUGAAAAGCAAAGAAUAGCACAAAUUUGGCCAUACUUUUUUUUUUUUUUUUUGUAAUGGUUUUUUGUUGGGGAGAGAAAACCAACGGAAUAAUGACAAAUUGUCAUAAUUUAAACAACGCUAACAAGAGGAGCAUGGUCAUGCUGCAUGAACACAUAGCCAUAGAUGACACCGGCCAAGCCACCACCAAUGAGGGGUCCAACCCAGUAAAUCCAGUUGCCGCUGAAGUUACCGCUCGCCACGGCCGGUCCAAAGGAGCGAGCUGGGUUCAUUGAUCCACCGGAGAAUGGUCCGGCGGCCAAGAUGUUGGCACCGACAAUGAAACCGAUGGCAAUUGGGGCAAUGACACCCAGUGAACCCCUCUUUGGAUCAGCUGCCGUGGCAUAGACUGUGUAAACCAAAGCAAAGGUGGUGAUGAUUUCCAUCACAACUCCUUGAAGUGCUCCUACCCCGGCGGCAACACUGUGGAUUGGAAUAGCCUGACAAAAUUCACCACAAAAUUACAUUAGAAAAGGCAUCUAUAAUUUCGAAACACACUAAUUACGGACGUUAGAAAUGGAACUUACCAAGCCUCCAGUGACAACUUUGAGAAGGUAGGAAGCCACAAUUGCGCCCAAAAGUUGAGCAAUCCAGUAUAGGAGACCGGUGAGGAUGGUGAUUUGACCCCCCAGAGCCAAACCGAAAGUAACGGCGGGGUUGACGUGGCCGCCGGAGAUGUUGGCUGCAAUGGCGACUGCAACAAAGAGAGCAAAACCAUGGCAAACUGCGACUGCCACAAGCCCAGAAGGAUCAAGAGCCGCGUCUGAUGUCAGUUUGUCUGCCACAAAUCACAAUUUAUGUAAACAAGCUAGUCAAGAGAUUAUAAGCAAGCCAUAAAUGGCCUUAGUGACCAACUCAAAUCUGCAUGGGCAUGCAUGGGAUGAGGACUCCAUACUAGGUUUUUUGGGUCAUUGAGAUGCAUUGAAUGAUUGUAGGGAACAUUAAUAACACUAUCAGGUGUGUGCUAUUAUCGCUGCUAAAGAUCAAUGUUAUCUGUUAAAAAUGCAUUUCUCUUUUUCAUCUUUUUCUUGAACGUUAAAAUUGACUAGGCUUGUGUGAUAAUCUAGAAACUAGAAAGUAAAGGUACAUAAGGAAGCUUAUUUACUGUAGGCCAUGGCUGAACCAACUCCGGCGAAGACGAAAACCAAUGUGGAGAUGAAUUCAGCAAGAUAUGCCUUGAGAGACCCUACACUAAAUGAAUCAUCAAACCGUCCGAAAGCAAUUCCAGCCAUUCCUUUUUUUUUUUUUUUUUCCUUUUGCUUUUGGGGGGUGGUUGGGGAAGAAGGGGGAGGAAGAGGAAGAUAAGCCUGAGAGUUGAGAGCGGCGGAAGGCUGGAGCUAGAUGUAGGAAAUGGAUAGAAAGCUUUCAGAUGACAAAGCUACCUUUUCUGUCUCACGUACAAAUAUAUAUACUAAACACGUACAAAUAAAAUAAAGGUAUUUGGAUAGCAAAUUAUUCGUGAGUUUUGUUCCUGUAGCACAUGCCAUUUGCCAAAUUCUAAACCCAACCGAUAAUCAUUUAUGUAUGUAGUAAAGAUUAAGUAGUAGUAGUUGGAUUAUGUACUUGAUGAUAAUGUGACUGCUGGGUCAUCGAUAUUGGAUUGGGAUCCCGAGCUCCGGAUGACUGUUUUCCUCGUUAGAAGAUGAGAGGAAUAUGCUGUGUACAAUUAAUCCAUGCAUUUGCGAACAAGGGCUGUGUACAUACAUUUCUUGCAAUCCUCCUAGCUGUCCUUGACUAACAUGCCUUGGAUGCAAUUGUCAGGAAUGAUGCAUCCAUGUGAACCGACCAAUAGGAGAGGAGGCUAAUGGUGAAUGUCCCUUUUGGGGCCCCCCCCUUUCCCUCCCUUUGUGAUAAAAAAAAAAGGAACUAAGUCAAAUAAUGACACAGAGAGAAAAGGAAAGGAAGAAAGAAAGAAAGUGGUUUCCGGCAUGAGUUAACUUUGCGCCAAAAAGUGGACCGACCAUUACUUUUUGAAGAGGUAGGGAUGAUUGAUUGAGGAGGACUGAGUUGCUCAAAAAUGUGUGGAUGAGAAUGGAGUAGGAUUACUAAUUACUAUUUGCUAGCAUCUAAUUUUUGUUGCUUAAUUAUUGCAAUGCACACGUACGUACUUUCAAGGGGUACGUUUGAUCAAUGUAAUUGAUCAAUUCUAAGAUGGGAUUGGGAGGAAUCUUGUGAGGAGUUGUUGGCAUAUUUGGAGGUUUUGGCUCCAUCGUGGAAGAUAUUAAUUGUUGUACUAAAAAUGGGCUUAAUCAUUUACGUAUGUUGAUGCAUGGUUCAACAUGUCCAAUUGAAGAAUUGAAGCAUUUUGUUUUCGUUAGUGGAGGGAGGGAGGGUUCACAUGAUUCCUUUUGUCCUCUGGGACUGCAUCAGAAUGUUGUUAGUGACGACGUAUUGACAACUCCAAUUCAUCAAAUACUACUAUUCCACGUACGUUUAUUCACUUCACUACUAUAUAUUACUGUGGCCUUAUUCCAAAUUUGGUAGUAUCGAUCAAAUUGGAAAGUCUUGUGUCCUCAUAUGAUAUGAGAUGGUGGGGCUGGUAAUUAAAAUGAAUUAGCACUAAACUUCCAACUUAGUAGAAUGUGCACUUAAUAGGUAUGCCAUACAAAAUCUCUACAACUUGUAUCCAAUCGCGCUAUCAUUCAUCUGCGCACUCGCAAAAGGGAAUUGUCGACUUUUGCUUUUACACUUUCUGGCGCAUGAAUUGCCAUCGCCACAAGCUUUGUGAGUUAGUUCAACGGUACCACCCAAUGGCCGUGCUCUUCUUAUCAUCUCAGAAGGGCACCAAUACCACCUUUAAGCCUGAAUAAGGGCGUUCACGUAAAAGAACCUUAGACUUUCACACUUUUGGGCCUAGUGACUUUCACGGCUUUUGAAGGUUGUUCGGGGAUCUAGGUUUAUUUACACAAAAGUCUGAGUUUCUCAGCUUGGAAAAAGACUGCUAAGGCAAUAAAUAUGUAAUGGACAAAGAGUAAUCAUUAGUGUCCGUCCACAUUCUUUGAAAAUUGACAAACCCAUUUAAAAUGCCGGUCGUUUUCAAAGCGUCUCCUUGAAAACAAACUGAAAUCCCGUUUCUUUGAUACAAUCGGGCCAAGAUCCAUAUCGAGUGAUAUUUCUUAACAGAAAUCAAGUACUUGCAAAAAAAUGAUCUAGAUUCUUUUGGUUUCAUUAAAGAAUUUUCCAAUAAGCAAUGGAUAUUGGUGCAAGUAGAAGACAGGAAGAGGCUUGCAUCUCUUAUCGAUGAGAUCUCGGAUUCGAAACUCUUGGGAAUAGAAAAAAUAAUGUUGGGAGAGUUUUCCCUGCAAGGGGCCGAUCCUACUCGAAUAGAAUUAGUCGCAGAUCGUAAAACGGAUGCGAACACCUGUGGGUUAUACCUAAAAAAAAAAAAAAAAAAGAACUUUCCAAUAGGGGUCUAAUUUGAUACACACAUUACAAUUACAUUUAUUUUUUAAAUUAUAGAGUGCAUUUUUUUUUUUCAAAUUUAAGUUCACUUUUCCAGAAUGUUAGUACUUGCUCGUGACCUAUCUUUGCCCGUUACGCAAUCCCGUGACACUACUGAUCAGGUAGACCAAGCCAGCGUUCGUCUGCUUCUUAUGCUGCAAUUAGAACGGGACAUUGGCAUGUACCAACUCUAUUUCAUAUUUAUGGUCAGAGCUUGAUUAGAUUCUCAAGUUCUUAACCUAUCUGUUGAGUAUUUUUUGAACUUAUAUAGUUCCAAUGUAUAUAAACAGAAAUAGUGAAUAGUGAUGGACUGAUGGGAUGGAACCUUGUACUUGGCGAUCACGACCAAAACUCCAACCUAUCAACCCUACAGCGUAGAAAGCUUCUGGUUCUGGAGGGAGGCGUGGUGCAGCGGCUGAUACGUUAAAAUGAUAGAUAGGCAGCAUUAAAAGGGGUUGUUGGCUAUACCGCAACGUCGCAAUUAAGAGCUUAAUAGAGAGAGAGCCAGGAGAAAUUUAGGCAUUAUCCGACCACCAUCAAGUACUAAUUGGACGUUCUUUUCUUUUAUUCUUUCCUUUUGGAUCAGAAAAGUUCUUUUCUAUGUCAGGCGAGAACGGAAAACACAAAACUCUCAAGAAAGGAAUUUUUUGUCCAAUGAUCUUAAACAUGGGCAGAGCCAGAUAAGAAAAUCGAGGUUAAUGAAUCCCAAGUUUUUUCUACUUUCAGUUUUUGCAGCUAGAUUUUGAAGAAAUUUGUCUUUUAGGAUAUAUAUCAGAGGCAACUGCGAUUAGAAUUUAUUAGAGACCAAGAGACGACAGAAUUUCCAUAUUCAGGUACUUUGGGGUCAGUGAGGCCUUAGUUUGGUUACGCAACAGAAAGUGAUUAUCUGAUAUCCAGACUCGGGAUAAAAAUCCCAAUUGGCAAAAAUCUUAAUUUUAGUUCUUACUGGUGUAUGAGUUCUUGUUCAUAUGUAAGUUUACUGGCCGGAACUGAGACUUUUCAGCAAUGCCAAUAUGCUGAUUUCAUCACUGUUGAAAUGAACCUGGAAACUGGAAAUAUGACUCUAAAUUGAGGAAUGAAACAAAUUGCAUUUACAUUUGCAUGCAUGUAGUAAUUGCCAGCACCGAACUUCUGUCAAAUUCGGCAAGUGGAUAAAAUAAACCGCUGUUCAUGGGGGUGGGGUAACAGUUUUUUAAACCGAGAAGAUAGCAAUGCCAGUAGUUAUUUAUGGACCAGCUACUUAAUUUACUGGAACAUGGCUCUUGCCUCUUGGCUUGGGUAGAAAUAGACACUGUGCCCAUUGCCUUGCUGAGAAUGUAUUGAUGUUAUGUGCGCCCACGUAUUCAACAACUGUUCUCCCUCAUCGUUUCACGAAUUGAUUCAUGACGCGAGAGCUUUGUCAAUUUAAUUUUAGAGUUUAGUCAUUCACCAACGGGUAUUUACUAUCACUAUUGUGUUCGUUGAAACUUGAAAACAAACAGUACAACACCAGUGCCAACUUAAUCAAGUAGAAAUUAUAGCAAGAGGUCCAACAAAAACGGGGACUCCUACCACACAGGAUCCUCAGUACUAUUUUUUCUGUGACAAUUCAGUGUGAUUUCUAUAUUUAUGUCAAAUGUCCUGUUCAUUUAAUUUAUCAAGUGUUGUUUAUUUAAAUUUCUUCUACCAUCACGUGAUAAGUGGAAUUGGCAUUGGAUUUGACACCGAAUAGUGACACAGAGAGGAUCCCAACUGAUCUCCUACCCGCCCUUGUGCAUUAUGAUAAGCAGUAAGCUACUCCAAUCCAAUACCUUACCUGGCAGUUCUAUAGUAUUAACUAUUAACGCCACCUGGUCCAGAGUUCAAAGUGUUUCACUUGAGCGAUCAAUAUAGCAAAUUCAUGCGUUCAAGUUGAUUACCUCACUGAAUCAGAUUAUUCCUUCUACUCUUAACCAGUGCCACUUUGAGCCCCAACUCAUCUGCAUGCUAUGGAAUUCAGUGGGGAAAGAACUCUUUGGAGUUUUGUGGAUGAGGAGAAAAAGAACAUAAACUUGCCAAGGAGACUUUCAUUUGGAAACCAGGAGCUUGAUUCUCAUUUGGCUUCCGCAAGAACAUCUUGUGCUUCUGCCGCAUCUUUCCCACUCUGGCCGAUGAGCCCUGAGACCCCGUGGACCAGAUCUCCGUUGCAUGCAUCCGCAUCCCCAAACUCAUCUCUUCUCUACCAUUGUAUAGCCUCUCUCCAUCGCAGUGAAGGUAAAAUCUUCUCCAUAGCCGCAUCAAAAGACUUUGUCUUCACUGCGUCAGACAGCAGAAGGAUCCAUGCAUGGAAACUUCCAGAUUGCACGGAGAUGGGAUACAUCAAGGCUAAAGCUGGGGGAAUUCGAACCAUCUUGGCUCAUGGGAAGCUGCUCUUCACUGCGCACGGGGACCACAAAAUCCGGGUUUGGGACAUGCCACCAACAGAAAACUUUCAACACAAGAAAAUCACCACCUUGCCAAGAAGAUCUUUCCUGGUGUAUGCUAAAAUGAAUAUCCAUAAAGACUCUAUAUCAUGUAUGGCUUACAACCACAUGGAAAACCUUCUGUACACAGGUUCCUGGGACAAGACAGUUAAGGUGUGGAAAAUCAGAGAAAAGCAAUGCCUCGAUUCGUUCGAGGCUCACGAAGGUAAUGUGACUGCAAUUGUGAUAAACCAAGAAGACGGCUGUGUUUUCACGGGUUCUUCAGAUGGAACGGUGAAAAUAUGGCGAAGGGUUUACCGUGAAAGCUCCCACAUUCUCACAAUGACCCUAAAGUUUCAACCAUCACCGAUAAAUGCCUUGGCUUUGAGCUCGUCACCUGGCGGUUGCUUCCUCUAUUCUGGCUCGUCGGAUGGGCUCAUAAACUAUUGGCAGAAGGAGAGAAUGUCCGGGAGGUUCAAUCAUAAAGGAUUUUUACAGGGUCACCAUUUUGCAGUUCUUUGUUUAGUGUCGAUUGGGGGCUUGAUCUUGAGCGGUUCUGAGGAUGCCACCAUAAGGAUAUGGAGAAGAGAGGACGGAGAUUCCUUCCAUUCAUGUCUUGCGGUCAUUGAUGGCCACCAUGGGCCAGUGAAAUGCUUAGCGGCUUCACUAGAAACCGCUGAUGUAUUGAUUCGACUGUUAGUUUACAGUGCUAGCUUGGACCAAACUUUUAAGGUAUGGCGAGUUAAAGUAUAUCCAGCUGAGAAUGUGAACUUGGAAAAGUCAGAAGCAAAGCAUAGCCAAGUAGAAAUGGAGUGUCAAAUGAGUCCAGUACUAUCUCCUUCAUGGGUGGAGAGGAAAAUGCAGGGAAGCCACUUUGAAUAGGAUAAUGAUAAAAUACAUGAACUUUACAUGCAUGUUUAUCUGAUAAUCCUGUUAAGAAUUUAGGUUAUUGUAGAUGACAGCAGUGUACGUAGUGUCCGAUAAGAUCUAGUUUCAAGUAGAAAUAGAACUGCAAAAUAUUGAGUUUAUACUUGAUUCGUUUCAUAUCUUUUCUUAGUUCUGUGUGAGAAUCUAGCUCCAUUUAUGCAGGCAGAUUAUGGUGCCAUUUCAGUUAACCAAAUACUGAGUAUUUCUUUCUGCCUGCCCUGAAUUUAAGAAUUUAAGGUUGUGACUUGUGAGUGCGAGUUAAGCGUUCUCUGACAUCUUUUACAUCUGUUUGUAGCUUUAUGUUUCCUGCUCAACAGUACGGAUUUCGUGAGGAUGAAGCCUCUACAUCUUAUAACUGUUCGAAGAUGUACUUUGCCUGUGCUAACCUGUCAAAUUGUGAUUUGCAAUCUAAAUAGAGAGGUAGGAAUCGAACCCGACCACUAGGAAGGACCUCAAAUCGCUCGGCAUCCCUACGGGGCGGGGGAUGGCCGCUAGGGGUGGCAACGGGACGGGGUUGGGGCGGACUCCCCCAUCCUCCGCCCCGCUGCCUACAAACUCCCCCCGCCCUCGCCCCGUCCCGCGCCACCCACUCCCCCCGCCCCGCCUCGCUACCCCCGCGGGGUUAAUAAAAUUUUAUUAUAAUUCAAUUUUAAUAAAUAAUCAAGUACUAAAAUAUCAACACAUCAUCAAGUAAUUAUUCAUUUUAAUUUUACAAUUGAAACUCAUAAAAACAAUCAAACAAAAGUUAUUUGAAUACAAUCCAACAUGAUGAAAUAAAUACAACUAAAAUAGUUAAGUUUUUACUUUUGGUACAAAUACAAUCACUAAUUCAUUAUUGUGUUUGUGCUUUUUUUUUUGAGAAAAAAGUGUUAUUCUAUUAAGUGUAAUUAGAAAUUUAGUAUAAAUGUAUUAGUAAAUUUAGUAUAACUAAUUAAUAAAUUCUAUUAGUAGACAUGUCUAAUUAUUCAUAUAAUUGAUAAUAUCAAUUAUAUUACAUGCACUAAUAUACAUUAUAUAAUACAUCUAACUAAUAAUAUCAUUAUCAUAAGUUUAUAACUAAUUAAAUUACAUAUUAUAUAUAAUUAUAUUUUUUUUUUUUGCGGGUGGCGGGGCGGGGGAGUACCGGGAAAAAAUUCUCCCCCGCCCCGAGAGCCCCCCCGCGGGCAACCGCCCCCGUUGCCAUCCCUACGCUCGGCCCACCAUCCUUCCGUUCCGUGGGUGAAUCCUCCGCUAAGGGGCCAUACCAACUUGUACGGCAUACAUAGAAAUUCAUAACUCAGGGCAAAUCACACCACCAUCUAAGUCACCCCAUUUUGCAACCGAAUUUGUCCAAACACAUCAAAUGGUCCCCAUCAACCCAGUCUACCAAAUAGUACUAAUUUUUCAAUCAAAUUUACGAGAUGUUGGGUUUUCUUCAUUCAAUUAAUGACAGCUAACCACCUCAUUUUACUGAUGGGAAGUGAAGGGUCCUCUAGAUCGGUAAUCUAGUUGCAGAACCUAAUAAAAUUUAAGCUAACAAAAUGAUAGAUCGAAUCACCAACAGGACAAUAACUGCACGAUGAUCUGCUCCCGAAUCCUGCAUUAGAAACUUGGACGAAGCAAAUUCUUCCAAACACGAAAGUGUUACCCAAUCCCCUCGACACGAGUUCCAACAAUUUUUUAUUUGUAUAUUAGCUCAAGGGGAUGAUGGAAGACAUUGUGGAUAAACUAAUAGUCGAUUACAAAACACGCGAUUAUUAGAUUUGGCAUACUAGAAUAGUCAAUUACAAGACGUGUGAUUAUUUGAUUUGUUGUGUAUGUCACGUUAAAGAGAAAAGAACCUCAGUAGUCAUACAAGUUCCAGCAAAAAAUCAAACCGCAUAAAAUUUCUUUCCUACACAUAUUGAAGAUUGUGCGUCACGUCUUGGGUAAAGGAGUAUGAAGACAACCAGGUGAAGAGAAAAUACUAAAAAAACACUUAAACAGCUAAAGAGGGCACAAUGUUUCUUUAGAUGCAGGCGGGCAAUCUAAUCUAAUUGCGUAUCUUCGGGAAAGGGAAUAGAAGUGCAGCAAUGGUAAUAACCAUUUUCAUCAAACCGAAACCUUUCAGAAAGAUGGGCUUCACGGAUGACAUACACUCCCCAAUCCUCAGAUCCGUAUUGAUCAGCAAUACUUCGUGCAUCAAAGAAAUCAAACUUUCUUGUUCUCAUUUUUCUGCAAUUUAUCACAACGAAAGUAACCUUUAAAAACGGCAAAAUCAUCAGGCUGUAGAAAUGAUCAAAUACUCAACCAUAAAUAAGUUAAACUGAUUAAUUAAAAGCUUAGAAAGUAAAGCACCUUUUUCUGUGUCGGACAUUCAUCACAGUGGCAUGUAACUGCAUUUUAACGGGAACAGGUUAUUGCUGCAACAUUCUAAAUGAAACUACGACAGCAAAUUAUUGAAGAAGCAGCAAAUACAUACUACUAUAACAAUUUAGUAAGGAAAUAUACCAAGCAGCACCUGGAUAGAAUGAAAGGUUUUCCGAGGGGGGGAAAAAAGAGAUAAGAAACUCCAGUGCCAUACCUUUAGCUUGUGUGUCGCAUCUCUCUCAAGAACAAGACCAGCUUCAACAAAUGCAUCAAUGAUAACCUCUAACUUUGUUCAAGAAAAACACAAUAAAAAAAAAAGAGCACUCGGUAUAAUGUUAAAAAAUAAUGAUUUGGCAAGCCAACUAUAAUACUUCAUGUGCAAUGAGGAACAAAAAGUUAAAUUGGACGACCAGAAUAUUUGGAUACGACAAGCACGUAAUAGUCGUUCCUCGCCACCAAUUUCUUCAACAGGAGCAUAGAGAACACGAGCUUUAGCAAAAGAACCCUUCAUGCAUUCCUACAAGAACAUACACAAGAAACCUUAUGCAGUUGUGAAGAACUAAACAUAUGAUGAGCUUAAAAAAAGGAAAAAAAAUAAAAAUCGUCAUCCUUUACUCUUUUUUUUUUUUUUGGGCUGCAGGGUGGUGUCUUUGGUAUGAAUCUCAAUCUGGUACUCUCUCUAGUAAAGUAAGUCUAUAAUAACAAUCAUUCAAGUAACCCAGCAGUGUGAAAUGUAAUUGGGAAUUGCAUACGUUUAAGGAAAAAAAAUAAAAACCGUCAUCCUUUACUUUUUUUUUUUUUGGCUGCAGGGUGGUGUCUUUGGUAUGAAUCUCAAUCUGGUACUCUCUUUAGUAUAAGAAGGAUUGGGAUGUAAAGUAAGUCUAUAAUAACAAUCAUUCAAGUAACCCAGCAGUGUGAAAUGUAAUUGGGAAUUGCAUACAUUUUUUCUAAUUUGCCUCAAGGAUUUUUUUGCUUUCUUUCUGUUAUGAAAAACUUCAAGAAGUUAUGGUUUUCUUAACAAAAAAUGUGUUUUAAACUCGUAAAAUAAUGAUGCUCUGCGACUAACUUUCCAAGAUUAAAAAAUAAAAAUGAUACCAGGCCUUUAAGUUGAAUAGAAACAGGCCGGCUGUCCAAGGCUUGGAUUACUUCUGAUGAAAUGCUCUGCACGGCAGGAUGUCUGUCAUGGUCCACCACCAAUGUAACUAUCCAAACUCAAGAUUAUGAAGACAACCUUACCUGCAAUACCUCGGCUGCAGCUCUAAGUAGGUCCUUGUUCCAUAAUUUCAGCAUCAGUACAGUUAAGUGAAAAGUUUUCGGCCUAAUAAAUAUGGAUCUCUCAAUGCCUGACUCUGCCAUGUGAACACUACUUCAAAUACUACUCAAAGAUGAGAAGAAAUGAUAUAUGAAGAUAUAUUAAGGCAAGAGAACUAUUUGACCAAACACUGUCAAGCAAGAAAAUAGUCUCGGACAAAUAUUGAUGAAUGAACAUAUAAUCUGCGGAAACUUACAGGUAGACGCCAAGAACACCAAAGAAACAUGAUGACAAAAUUUAUUAAUUCCAUAUGCCAUAAAGACAGACUUGCAUACCAGAUACUUUUGAAGUCUUCUCCAAAGCAGAGGCCUUGGACAUUUUAGGUGGGUAACUUGCAAGUGGUAUGCUGGUGACACUCCUUCUAACAUGUUCAUUACCAUCUCUGGCUUUAAUUUCAAUUGCAUGUUUUGUUGCUUUAUCUGCGUGCUGUACAUCAGGUUCCUCAUCUGAUGUACUUGCAUCUGAAUCCACGGUUAGUAUAUCGCCUUGAUCUGUGUCUUGGGUUCCUAGGAUUGAAUUCUGAAAUUGGACCAGCUUAUCUACCAGUUGAGGAUGUAUAGCCAAUGGAAGUGAGACAAAGUGAGAGUAGUCAAGACUUGGGCUUUGAACUGCCUGUAGAGAUCAGAGGCAUACAAAAGCAAUACGCAUUACAAACUUAAGAAAAAUAGAAGACUCCACUGCCUAGUUUGAAUAUUCUAGAGCCCAAAACAGAUUCAAGAGAAGAAGAGAAAGACAACACAUACAAAUGAGGUGUGAUGAUCAGAUGUAAUAAAGAACAACAGCAGGAAAUCUACAGACUUAUUUGAAGACUGACAGAAAUGACAAAAGGAUAUCUUUGCAGGAUAAAAUCAUCAUGUGGUUGCAGGUAAAUAGGUAAACCAAUUCAUGUAAGAUAAUUUUACAAGAAAACAAAAAGAAACUCUCAGCAGUUUCCUUCAGUUUAGCUUUCUAAAUCUUGCAUUCAGUGUAUAUAUGAUAAACCAAUUAAGGAUGAUGGAGGUUUGGGAGAAAAAAGCUGUGCACUAAGAUGCCAACCAAAUGUAGUAAAAUGAUAAUAAUUACUAUAACAACUUCAGGAAUAUGUUCUAGCUGGUACUGACCUCAUCAAUAAUGUCCAGUACUCUCUUGUGUGCUCUAUCAACACUUUCAGCAGAAUCACCUUCAAUGACUGCAACAUAUGACUGUCAAAGUAAAAACUAUGAUACCCUUGUGAAUUUCAGCAGUGCAUCAGAAACUCCAAAACAAGAGAGUCCAAUCCUUAUAAUGGAGGGAAAAAAAACAAAGAGGAAAACGCUUAAAACAGGAAUUAAGACUCUGAGAGCCUGAUGGUUGAGAAAAAGAUUGUAAAGAGUGUACAACAUGAGUGAGACUCUAUUUUAUCAGCUACCAAGGACAAUUUUCUGAUUCAGUUGUCCAACUUCAGCAAAUAUAAAAGGAUUACUAGUGCAUUAUAUGCCAUCAGAGGCUAAGAUUGUUGACCCUAAAUCACAGAGCAAGAUGUUCAUCAUAUACGUUCAUAACAGAAAAAGACUGAACUAAGUUGGUCAGAUAUAAGAAACCUACUUAUAGAUUCCUCCUUUUUGGAAGAAGGAAAGAUAAUUUGAACUCCCAUCUCUUCCUCAACUUUUCGUUGUGUGGCUCCCCUGUAGGAGAAAAUUUUUAGGAACACAUAGAAUGAUAAAUAAUCUCAAAAGAAAUGGACAUAUGCUUUCAUACCCUUUUCCUUUGAUAAAACGGAUCAGUGAAGACCCCACCUACAGAUUGUCAAAUAAAAUUAGACACAAGAAAGACGAGAAAACAAAACUACUAAAUAUUAUGUUGAAGACAAAUUGAUACUUACCAUCGUAUAGUAGCAAAUUAGUCAUAUGCUAGGAAAAGGAUAAGAAGCAUGUAAAUAAUUACACAAUGCAUAUUAAACUUGUGAUAAAAUUUUGCUUGACACACGUACUUUAAUGGUUAAAAACUCAGAACCCCUUAUAUUCAGAGGCAUGCAGGAACCGACAUGAAUUUACAAAUCCAUAAUGAAAGUUUGUUACUGCAAGCAACUUCCUACUGCUAAAACAUAUGCUCCCUAGGAAGAUAAAGCAAGACCAGUUAUGUCGGCAGUAGAUAUAUCAGAAGCAUACCUCUAGUGAAAUCGAAUGCUUUGCAGUUGAAGAUAUUGGCUCUAUUGAAGCUGCAUCCUUCUCAGAUGAAUUUAUGGGUUCUCCUUGUAAUCCUUUAACUUCAUCACCAGAUUUCACUGACCGAAGAUUAAUCUCUUGAUCAUCCCCAACUCUGACUUCAUUUUCACGUUCAAUUGUUGAAAGAUGUGAAGAAAUGCCAUCCUGCACUUCUUUCACUUGACUCUCUAUUUCAUUCUUCUCACUACCAGCAACAACUGCAGAGUUCUCAGAAUCAAUCUUUACGCUGUUGCCUUCAAAAUCUGUGCAUUCACAUCUAAAACCAGUCAAUUGCCAGACGUAAUUCCAUUCUGGAGUGCAUGUGUACCAAUAUCAGCAGUUCUAAGUUUCAAAGACAGAUCAAGAUCGGUAAUUUCAACAAGUUUUUAGUAAAGCAUCUGCAGCAUAAAAUAGAUAUUGUAAGAGCAAGGCAGGUACUUCUUCGGAACUUGGAAAACAACAGUUCAUCUGAUCAGAACACCAACACCACUUGGUCUCACACUUUCAACAAGUCACAAGUGUAGUCUUUUCACAUGAUCUUCAGCACAAAUUUACCCUGCUACCUGCUCUUCACUUUCUCCCAAAGAAAUUGAACAGCGAAUAAAUUCUUCAUUUUUGUCACUUGUUAAUUAGAUUUUUUAACCCAUCCGCGUUUCUAAAAUGACAGAAAUAAAUUUUCCAUAAAUGAUCAUCUAUUGGUCUUCCUAAGACAGCACCAAGCACCGUGAAGUGAACAUAUGAACAAUUCCCAGGAGUUGAUUGGUACAACAUGAAGCAAAGUUGUAGUGUGACUAAAAUCGACGUGGGAGGUAGAUAUACAAAUAUGCAAUGAAAAGUGAACUUCAGAUUCAGCUGAGAAACCUCACCUUGGCUGCUACUUGAUUGUGUAGCCACUUGUCUCCACACACGGGAAACCUUAUCUCGUCUUGUCCGGUCCAUAUCUGAAUGUAGAAGUGCCCCAAUAUCAACGCUCCGCAACUUAUGAUCAAAAGAGCAUCUCUGCCACAUGAAUUACCAGAGUCGGUUAAUUCAGAAAUUUGUACCACGAAAAUUCAUAAUUUCAAAAUUUUCUCUCCUCAUUCCUCAAAAUGAAACAUAAUAGUACUCAUAACCUCACUAUUCAGACCGUGUGAAAAAAAGUGUAAUUCUAGCCAUACGAUUUAGAUAAUACAUUAAAUGAGAAAAAGACAUGUAUCUCCAUUAAAGAACAUCUUCAGCAAUUUGUGAGAGGAAUUCCAACCAGUAAGUGUCGUACGGAGUUGGAAUUUGCAGAGAGUUUAGUGACUGUUCUAGCAAGGUCGGCUCUGCAGCGACAGUGAAUUAGACAUGUAAUAAGAACCAAUAACUCUGAAUAAUUGAUGAAUUGCAAGAGCUGUUAAUAUGUGCAGUUCAAAGGCGAAAGAGGUUGUCUUUCUGAAUUUUAGUGGCGGAGUGAAGUUACGAUUUUGCGAGUUUACCUAAUGAGGGACCUGCAACUGCAAGCUAGCAUUCGCGAACGUCGUCGUCGUUGGCGGCGGAAGCAGCUGAGAUGAGUGGGAAAUUGGCACUUAGGUCUGAUCUCUUGGUAAUUUUAUUUUUAAUUUUCCUUUUGCUGUUUCCAAACACGUGUGAAGAGUUGGCCUAAAACUAAUAAAAUAAACUACAAAAAUAAGAAUAGAGAGAAAAUAGAAAAUUAUUUUUUUAUUAUUUCAGUUGAUCGCAAGUUGUUACGAAAAAGUUAGAACACCUCUGCGUGUGUGUAUAUAUAUAUAUAUAUAUAUAUAUAUAGAGAGAUAAUACGAGAUUAAGGAUACAUGAAUCAUAUUAAACAUCCAUUCACGAAUUUAGUACUUCAAGUACAUGAAUUGAAUAGCUCCAUUAAUGAACUAACGAAUAACGAAAGGAUUCACCUAAUACACCAAUGAAUCUUGUCGAGAAUUCAUGAAUCAAUUUUCUCGAAAAUACGAAUGGACAUUGUAAAAGUUAAUUAAUCCUCCCACUUAACAUUUAACUAGAAAAAAAUUAAAGCUUGAAUAACUUUUAUGUAAAAUUUUAUCUUUUUUUUCGACUGAACAGAAGGCAGGAAACAAAAGAAAGAUUUAUGUAUCAAGUAUGUAAUAACUUAUGUAAACUUAAUACAAUGACCUUUAGUUAUAAGAGGUUGGUUUUAUUUAUAAGCAUUUGCAAUUUGGAGAUCCAUCUAAAGCAAGUUGUGAGAAUGAUAUGGGAGUUGUUCGUGUUUGGAUCAAAAGUAGACUCAAUUAUGGUAUAUUCACCCGUCCUCAGUGUUCCACUUGGUCACAAAAGCAGAGAAAGACCGUUUCUUAAAUUCUCAAAAGCAUACCUUAGAUUGUGCGCAGAGUUGAUGUAAUGAUUAUACAAAUCAAUCAAAUCCAUGCUUCGACUUUAUUAAAAGAUUUUGCGCACUGAAAAAAAGUGUGCCGGUAUACCAAGUCCUUUUCACUAUCAAAUCAAACAAAUACCAUACUUGGGAUAUUAGACUGCCAAAUACCAUCAGCUAAAGGCAGGAAUACCAUAAGAACCCUUUCUUUAUUUUUGCAAGGAACCUCAAAUUCCAGCUUAUCCUCUACCUCUAUUUUACAGUUCCAGAGAGCCAUAACGGGCCUCUGUCAAACUGAUGGUUUGCUUAGGAAUUGCAUUCAGGUGCAAGCACACUUCUGGAAUAUCUUAUCUCCUCUCCGCGUUGGUGAUCGUAGCCAUUCUUGUGGGGUUAAGAAUACUUUGUUACGGCGUAUAUCGGCUUUCACAUCGACGGGAGCCCAGCAAUUAUGGUUCUGAUGCUGGGGUGGAGUUGCAGCAGCCGAGCAGCGGUCCAUGGCAGCCUCCCCUGAGUUAUAUGAUCAGGACAAGUUUGCCGGAGAGUAAGCUUGUGAUCUUAGCUGCUGGAGAUGAUCAAGUUUCAUCUGUGGCUCAACCCAUAACCUUUCUUCGCCCCAAAUGAUUGAUUGGCUUAUGUGUGAUUCAAGAAUCAAGCCUACCACCAUUACUGGAUGUUCCUUUCAUGCUGAUGGCGGCAAUGAAGUGUUCAUUUUUCAACCUCAAACUCAAUUAAGUACCCAAGUACGUAUACACCAGAAAUUGAUUUGUAUAACCACAUCGCCACCAUUAAUAAUGCUAAAUAGUUGAUAAAUUCACCGUUCGAUUAUUUGAAGGCCUCAUUCCUGAGUUAUAGGCUUGUUCCUUUGUGGGAUUUAUGCUCUACCCAAUACUGAACAAGUGGGGUUUCGAAUCAUAAUUGAUUGGGAAAAGGUGGUAAUAUUCAAUACACUUUGCUUUCUGUUGCGUCUUCCCUCAUCUGAGAUCCCUGGGAAAGGGGAUCAAGUUGGCCCUUGUGAACAGCUUGCUGCACUAUCUCCCUUUAACCCUUUGAGCGAAAUGCGGCAAAAGGAAGAAAAAUCUAUGGACCGACCCCAUCAUCUCCACCCCGUAGGAACUACGAGAUCACCCCAAAGACGCCUUCGGCAUCCAGGGGUCACGGACCGACCAUAGAACCCUGUUCAAUAAGUGGAACACAUUAGCUGUCCGCGUUGGGUAGUAAGGGUCGGGAGGGCCUUAAUCCACGAUUCCUCCAUCUUAAAUAUACACCUAAUUAAUACUACAACUUCUUUACUAGUGUCAUGAAGCAGCAGGAGUGUGAAUUUACUAGUCCAUUCCUAAAAUUUAUCACUAGCAUCAUGUUUUUCCAAACAACAAUAUAUUAACACCUUAUCUCGGAACUAAUCAUUUUAAGCGUUUAUUUUUUUUUCUUUUUUAAGUUUGAACAGAAGAAAAAGCAAAGCAUCCAACACAUACACGUACUCCGGGGUUCAUAGAUGAAGCAGGCAAAUCUCAUACUAAUUCACAGUUGCUAGCCAGCACGAGUAAAUCCAGUAUUACUCCCUAGUCUUCUGUACAUCUAAGCAUUAAAUUUGGUCGUCUAAACUUUGCUCUCCUGGUGUCCAUUCCUCGAAGAUGGGAAGAACUGAACCGUCAUUAUAUAUCUCCUUUUAGUCCAUGGCAUCUAAAAGACUGAAAACAGUUCCAGCGGGUUUUUUACCAGACGGGUGGGUCAUUUUCCAUUUCAUGCAAGCUCAAAGUACUCGCAGUUGUUCUGUAGGGUACCUCGUGCGGUACUACUUGCACACUUGACCCGCCAAACUUUAAGGACUCCAUCCAAACUUCCAGUGCAGAUGGUACAACCAUCAUCAACCUCCUCAUUGCCAGUCCCACAAGCAGCAACAAAUGCUGCAACGCACCUGAUCGGUCCUCUAUGACCCAAAAGGACUGCCAAACAUUUAUGCUGACCCUCUGGAUCCCUAACCCAUACCCGGCAGCUGGAGUCAGCCGACCCGCUAACCACAUAACUGGCCGCGGUGGCCAAGCACAUUACCGCGUGAGUAUGGCCUUGGAGGGGGCCCCCAUAUUGCAACUGCCCCGAAAACCAACCUUUUAGCCAAUAGUGUAUGUAGCCAUCGGUGCACCCGCCGUAGAGGAACCCUCCAUCCGCCGUCAAGGUCAGGGUUUUUACCGGGGAAUACUUUGCGGGCAGGGUGACUGUCAGGGAAUGUGGGCGGUCCCCGCUGCAAAAGUUGCGCCUCCACACCCUGACCGUGGCAUCGUCGGAUGCGGUGUAGAGGACUCCGUCGUCAGCUACAACUAUGGCAUUGAUGGGCUCUCGAUGGGCUUGAAUUGUCUCCAUGCAUUUUAGAUCAGAUAUUCUCCAUACUUUUACUGUUCUAUCAAGAGAAGCUGAGUAGAGGAUGUCAUCUGAUACGUUAAUUGCUAGUGAUGUUAUUGGUGCCGCAUGUUUCAUCUGUACGUUGCAUGUAUUGAUCAAUCUUUAGGGGCCAAAAAAGAGGGAAAAGAAAACUCAAGGGUUAUGCAUGUAUGGGUUCAAUUGUGAGCGAUGUUUACCCGUCCAUCAUGUUGCAUGCGUUGGUACAUCUCUAAAAGAAACAAAAAAAAAGGGGGUGGAGAAACAAACUGCCUCCAAAAAUAUCAUGCAAGAUUCUCUAAUGAGAUCAAAAACAGAGUUGAGGGGUUGACACCUUAAAAAAAAUAAAAUGUAGUUAAAUAGGAAAAAUAUAUAAAUAUAAAGUUGGAUAAUAAUUAUUAAUAUAUGCACAUACAUGUUAAGUUAGAUGUGAUUUUAGAUAUAUUAACGAGUAUAUAUUGAACAUUCUUUUUAAAACAAAACCCUGUAUAUGCACAAGUUGGAUACUCAGCAUGCAGCACAAGUAUUUAAGAUGGAGGGAUGGUAUAAAUGUUUGUAGAAAGGCCAUAGUUGCAUGGUAGAUGAAAAUUGUCUGCCAUAUUAUGGAGCUCGCUCUCGACUUAGUUGUUUGUGCAUUUAAUUGCAUCACCUUUAAUUUGCUGUCCAAACCCAGAAAAUUGCACAAUAAAUGGGAACGGAUGAAUCUAUUGAAUAUGUGUAUGAAAGCUUUGUUAUGAUUUCAACAAACAACUGCUAUCUAGCUGAUAUAUUCAGAAAUAUUUAUGAUAGUUAAGCUGAUAUUUGGAGGGUUAGGUUAGAUGGCAAAAGCCUCUUAGUUAAAAUUAAAAAAAAAAAAAAAAAAAUCUUGGCAUUAUUGCACUUGAAGACACAUAUUGGGCCAAUGUCUACAUAAUUUGCUUUUAUGAACAAAAGAGGCCAAUUCAUGGCAUUGAAGGUUUAUACUACUUGUAUCAUUCUGUGGCUUUCCCGCCACCGGAAGACCCAAAUUCCCAAAUUGUUUGUGAAAGAUAGGGAAGACGGCGGAGACGGGUGGGCAUACGGGAUACUUGAUUACAUAAUGCACAUAGUAUAUGAUUCCAUUUUUAAUGAUAAUCUAGUUAUUCUCUUUCUUAUUGCAGUCGUUGAAAAAAGCUUUUUAAUCAUUAUCCAAAGAAAAAAAAAAAGCUUUUUAAUGGGAACUGGAGUCCAAAACUUGACUUUAAUUAGUUUCAAUCCUUGAAAGGCCCUAAAACUCGAUUUCCCAAUGGCAGAUAGUUCCUGAAACAAGUAAAAGUCAAGACUCCUCCAAUCAUAUGUUUAGACCCCCUGCAUGCUUUUUAAUCUCUUGUAAACGGCAGGCCUACAGUCUACUUUUUAUUAAUGAAUUGCACUCUCAUUAUUUAUUUUAUCAUAUGGUCUAAUAAAUGAAAUUCAUAUGAUAAAAAUGACAGUGGGGGUUUGCAAUUAACAAAAAUUGGAGUGCGAUUGACAUUUUUGCUUUUUUUUUUUGGGAAAUCCUGAUUAGUAAAUCAUACAACGUAAGAAAAUUAAACAUUCAGUUCUCUAAAAUCUUGUCAUAUGCCCAAAAAAAAAUAAAAUUUUGAUUUCGCAUAUAACAAAAUUACUGCACCAAACCAGCUCGGUUCUUUAAAAUAAUAGAGUUGUUUUCAGAAACUAUGCUACUUAUAAUGGGGUUAACCUAAAGUAGUUUAGCUCCCCCCAAAAAAAAUUAUGUUAAAGUGGACUGCGCAAUUGUUAAAAAAAAGUGUAAUGAGAGUCGAAUAUUAAGGAUGGGUUCAGUUUUAUUCUUAUCCAGGUUUAGUAAUUCAUAAUAGGAAAAGGUAGGUUUGGAAUUCAUGUCCGGAGCAGUAAUGGAACCUAUGCUGUUUUCUGCAUUGCUAUUUGGAGGUCUAUUUAGAAGUUUUAAAGCAACUGUUGCUAUGAAUCUUAUAAAGAGUCGACUGAAGCACGCGAUCUUUGAAGCAACCACAUAAUCAUCACCGUAUUUCCAUCCACAUGAGGCUUUUUUUUUUUUUUUUGUUGAAAACAGAAAAAAUUAGUAGUAAUAAAAUCGUUCUGAUCCUAAUUAAGGACCGGUGUCCAUGCAGAACACAGUGAUAUUUAGCACUCACACAUGGCCGACCUAUUCUACUCUCUUCAGAUUAAUUAUGAUAUACAGUUGUAUGCCAAUUAACUACAACAAUAAAAGAAAGCUUGAGUAAUUAUGAAGAAGAAAGAUUACCAUCUUAUCUUUGCCGGUGAUGUAGCUGCGGACAUAACCUCCGGGCUUAGGAAUAGUUGCUACUCGUACAUGUUUUACAGCUCCUUCCCAGGUUCGGUGCCAAACCCGGAUUUUACAAUCGGCAUACGCAGCAUAAACCUUAUCAUUCGAUACUUGUAAGGAAACAACCAUGUUGGCCUUGGACUUGAGCUGGCCGCAUUCGGCGAACUCGGGCAGCUUCCAUAUUCGAAUGAUACUACCCUGGGAACCGGUAUACGCCAGACCAUUGGACGCUGCGAUGGACAAAAUCUGGCCGUCCUUUUUUAGCACCGAAGAAAUGCAUCUGUAGAUGGUGUGGAGAUCAUGGUCCUGCUUGGAGGACGUGAAGGAAAGGCGAGGAGAGGAAGGUUGAGAGAGGUAAAGGCGGGGAGAGAGGGAAGUUGAACUUAAACGAGGUGGGGUUUCAGCGAAGGAGGCUUCUUUAUGGGAAAUACUCCUGGAGAAUUUGUUGGUGGCGUCUUGAGUUCUUAUGGCUAGAGAUGGAAUAUUUGGGGGAGAAUCGGGACGGGGAGAGUCUAGUGAUGCCAUUUGCAUCUCUCUUACUCUUUCUCUACUAUUUCCUUUCUUGAUCUUGAAUGGAUGGAUGGAGAGAUGGUACGGGAAUUAUGGAGCUGGUGGAGCGUUACGGUAGUAGAACAUUUAAUUUAUGUGCCAUGCACAAAUUAAUGCUUCUACCAAGAUUAGGCAAAGUCAUCAUGUCAGCAGCGUAAUAAUUAUGGCAAAAAUUCUUAUUUCUUAAUUCUAUGGAGGUUGUGGUCUGUGUGAAUGGUAGCGUGGGUAAGGAACGUAAAAGUUUUGUCACGUGAAGUUGUGAUAAGCAUUUUUAUCUUAGUUUUAGCACAGAACGUCGUCGUGUGUCAAUCUUUCAUUAUCUUAGGCCGGCUUUUAUUUAUUUAUUUAUGCCCAGGAUUAGAAAGCGCAAUUGCUACGCAUUGUGCCAUUGGCAUUAGUGCUGUUAAUAGAGCCAAGUCGAGUCGAGUAUCUAAGCGCCGAGCUCGACUCGUAACAAAUUCGAGUCAGGCUCGAGCUCGCUCGACCGCCCGGACGAGCCAUGAUAUGCACUCGAACUCCGACUCGAAAAAUAGAAAUGUUACUCGAAUUCAAGUUCGAGCUCGACUCAUUUAUCACAAACGAACCAAGCUCGGAAGAGCUCGAGCUCGAGCUCGAAAUAUCUGUCCUAGCUCGAGGCUCGAUUUUGAGGCUCAAGUUCGAGGCUCGAGGCUCGAGGCUCGAUUUCGAAAUAUUUGUCCAGCAAUCAGUUAUUUCGAAGUCCUGCUCCAACAUAGUUCCAAUUAAUAGAUCCAAAAAUUUGUCCAAAGUUAGGCUAUCCAAAAUCAACAAAAAUUACUAGGAUUGGCAACCAAUGCCAUUCUUAUUCAAGAAUAGACAAACUCUAACCACAUUUCAUCCGAGACAACAUAUAAGACCAUAACAUCCAUACAACACAAACUAAUAAUUAAAGACUAGGCAAGAAAACAACCAUAUUUACCUUAAAUUUAAGCUAUAUGCAAAGUAAAAAAAAACUUUAUUGAAAGGUCACAUCUUCUUUCUAGUUUUACAUUUCCUGAUUGUACAAAUUUCUGAAUCGUUCGUUCAGAAAUUGGCCAUCAAGACUGCCUCCCCAAGAAUGUGUCUUUCGAUUGCUUCCAUCACCUUCUCCUUCGUCACCUACAUUUAUUACAGUAAUAGUAGAAAUCGAUUAAUUACACAUUAAUAUUUCCAAUGAACUCAGUAAAAUAAAAUAGGGGUAUACACAUUAAUAUCUGAUUCUAUUCAACACAGAAAACUUUAAAAAAAAAACUCAAUCUUGAACCCAUAUAUAAUCAGCAUAAGCAGCCCCAAUACUCAGUAAACAAGAACAGGCUUAAACUCAUAUGAACAUAAAAAUCAUGUUUAACAAUAAUGAAAGGUAGCUAAUAUCAACAUUGGGCAGCCAACUCUUCCAGACAAUAAUGCAACAAAAUUGGGCUCCAGAUCAUUAAUUAUUUGAUGAAUUGACCUUGCUGAAACAGUGAAACUUAAAUAUGAAAAUAUUUAUAACGUCUUUUGCCAAAUACAGGAAAUUAGCACCAGAGAUUUACCUCAUCAAGAGUUGUUAUCAGUAUACCACGAACUUUUUCCUGCACAAGGUUCUCUCUCAAAUCUUUUAACUUGUCUGCAACUGAACGACCAGAAAAUUGUGGAGGAUGCACAGCAACAGGAUUCAGUUCAAGUGGUGAGCGGCUAAUCCAAACUUCAUCCACCAAGUUUCUGGGUGUCUGAAUCAACUUUUGCUGUUUCUUACUAAAAGCAAUGGCAGCAUCUUUUGGUAAAUUCUAGUGUGGCAGUUAACAAAUACCAGUUAACGUGGUGAAUGUUUCCAAAAAAAGUGGUUCAUCAGGGAUUAGGAAACUAAAGAAUUGCUUCUUCUUGCGGCUUCACCGCUUCAGUAAACCCAGAAGUAAAAUUACAUAAUUUUAAAAAAAAACUAACGUGGGUAGCGGCGUGGGUUGCGAAGCCUCUGACUGUGGGUAGCGGCGGCGAAGCCUCUGGCUGUGUUUUGUUGUUGCGGCUGUGGGUAGCGGCGAAGCCUCUGGCUGUGGGUAGCGGCGGCGAAGCCUCUGGCUGUGGGGUGCGGGCCGUGCGGCUGAGAGGCAGAGACGGAGAGGGAGGUUGUGGGUAGCGGCGACGGCAAAGCUUAUGACUGUGGGGUGUGGGCCGUGCGGCUGAGAGGUAGAGACGGAGAGGGAGGUUGUGGGUAGCGGCGGCGGCGAAGCCUCUGACUGUGGGGUGUGGGCCGUGCGGCUGAGAGGCAGAGACGGAGAGAGAGGACUGUGGUCCAGUAGGGUGCGGCGGAGAAGAAGAAUGAAAUGAAAGCAAUGGAAAUAUCGAACCCUAGUCCAAAUUUCUGCUCUUUGACUGCUAAAAUGACAAAAAUGCCCUUCUUUGUCGAGCUCAAUCGAACUACUUGGUUAAAAAGAGAAUUCGAGCUUACUCGGCUCGAUAAUUAAAUGAGUAUAUUUCUAGUUCGAGUUCAACUGAAAUUAACGAGUCGAGCUCGAGCCUUAUCGAGUCGAACUCUAACGAACUUUCGAGCUACUAGUUUGGCUUAACAGCUCUAAUUGGCAUUCAAAGGUUUAAAACAAAAAUGGCGCGAUAAUAGAAAAAGAAGAAAGAACUUCCAAUCGUAACAAACGCACGAUGGCCAUGUUAUACCAACUUCAGAGGCACCAUAAGUUAAACUUAGAUUACACCAUUAGCCCUGCUUAGAAGAAUUUAAAGAUUUGACUCCGCCUCAGAUCAACCACAAACAUUGGCCUGAAUUUUUAAUAAUAUGUCUCGAAAGUUGACCGCGAUGCACAACUGCUUUCUUCUCCUUUUGCAUUUUUGCCCGUCUACACUCCGCAAUUACCUGCUAGCACAGAUUCUGGUGCAGUGAUAACUAAGAAAUUAAGACGAGGCAUCCAAGGUCUAUCAGGAAAUGCGCAAGGAAGUCAACUUGUUACGUCAACUAGAAUCUAGGCUCUAUUCUGAAAAAAGGAAAAAAAAAAUACAACAAAUGGCCCAAACUAGCCCUAAGAGUCUUGUUCAGAAAUCUGGAGGUAUACCAUCUGAGUAUAUCCAUUAAAUACAGAUGUUUCUAGUCGACCUAAUCCAAGCCUCCGGAAUAAGCCGUAUUUCCCAUCCUCAACAAUAGGACUGGGAACCCGAGCUGGAUCAUAUCUUGUUUGAUGGGUAAGUGAAGGACCAGCAACAGGGGGCAGCUCCCAAUAAAUAUCCAGCACCGACUCUACAAACCUGCUGUUCUGAAAAUGUUGCGAGUAUGUUAUUGCCUUGUUACUGUGAUUAAAAUCAUCGCGCAUCUGCCCUCUUACACCCCACCAUGCCUCACCUGGCCCACAUAGUUCAUCUAUAUCCACAGCCUUUUCCCAGAAUUUCUUCCUUCUAAACCUUAUCCUAGCUUCGUCACCAUCUCUAAAGCAGCUAUGGCCACCACCUGGAAGAAAAGCACAACUAUGUCCACUGAUUAAGAAAAAAAUACCUACUUAGCAAUGCAACGUCAAUAUUCUAAACAUCCCCAGUUCGAAAUGCUUACAUUAAAAAAAAUCUAAUGUACAAUACAAGCAAAUCAAUGCUUAUCUACAGCAUGAAAAUGAUUAACCACCCUUCAACACUUGCAUUAUGUGAUGAACAUAUCAACAAAGCAAUUCUCAUGUGAAGGGAAAUGCUCUAACAUGGAGGGCUGUCUUUUUUCUGAUCCUUCUGCACUCUCGCAAAAUGUGUACUCUUUUUUCAAUUUAUUCCUCAUUUAGAAAAGAAUCCUUAAAAUCUUAACACAGUCCUAUUACCAGAAACACAGUAAGCUGCAGAGUUGAACAGUAUUUUAUUGACUGAUGAACAUAUGGAUGAUUUGGAAGCACCAGCAGCGUAAUAACAAAUGACUUAACACACAUGCAUGUAUGAGGAUGAUUCACAAGACCCGAACAAGAUAUAACUUAAUAGGUCAGAAGAUCGAGGCCAUGAAGGGGCAAACAUGUAGAGCUAGAUUUGGGUAGAAAAGAUUACAAAAUGGGACAGCAAUGAUUGCCACAUAUCCUUGAGGAAGAGUACUCAAUUAGGCUCUAUAUUUUGUUAACUGACAACACUGCAGAAAAGAUAAAUCCUACAAAACAAAACAAAAAAAAGAAGAAGAAGAAGAAGCUUUCCAUAUUGCGUAGCCUUUCAUGUGUAUGUUUUUAUUAGUUACAGGAUAACCCUUUUUAUUCUUCAUAAGAUGCUAGGAAAUGAAAUCAAUCUCAAAUGUGACAUGGCCAGUAAGAAUCUUCUGCUUGCUUAAUAGAUCAAUAAAGCACAGGCAAAAUUACAUAGUUAAGCAUUAAAUAAAGUUAUUUAACAAAAUUGAUUUUACAUUUGAGUUGGCGAAGUUUCAUCUUAAGAAUGAAGUUCUAUAACAUGUGUCCCAUAACAAUUCAUCUGUCCAAGACAAGAAGACUAGGUGAGAACAAUUCAUCUCAUAACAAUUCAUAUGUACCACAACAAUUCAUCUGUCCAAGACAAAGAAGACUAGGUGAGAACCAACCUCUAAUAUAACUUUGAUCACAUAUCUGUCUGAAGGAAUAAUGAUCCCCUGUUCCAGUGUCAUAGUUAUCCUCAAAAACCAGAUGCCUGAAGCCAGCUUUGAGUGCUUGCUUUAACCUACAAGUCAUAUGAAAAAGUAAACAGAAAAAUAAAGAUCAGGGCUUUGAUAAACUCGGCCUGCAGGAUAUAACUGGAUAGUGGAUUGCUGAUCGUAAAUAAUCCAAGUUCUAACUAGAAAGUGCAAUCCGAAAUUGCAGAAACCAUGAUCACCUUUUCAGUUCAUUCUGAUGGUCAUCAAAGAAGACAAGAACCCGUGUGAGAUCUUUUAUUUUGUGUUUCUUCAUCACUCGGCCCCAGUCAACACUGCCAAAAUCCACAAAGUCUUUUCCAGCAAAGUACGUGCAAUUCCCAUCAACAUAAGCAGGCCCUUUUUUCAGGUACUUCUCAGGAUGGCGAGGGGAAAGCGAUACAAUUGGUGUAUCAGGCAUUGCUUGCCGUAAAACCCAUGUUGAAUGUCCCUUGAAGGCACCACUCUCAAUCAUCAAUUCUGGUUUCAGCCACUGGGCAAUGAACCAAAGCCCAAAACUGUGGUCAAAGCCCAUGCCAUACAUGUUGUUCUUUAUUGGUCGAGUUUCAUAGAUAGGCACAAACUCCUCCAAACCUUUGAGUAAAUCCUUCAUUGUCCAUUCAACAGUUUUUCCUUGUUUCGAUCUGCCUUUUGACAAGGAUAGCAAUUAAACGGAUGAAAACUAUAUAAGCAUUUCUUUCUGUUCUCAACUUAAUCCUCAAAGUGAUAAAAACGACGAGUUUAAUCUCAAUUGUGCUAAUUGGUUACUGAUUUGUUCGCAACACAUUUAGGAACAAAGUCCCUGAAGGAGAAGAACGGUGAGAAAAAAAAAAAGUAAAAAGGCCAACAUAAAAGGUCCGGAUAAUAGUAGUUGAGCGGCUUUAGUACACCUAAGGCAGCAAUUAACAAGUCGUGUCAACUAUUGCUUGUAGGAUCAAGUAAUGGUUGCCGCACACAGGUAAAUGAACAGUAACAAAGUACUAAGUUAGACCCUGAAUUAUUCUUCUACUUAAUCCUUUUGGACAAUGACCAAACAUUUUAUCUUCAAACCCCAUAUUCCCAAGCAAGAAGAAUGAUAUAACUCAGGCACAGCUCGAUUUUUCUUCUCUAUAAGCCUGAUUAACCCCUCUUUCCCCCCCCCCCCGGGGGGCGGGACCGCUGCCCCUUCAAAAAAAAUACCGAAACCGCAGCUCCAAAGGUUCCCGCACAAUUGAUUGGCAAAUUAAUAACUCACCUUUAGUCAGGCAAAUCCUAAUAAGAAACCCUCAAGAGAGAUGAAAUUUUUCUCAAAAUACAAAUCCACAUAUAUCACAAACGAUUAACAACAAAACUAAUCAAGUCAGAUCUGUAUUAACAAAGUUUCCUUAAAACCAUAAAAAAAUCCCUGAAAAGAGAGGGAGAAAAAGAACUUACACCAGGGAACACCAAGGGACCCGAAAUCCGACUCGAGGUCAUCGAAGCCGAAGAAGCGUAACCGAGAUAUAUGAUCGGACGAAGCGGCCUUGAGGCAGACCAAAUCACGGGUGUGGACGAAGAUGGAGCAAAUCACGAUAACCACAAGACCUAGAAUGAGAAUGGGCCAUAAAUGUCCAGUCCGGGUCAAGUAAUUGGUAAGCCGCAUUGCAGCAGUGGAAGCGUGCUUCCGGGUUUUGGAUUCAUCGGCGCCGGAUUCUUCGUCGCCUUCCACUUCAUCAUUCACUUGCGCCGCCCUUCGUGUCGAUACCGAGAGUGCCCUCUCCAGCAUCUUGUGUGGUGUACUCGUCAUUUUCGUUCCUCCACUCUCUUUAUUAGUGAAGUGUUGAGGAGAGCAGACUAAUUAAUCACUGUUGGAACCUAAAGUUUAAGAAGAUUAAUUAAUCACAGACUUAUAUCCUAUGUCGUGGUAGUACUAAUUGGAAGCGGAGCUCCCUUCUACCGCUUAUUUGUUAAGUGCAUAUUACCAUGCGAUUUUAAGACUUUCCCUCUUCUUCUUUUUAUUACUACCUGAUCAAGCUAUCCUUAAAUUCCAUCCCACCGCUGUUUCGUGUAUAUGCAAAAAUAUAUAUAAUAAUAAAAGUGAGAAAUUUUUUGAAAUGAAUUGUUGCAACUCGUUCAGAAAAUUUUUGAACCAAAAUCAAUUCACAGUACACAACCUAAUACACUUCGUUUGGAAUAGUUGUGUUUUGAAAUAUUUUAUUACAACAAUUUAUAUAAAAAAAUUUUCCCAUAAAUAUUUUUUGUAAUGUUUUUAAGACAUAUUUUGGAAUGUUCUUAAAACUUAAAAUUUUUAGGAUAUUUUUUAAAAAUUAACACUACUACCCACCGCCACCACGCCUUCUCUCCCUCCUCCUCUCUCCUUCCCCUCCCUCUUCCUCCUCCUAUCUCUUCUCCUCCCUCUCUCACCUCGUCCCCUUCCGCACUCCUCCCCUCCCCUUCCAAAUCACAGCCUUUGGUUGCAACCAAAGAUUGAGGCCAGAUCCGAGAAGGGGGGACCUUAAGAGGAGGGUUGUGACGGGGAAGGAGAAGGGAGUAUGGGAGGAGGAACAAGAGGAAGAAGAAAGAGGGAGUAAGAGGGAGAAGAAAGAGGAGGAAGGAGAAGAUGUUGGUGGUGAUGGAUAGAAGAAGAAGAUGGUGUAGAUUUAUAUAUAUAUAUAUAUAUAUAUAUAGAGUUGUUUUUGAUAUAAAGAAUGAAUGUGAUGUUUUUGAAUUUGUUUUUGUUUAUGUAUUACUGUAACAUUGUAUAUAAAAAAAAAACUUAUUUUUCAAAAAAUGGAGAAUCCAAACAGAGCAUUUGUCUCAAGCUGGCCGAGCAACAAGAAUAAAUAAUCUCCAACAAGUGAAUAAACAUCAUCAUGCGACAAAGGGAGGAAGGUAACAGUAAAACUGAUUUGCUGUUAGCAAGCACUUCAUUUACAUUCUGAUUUCUGUUCAAGAAGUUAAAUAAAAGGAGGAAACAAGAUAUCUGGGCUUUCUCCAGUUGUGCUGCUGUUCGUUACAAUAUAUUUCCAUCUAAUAAAACCUAACACUUUAACCCAGCCAAAAUAUCAAGAAAGCUUCAGCAAAAUCCCCCAUUUGUGGAACUUUUUGUAACUUUUUAACUUUGGUUCUUGAACUUCUGCAUAGCCCUCGGAGCUGCACGAAACACAGAAUAGAUGUAAGCCGCUUGUCGGUCAACAUAUUUCAGAGCUAGCUAUUCAACCUAUUGUAAUAGAUCGCCAAGUUGAGCAAAGUUCAUCAUUUCUAAUGGCCUUUACAAGAAGUAUAGUCUCAUAUGAAACCAUUGUUGCCUUAGAAUUCUAGAGCAAAUGAGAAACUAAGACAAAAAUGGAAUAUAUCAAUCAAAUGGAAGCCUUCAUGAGUUGGACGUACCCAGCCCAAUUGCCUCUGACCCUCUCAUGAUCCUUAAUCUCUUGCAUGAACAUAUGAACAUCCUACAGAAACCAACAAGAAGGAAAUAAACUGUCAAUUUUCUUCAGAAGUAGCAAGUUCAUGAAAAAACUUAUAAUAUUCAUAUCAAUGAUAUGACUCCCAAUCCUCCUAACUUAAUCACCAGAGAAGGCUUAAAGAAAAACCAAGAACUCACAUGAGGCUAAAGAGAGGGAAAAGAAGAGGAUGAGAAGGAAAUUCAGACAAUAUUUCAUUAUCCAUCACAACUCCUCCCAUGAUGGCUAAGGCACUAUUCUUCAACUAAAACCAUAUUUAACAAGUUACAUAUACUAAUUUCUACAGACUUAUGAAGCUAAUUUAAUUGAGACUGAGACUUACUCCCAUGGAACAUCACCAACUAGCAUCCAAUCACCAUCCUUGUCUUCAUAGGUUAGCACAUGUUCAGAGUCAUGGAGGAGAUCCUUUAAGCCCCUCUCAUUGAGCCCCUCUUGCUCUGAAAGUCCAUUAGAAGUGCACUGUCCUGAAUUACAGCGAGGAAAACAAGUCAAUCAUCACUGUCAUACAUGAUUUUAGAACAUGACUAAUAACAUUUUAACUACAAAUUAACCACACACAACGGGAAGAUGAUGUUCUGGCACCAACACAUGAAAUAACUAGGCAGGCAGAUUGCUAUGAAAAAAUUCUCAAACUAAAUCUAGCUUACUUGAUGUCCAGUUUUAUACUAAGAAUCUCAAAGAAAGAAAAAGAAAAAGGGAGGCAAAUAGCAUCCCUAAUCUGAGAAAAAUGUAAAUUUUAGGUGCUAAUUAUUAGACUAGAACUAUUGCUGCUCAAAUUUUCAAUCCUUCAUGGGCAAUCAAAAUUUCGAUCUUUCAGAAAUGAUAAAUUGUGCAGAUGAAUAUGUUUCCGCGUCUGUGUAACUGUUCAUCCGUGUGAUUGUGUGUCCGACAGAGUUAGAGACUGACCAAUUGUAAAGCAGCUGAACAUCUUCUCAAGAGCAGAUGAGAGUUCUGCAUAGUUGCAGUAUGUUUUGAGAUCAACUUUCCUAAGGUAUGGAGCACCAUCCAUGCUGACCUUAACAUAAAGGCAGCUUGGUCCUGAUUUUGCUUCAGCAUCACUAUUUUUUGAUAAGUUUGUAGCAAGGGUGUUCUUUCGGAAAGAUCGAAUUGGUGGCCAUCCUACCACUUGUGCCCUAUCAGAAGAUCAUAUGUGCUGAGUGACUUAAAAGCGUUGCAAUAUAUCACAUGUGACAAUAACUCAAAGGACAGGAGCACAUAAAUAAGAUGCAUUAAGAGCUCCCAAAGGAUUCUGAACAUGAAACAGGGAAAAGGGCAAUCACAGGCGCAAGUAAAAUGUAUCCAUUAUGACACACGCUGCCUUCUUUUUUUAGUAGAACCAAGUAAAAGUAAUACUAAUGCUGCAAUCAAACAAACUAGAAGACUCACUGAUUAUUACUGGAGUACUUCAAUUUUUAGGGUAUCCCUGAAGAAGGGCAGAGUUCACCUCUGAUUUGCCAAGAUUGGCGAUCUUCAAAAGGAUAUGAAUUGAGAGCUUCACCUUUUUAUGUUUUCUGAAUAAUCCAUCGGAAAACUGAAGUUCAACAAAGCUAGAUAAUAGCCUACUUGCAAAUCGGCUUGGGUCGUGCAAAGACUAUUAUUAAUUCUUAUUUAGCCCAAGAAACUCGACAAACGAAACUAUGCAUAAACCAACAAAAUGCAUUCGUAAGCCCACAUGUAAGUUACAGCAUACAAAAUCUCUCUAAUCAUCACUUUUUUGAGCAGGAAAAGAAAAAUGAAAAAGAAAAGAAACAGCUAGACACACGGACAUAAGUAGGCGGUAAACGUUAGAAAGGGGAAACAACAAAGAAGGAAAAGGGGAGGAGAGGGAAACUUACUUUGAAGCAGGAGAGCUGCCAUGGUCUUUAGCAGAAGAGGUAUUCUUCUCCUCAACAGGCUUAGCAGCAGGGGGAGCACCUGCCUCUUUCCCAGGGAGCCCAGGCAAACAUGAUUGCAGAGUAUUAAUGUUCUUAGAAGCACCAUCCUUCCCUCCCCCAGGAGAGAACAAAACCUCAGUCUUUCCAAAAGACACAUCAGAACUAACCUUCAUCCUCAAAUCCCAUUUUCCAGAUCCAUCAAUGGCAUCAGAAAAACCCCUCUUAGCCCCUGAGACACAGCUCUUAAACCCGCUAGUUUUUUCCUCUAAAUCCUUUCCAAAUAGGGAGACCCCAUGUCCAGCUUUCCUUUCAGGAGACUGUGAACCAGGCAAGCCAAGUCUCAGCUCAGUCUCCUUCAGAUUCAAGGCAUUAUUUCCUUCAUCCUCCGGGCAAAUAUUAGAGGAAGAAGAUGACGAAGACGAGAUCUUGUCAGAGUUUCUUUCAACUGAAGAAGCCUCUGAUAAGCCUAUGUAAUAUUGCUCCUGUGGUGGAGACAUUAAAAUCUUGAGCAAAAAAUGAAGGUUGAAGAGGAAUGGAAUGAAGCAAGGAGAAAUGAAAUGGAGAGAAAGAAGGCAGCUUGAAUGCUUGAAGCAAAAAUAUGCUACAAAGUAAGGGAGUGGUUGCUCUUGGUUCUGCACUUCAGCAGCAAAAAGAGAUGGUUCUUUUGAUGGCAGAAAAGAAAAGAAGCCUCUUUGGCCUUUCUGUAGCCUUUUCCAUUUGUCUGAUUUCAAUUUUAUACCUCCCACUGUCCCACGAUAAUAGAUUUAGCCAAAAAUCAAACAGUCCUAACAUAGGAAAAAUUAUUCAUGUUACUAUUAUACUCUCUCCCAGAAAAGUAAACAUAAAAUUAACCAAGUCCCCUUGAUAAUUUGCAGGAUAUAGUUAGUGGAAAGAGUGCUAUUUUGUGGAUAACUAGAAAGAUAUAUCAUUUUUAUUAUGUAAUAUUUUAAAAUUUUUGAAAAGUUGAAAUACAAUUCAAGAAGUAAUUUGUUGUGUAAGAAGGAUUUAUGUUAGUGCAAAGUAUACAAAUGAUAUUUUGUAAACAUAGGGUGUGUUUGGAUAAUUACUAUUUGUACAAAAUUUAUUUUUUUCAUCGCAAAUAAAAUUUUCAACUCAUCUUUUUUAUUUUUUUAUUAACUUUUUUAUCUCACAUACAACACAUUAUAAAAAGUGUUAAAAUAAUUAUUUUAAAUCAUAUUUCAAAUAAACUCGUAAUUGGCACGAGCUACGCUAAAAGUUCAUGUUCAAAUUCAAUUUAUCUCCUUAUCGCUGCAAAAUAAACAUAGGUAAAAAGAGCGCUAUGAGGGGGUAACAAACUUGAAAUUGCCUAUUCAAGUUUAGUUUGUUUAUUUAUUGAAACAAACCUAAACAAUGUCCGAGUAAUUUGAAAUGUGUAUAUGUAUAUUUCCAAUGUGAUGCUCAUCGAGCCGAGUUUGAAAUUUUAUCAAUUAUGAAAAAAAAUUUCACAUUUGAUAUCAAUGUAUGGUUGAUGUUGUAACUUUUAUCAUUAAUACACAUUUUAAUGAAAUUAUGAUAUUUUAUUAAAAAAUUAACAACGUCAACAAAGUCUAAUAAUAAUGUCGAGCUCAAAUCAAGUAUUGAGUUGCUUUAUUUGUCUUUCAACCCAAGCUACAAUUGAGGUUAAGGCAACAUUUAUAGAAUUGUUAAUAAUCUUACGAGUUCGCUGACGUGGUCUAGUCUUCCAGACAUGUUAUUAGUGUCAAUUAUUAAUUACUAGUAAAAUGCUGAUAAAUACGGCUAAGUACAUAUCUUUUGAGACAAAGCCACCAAAUUUCGUGACCGCGAAUGGCCACGGACACGAGGACCCCAUCCGGCAAACCCACCGACAGGAGACAACCUUUAGCCAGAAAAAAAAUAAAAUUAUCAAAUCGAAUACUAAUAAUUUAUCUUAUCUCCCUAAUCUACUUUAAUCAACAGCAGCUAACGUGCACCGUCCACCAGGCGGCGCAGGUUAAAAGGAGGAAUCAGUUGCACGGAAUAGGAGAUGGAGAAAUAAGAUGGGAAAAGCCCGAGGUAAACCCGUAACGUAUUUAUCAGCAAAUUAAUAAAACAACAUGCGAUUUUACUGAAGGCGGCAGGGUGAAAACGUGCGAAAUCCUAGAAAAUUUUACAGUCACUGGAAACACUGACACAAAAGAUCAAUUGUAGAACAACCAGAGCAGACCAAACUUAAAAGAUGCCUCAGAAGCAACCGUAAAGAGUUAAAAAACCAAUUGUCAGCUCUGCUUUUUCUUUAUUCCUUUUUUGUUUUUAUCUUUUAUUUGUCUUUUUACUCAAUGGCUCUACUUUUUUUUUUUUUUUAACCACGCCCAUAUCUAACAGUAAUUAUUGUGUAAAUCCAAAAAGUAAACAAGCGUGCGGAUUUGAUCAGACGGUGUAGAGUGAAUGGGAGGAAUGGAAGGCUAAGAUCCAUGCACUUCCCAUCAUAUUCGGUGAUUAGGGGACACAACAGCGUCUGGUUGUUGAGUUGAGUUGACUGUAGUAAGCAGAUAUGAUGGAAUCGUUGACCCUACGGCGCACGCCUCCCUCCUUUAACGUUUUCCGGGCCGUUGAUCACUAGCUCGUUAAAUUGCUAAUUAGACCUUCACAUUUCUAAAAAUUCUCAAUCAAGUCUGUUUAUUGGCCAAGGAAGCAAGCAAGCACCAAACAAAUACAAGUCGUACAUGGAGGGGAGGACCAAAUAUGAGCUAGAUUCUAAAAUGUUUUUCUAUACUGAAAUUUUUAGCAUUAUUGGGACCAUAGUGACCGAGUUGCCGUCACCGUUAACUGCUUACUCUGCUAAGUCUUCAAACAUUUUUAUUUUGCAGCUUGCUGGGAAACACCAUCAUGUGCAUAGAAUUGUAUCAGUCUCCCGUUCCUUUUUCUCUCUGCAAUCAUUUCUUUGAUGAAAUAGUAGCAAUAUAGCCAGAUGUGGUGAAGAAGCAAUGAAAAGAGUAAAACAAGGGGCUAUACUUUUCUUUUCUUUCUUUUAUUUUUUGACUUGUUCCCAGUAUACAGGAUUGAAAAAGGGUGAUCCAACCGGACCAAAUAAGAAAUUCAAAAGGACUGAAUCACUAUCGACACAGAUAAGUACCUGCUGACAAAACAUUGAUCAAUAUAUCAUUAAUCGAUACAGUCUUUCUUUUUGUUUUUUUGUUGGUGAUUGUCUACCAUCCAGCCUUUGAAGCACUCGUUAAAAUGUAGUUUAAGUGUUGUGGAAAAAAAAAUCUGACAAUUGAACAAACUCAAACUAACAAGACACUGUAUUAAAUCGAAGAACUCAAAUCACACAAUGUGGGUGAGUCAAAACACUUAAUGCUUAGCUAAUCAAUAACCUUGUAUUGUUUAGACGUCUUAAUUGAAAUUAACCACACCCUAAAGAUUACAUCAUGCUUGCUUCAAAAAUCAAAAUGGGUCCUGUUUAGCUCAAAUUCCACUACGCAAAUGCUCAGGAUUCGGUCAAUUGACCCAUCUGAUUUCGACUUUGACUUGCAUUACAGGAUUCGUUGUAUUUGGAUGCCAGCUUGACCCGGCGUUGAAUCAACCGGUGGCCGGUGGUUGGCCCUGCCAGGAGUCAAUACUUGACUGGUUGGGUUUACCACUUUGCUGGCUUUUACUUGCUCGCCUUUUUGUUGUCUACCCUGCUUUCGUUGCCUCGGGGCUCCCUUGUUCAUAAGUCUAACAAAAUGUCUUCUAACUCUAAAUCUCAUAAAGAGAAAAAAGAGAAAUUUAAGAGCAGAAUAAAAAAAAAUUUUACAGUCAUUCAGCUGACGUCGUUACCAAUUCAAUGGCGGCGUUUGGAAGACAUGAAGAGAGAGAAUACUUACCAGUUACCAGUACUAGAAUGGUUAUAUUCUAUCAGAAGAGGCUGCUCUAACGAUAAGGGAAACUUUGCAAAUUGACUAAUAGCCGAAACAUUUGACGAUGAUCUUGAAUCAUGAUGCCUGAAACGAAAAAGAAGAAGCAGAUGUUAAGUUUCAGAGGCCCGCUUAAAAAAUAAAAUAUGGGUUUCGGGUCGAAAUGUGCCGGUAGCUGCUGGAUCUGGAUGGCGAUUGAUUCAGGAUUGGUUGGUAUGGUGGGUCCUCGAAAUGUGCCUGGCACAAGAUAGUGGGCCCGCCCAAAAGUGCCGGAAAAAGGAAAUCAAAGCGUUAUCCAUGUAGGGUCACGGGUCACCGGCACCGCACAGCUUAGUUUUGUGGUUGAGGAAAUCCGGGCCUGGUGUUGACGGUUUAAAAAGCAAAAACGAGAGAGACGGGAGAAGAGUUCGUAUCAAAAUAGUAGUAGUGGAAUCAGCAACCAGCCCAACCAAUCAGUAUUCACCAUGUAUGUAUCAUGUACGUAUUGUUGAUCAAACACUUUUUUAUAAUCAAAAUAAUGUGGCCAUGGCACUGAAGGAUGAGCCCACUUUCUGCCUGCCAUUACUACAGUGCAUACAAAGUUGCCAAUAGCCCAUAAGCUAGACUUAGUCGUCCUCUUGGGGGAAAAAAAAAAGGUAAGUACCAGCGACAUUCUUCAUCUCAAGAUUCUCUAUUCCAUAAUUCUCUUUGUCAACGAAUUUCAUAACAUCUUUUCACUCUAUCGUUUAGGCAGUGAUUGUUCCAUCAAAUUGAUGCACCAUUGUUGAUUCAUAGCUUCCCGACUUGAGGUGAUAACUGAUUUGAGUUAAGUUCGCACCAAAUUUCAAUAUUGAAGAUUAUGGGGUCAGUAUCAUCAGGGGACAGGACACUCGUGAAAUUACCAUAAGAUGGAGGAGGUGGCUAUCAUAUAGAAGAAAAACUUCUGCCAAAGCUGUAUUUGUCCAUUUUGAAUGAUGAUAAUCCGAAAUUAGUGCAACAUUUUGGGAAAGUAAUUAAUAUUCAUAUUCGAUCAUUUUAUUUGGGCUGUAGAGAAGUUUGUUAAUGGUCGAUGAUAUUCUUCGCAUUCUAAAAAGAGUUAAAUGACAUAAACACUCACUCCAUAGAUUUUUCUAAUUUUUUAAUUGCCAAAAUACGCUCAAGGUAUAAUUUAACGAUAACUCUGUGUUACUUUUGUAGAAACCUUUUUUUAAUUUUAAAAAAAACUCUAACAUUAUUGUUUAAUAAAUCCUAAAGUAAUACACAAUUUCAAAAUAAUAAUAAUAAAAAAAGUUUAGUACUUUACUGAAGAACUACUAAACAAUUGAUCAUGGUUGUUAAGAUUCUCUUCUAUCACUAGUUGUAUUAUAAUCCAAGACUAAUUUAAGAGUAGGAAAAAUUAAGUGAUAAAAUAAAGAAAUUUACUACCAUUAAAUACAUAGAUGGGCACUUUUUUGUCUCCAAAAAUAUUUUUGUGUCAUUUUAUUAAGAACAAAAAAAGAAAGAAAGGAAGGAUGAAGUGUCUGGAGCAUUUUUCGAAAUGCUUAAAUCAUUUGCAUUGAUAUUGAUCUCAGUUUCAUAGCAUUGUCAUUUAGCAGUAGCAGGAAGGACAAACUUAAUUUUAUUUUUGCUCCCAAACUGUUCUACUGGCAGACGUCUCAAUCGUUCUCCAUCUGUUGCGCGCCCAUAUCACACACGCUACUUCGCCAGUGCUGGAAGAAAUCAAAAGAAGGUGGCUUUUUUUCUUUUUUUUCAGAUCAUCCUGAUCAUAACUUCUCGGACUGGGAUUUGAAAAUUCAAUGAACGAUAUCAAUGUUGGGCUUUGAUGUGUCAUCAUCAGGAACUUGAUCUAUAUCCGGAAGGAAAUUACGUAUUCGAGCACAAGAUACACCAAUCAUUCGUCGGUGGAGUAAUGCUACGUAUAGCAGCCUCGUCAACUUAUUUUGUAAUUGCAAAAUGUUGAAAUUUCGGGGAAAAUUUAUUUCAAAGGCAUUAUUUAACUUAUUAGUAUAAUAAAAAAUAUAAAUCUUAUAUAUACUGAUAGUAUAUACACUAUCACCGUUGAAUUCAUGACGCAUAUAUAAAAAUUAAAUUUUAAAUUCAAAUUUUAUAUAAUUAUCAUUCAUCUAACGCUAGCUAACAGUGUAUACACGGUCAGUGUUAAAAAUAUUAAUCCUAAUAAAAAACACAUAGUCACUAUUUAUGGUCCCUCAAGUCUGCAAUCAUGGAAUAUUUAUUUAUUUAUUAUUAUUACUAUUAUUUUUUGAACGGAGGAAUAAAUCAACUAAUCAAGCAGUGGAUAUCCCCGUUCCUCUUAUCAUUUUUAUUCCCUUUUUUUUUUUCCCACGGGCAGCCCCUUUUCCUACAAGGACAUAAUCGUCACUUGAUAAUUUCGCUCGCGUGUCUGACUGAAAAUGACCCAUUAUCUAUUCAUCUCGAAUUCUUCAGUUAGCAGUUAGCACCCAUUGCUGAGUGCUGAUCUUCCUUCACCCGUUCAGUCAUGGCGGCCUCUCUUCGCUCAAACGUCAACUUCGUCGCCGCCCCCCAUUCUUCAAUCAUCCGACCAAAUAGCAGUCGGAGUCACACAUCCAUACGCUGCGGACCACGGGACAAUCGUGGUCCGAUAACCAGAGGCCGCGUAUUAAGCACAGAAGCAAUCCAAGCCGUUCAAGCCCUCAAACGAGCCCACAGAGCUAACCCCACAAAUCUCAACGACAGCACCCAUCUCUCCCAAACCCUCUCUCGCCUGAUUAAAGCCGACCUCAUUGCAGCCUUCAAAGAGCUCCUCCGCCAGGACCACAGCGAAAUUGCCCUCAAAGUCUUCUCAGCCGUCCGAUCGGAAUACAAUCUGGAAUUGGGUCUCUACGCUGAGUUGGUCACGGCUUUGGGCAAGAAAGGUUUGACGGAGGAAAUCGAGGGAGUGGUCUGGGAAUUGGAAAGACGGGGUAGAAUCCAGUGUGAUGAUAAGGGGCUGGUGAGGUUGGUUAGAGCGUUGAUAGCCGCUGAUUGUGGGGGAUCAACGGCCAGGAUAUAUGGGUUGAUGAAGAGGAGUGGAUGGGGGUCCAGUUUUGAGGUGGAUGAGUAUUUGGCGAAGGUGUUGAGCAAAGGAUUGAGGAGAUUUGGAGAGGAGGGCUUGGCUAACGAGGUUGAUGCGGAAUUGAGGAGGUCUCAUGAAGGUGUUUUGGAGAAAGCAAGAAGUUAACCCAACCUCUUUUAGUGUACUGAUUCCGUAAUUUAGCAAUACUUGAUUUAUAAUGGAAUCAUGAUUUUGUUUUCUGCUUUUAUUGCCCUUUAGAUAUGUAUGAAGCAGCCUCAGAUUCUACCUUUUUCUAUUUAAAAUACUUUUUAGCACAUUUGUUAAUUAUUAACCUCACUAAUAUAAAUAAAUUAUAUAUCUAUAUAUGUGUGUGUAUUUAUGUAUAUGUAUACACACACGAGCAUGCAUAAAUUCAAAGCAAAAAAAAAAAAACUCUAAUCCAAUUGAGCUUUUACCUAGGGUGAGUGUAGAUCGGGUAUUCGUCCCAUCCAUUAUAAUUUGGCUGACUCAACUCGCAUCUUGUAGGUAAGUUAUUUUUUGAUCAUUGCCCGCCCCGCAUAUUAACGGGUACUAGGGAUGGCAACGGGGCGGGGUUGGGGCGGGGGACCCCUCCCUCGUCCCCCGCCUCGUUGCCUAUUAGUUCCCCCCGUCCCCCGCCUCCCGCUCCCCCCGCCCCGCCCCGCCCCCGCCCCGCUCCUCCCGGGGGCACCUGCGGGAUUAAUAAAAUUUUAUUAUAUAAUUUUAUUAUAAUUAAAUUUUAAUAAAUAAUCAAGUACUAAAAUAUCAACACAUCACCAAAUUAUUAUUCAUUGUAAUUUUACAAUUGAAACUCAUAAAAACAAUCAAACAGAAGUUAUUUGAAUACAAUCCAAUAUAUGAAAUUUACUAAUAGUCUUUCCUUUUUUACAUUGUGAGUGUCUUUUUUUUUUUUAGAAAAAAGUGGUUAUUUCUAUUAAGUGUAAUUAGAAAUUUAGUAUAAAUGUAUUAGUAAAUUUAGUAAACUAAUUUAAUAAAUUCUAUUUAGUAAAAAGACAUGUAAUAUUCAUAUAAUGAUAAACAUAAACUAAUAUACAUUAUAUAAUACAUCUAACUAAUAAAUCAUUAUCCAUAGUUUAUAACUAAUUAACUUACAAUAUAAUACAAGAAAAAAAAAAGUUAUAUUAGUCAUUUUAUAUUUAUAUAUAUAUAUAUAGUUUUUUUUUUUGCGGGUGGCGGGCGGGGGAUGGGGCGGGGGAGUAUACCCCCGCCCCCCGCCCCGUUUCUAAGCGGGGGGAAAAAAUUCUCCCCCGCCCCCGCCCCGUGAGCCCCCCGCGGGGCGGGCACCCGCGGGUACCCGCCCCCAUUACCAUCCCUAACGGGUACCUAAUUAAAAGGUAUUCGUUGAGAUAGGGUCGGAUCAACGGGUAUCUGCUUCACCCUACUUAUUAUUUAAUUUAAAAAAAAUAAUUUAUAUUAAUUUAAUUUUAUAUUUUACACAUUCAUCUAAAAUUUAAUAAAGAUUUUUUUCUCAAAAAAAAGUCUUCCACUAAGAAAUAAACAUGUGAAGAGAAUACAAGAAAAGGAAAAAAAGUUUAAAAGAAUUCAAAAUCAAUAAAAAUUUGAAAUAAGUAGUAUAUUUUUUUAAAUAUAUGUUCCAUAUUAAUUAAACUCUUUUCCAAUAACACAUAAGAUUAUGACUUCUACAAAUGAGUCUUGUAAAUAAAUUAUAGUCUCUUAUAUUUGUAAUGUAAUUUGUUCAAUGAAAUUGUUUAUUUAGCUCUAAAAAUAUUAUUUUAUAGUAUAUGUAUAAAAAUAAAAAAUAUAUAUGCGGGGCAGGUCGGGUAUCCGUGAAUUUUUAAUUUGUGACUCUAACCCGUCAUACAUUUUAGUGGAUAUCCGAUCCUCUUUUGACCUGAUCAAAUAUUAUAAAUUGGAUAUCCUAAUUUUCGGAUCGAAUCGGACCGGAUACAUCGAGUUUUUGAGUUUGCUCAUAAUUUUGCCCACCCCUACUCUUACCUUUUUUUUGGUUAAAAAAUGGAAGUAGGCUAUUUUACCUCAAGAAAAAUACAAGAAAACAAAAGGAAAAAAAAGGGCCAUAAAUUAGCUGCCAUUUCUCCUUAUGUUUAAGUGCUAAGCUAGCCCUCACUCCUCCAAAACAAGCUAGUAGUAGUACUACAAUUUACCCUCGGCUGCAGCAGUCAGUGUACAGCUAGAUUGUCCAGCCGCGGGCCUGGUGAAGGAGAAAAUAGAACGAAAGCGCGAAAUAUUCUUGGUUAAUUAUCAUUCAUCUUGAAAGUCUACAGCUUAAAAAUUAGGCAAGGAGAACGGACCCGAACUUGAUCAUCGUCUUCCUCUAAUAACACUAAAAAUCCUCCACCGCCAGCGGGCGCUCCUGUUGAUUUCUCCCUCCUAUUCUAUUAUCCCAACAUUUUCUGUCUAAUAACUAUCCGUAUUUUGCUCGAAUUUAGUUUUUUUUUAAAUAAAAAUAAAAGAAAAACAUUAUGCCAUUGUAAACCUCAUUUUGGUUUCCAUCAGUUACUGGGAGAUAAUGUAAAACGCUAAGAAUGUGUUUGGAUUGCAUUUUCUGUCAUUUUUCAUGAAAAAAUUACUGUAGCAAUUUGAUAUAUGUGAGGGAAAAAAGUGAUAGGGAAAUGUGAUUACGAAAAACGACAAUAUUUUUCGACAGAAACAUGCAAUCCAAACAAGGCCAAAUUUCGUCUCACAUUGUGAAAAUAGAGACCCUGAAAAUGACUCUCUAUUUCUUCUGAAAUUAUUAGUUUAUGCUAUUAAACUAUUAAGAGAGUAGUCCUAUGUAAUUCCUCAAGGUGUUGAAGUACUAUGCAUUGUACAAAAUGUGCUAACAAUCAAAUAGAGCCUAUUUGAACUUGAAUAUUUAUCUUCUUUUCUUUUUUCUUUUUCUUUAAAAUCCUUCUCCAUGAGUGUGGAAAUCGAUUUCUCUGAAAUGGACUCUCUAAAAUCGAUUUUAAAGAAUCUACUGCGGCUUGCUGGUUCUCAUAGACUGCACGUCUCAAUUCUUCGUUUCCGAAUUUCUCGCCUUGCAGUUGCAGCUUGAGUUUAAUUAUUAUUCCUGCACUUCGCUGCUGACAUGAUCGAAAUUUUCUCUUGGAGAGGCUAAACUAAUAAGAAGCUACAAGAAGCACUAGAUUUUCUAUUGACCAUUGAAGAGAAGAUCAUUACUCUGAAUUUAUGAAGAGCUUCUUUUCGAUGCAAGUGCAAAUGUUGGUUGGGACCGUGUUGGGCCUUUAUGACUAGUUGGAUGAGAUACUGUUGUAUUGAUCUUCUGUAGAAAAAGUUUAGAUCUUGAAGUGCCAUCCAAAUUGCAUAUCAUAGAAUCCCGAUCCCCAACUUGUCUUGUACCAUUAUGUUUGAUCUUGCUGUUCUAGCGCGUUGUUUGUUAACUGACAUCAUAUAGUUUCCGCCGUUGUUUUCUGAUUUAGGCUACUUUGAAAGGGAUAUCUGGGCUCCAAUGGUCAAUCAAAAAAUUGUUCUGUUGCCACUCAUUCCAGUCAAUGUCUCGGGGCUUGGCUGAUGUUGUUAUCGUUCGAGUCAAUGUCUCUGGGCUCGGGCUUGCUGUUGUUGUAUCGUUCGGCUCGAAACAGGCUAUAUAUAUAUAUAUUGCCUCUGUCUCUCUCUCAAGACUUACAAACACAUGCACACACGCGCGCGCACACUCACGCACACCUUUGUGUCAUUUCCUACCAUCCACACAGCUGCUGUAGUAUUUGCCUUGACAAGGAAUGACAAACCUUAAAAGUUUACUUAACUCCUCUCUAUUUUUGUGUUUCUCACAGAUCACUGGAAUGUCCAAUGUCAAGCAUGAAGUCUCAUACAAUGUACAGAAACUUGCAGAGCGUCAUCCUUAAGCAGUCUCCUUGUAUAUCUUCCCCAUGGAAGAUGUGUCUUUGAGAAGUAGAUGUCCUUUACAUUUAUUCUGAGCGCACACAUCUUUUACUAUCAAAAUAGCUGCCAAAUGACUGCUGCCGUGGACUGAGUCCUGACCAAUGUGUAAGCAAUUGAAUUCUAUGCCCUGGCAGGUCUGUUUGGAGUGCUUUGGUGCUUUAGAUGCUCUGAACCGCUUGUUAUACAACUGCAAUGCUACAUAGCAAUCUUGUGUGUUAACCUUGGUGCUUUAGGUGUUUUCCAUCAGCAAUUUUUGGAAUGACAAAGAAUGAUGUCUAGAAAAAGCAUUGCUAUUUCAAUUCUUUAGGAAAAGUAUCCACGCCACUUUAAGGAGUGCAUCCAAUCCUUUGAAACGUUACAUGUGAAUUGUGAUGUCCAAAAACCCAUGUUGCUGUUUAUUUUUGAGCUGUCCCUGAUCCAUUUGUUCUUCUUUCUUUCUUUUUAAUGAUUCUAUUGUUACACUUUUCUUCGUUUUCUAAAGUCAAUCAGAACUUCAUAUGAUUGUGGUUUGACUUCAGAAAUCUCUCCUUUUCUGCCUUGCUGGAUUCCUGGAUUGCCAUAGCCCAAUUAGAAUAGGGAUAUUCAUAUAUUUAGAGCUCGUGGGUGCAUUACCGCUCGGAUGUCUCCGAUGAACAAGCAAAGCUCUGCUUAGGUUAGGUUUCCAUAACCACGUUGAGUGUGCAAUCUCGACCCCCCGGAAAUCCAGACUUGAUGUCUUCUUGAACUCCGACAUAAAUUUAACCUAUAUCUUGGUCAUUUACGUAACCCAACUAAGCUAUAAAUCGUAAUUUCUUUUUUUUUUUUGGGUUGGCGUUGAGAAUUUGAUGUAAAACCCGUUAUCAAGCCUUUAUUAACUGGAUUCGAAGCUUUACGUGUCAGGCAUUAUUCGACUCGAUCCCUAGAUACAAUUCGAUGGCCGCGCACGCUCCCAAAGGAUAUUGCUGGAUCCCGCUCCUCUUUCAAAUUGCUGAGUUCGUUACCAAAAAACCAAGAAAUUGCUACCACUAUGGAGGGGGAAAAAAAAAGAAGAAGAAGAAGAAGAAGAGGAAGAGGAAGUUGCUAAAGCGUGCUUUGAAAACUUGAUUCACAAUUUCACACAUUGCAAUUACCAUGGGAAAGUAUGACUUUAGCAUUUUAAACAUUAAAGUAGAUUGUGGUAAUUAAUAACUGAAAUGACAAUACCAUGGGAGUCGCAGGUUCACCAUGGCAGGAAAAGGGUUCUAUCGGCACUUCAUAAAGUUUCCCUUGAUGUGAAGAGGCUAAUAUCACUUUUCACUCUCCUAAGUAUUGCUUCUUUGGUAGUUUAUAUCUUAAACUUUUACCUGUGACAUUUCUUACCUACAACACUUCUCUUGCCACUUUGACGCAACUGAAACGUAGAUGCUAAUUUGUGAAUAUGUCGAUCGAGCACUUAAGUAGCAUUUUCGUUUAUGAAUAAAAAUAUAUAGAUGACAAUCGUACGUGCUCUAUAAAAUAGUCUGGUUAAUGUUCAAGAAAUUAUGUAUAACUAUGCAAAUUGUUAUUUACAUUUUCAAGGACUAUUGUUAUAUGUUCAAGAAAUUAUGUAUAAAGACAAUACGCUCCCAUUUUUGUUAUUUAUAUUUUUACUGUCAUUUUAAUUUUAAUUUAUUAGAUUAUAUGAUAAAAUAAAUGAUAAAAGCGCAGAUAACAUUUUCUGAUCUUGAAAUGGAUGAUCUUUCAUCCAAAGAAUUUAUUCUUUCCACAAAGAAACCACAUUUUCUAUUUUCCUAUGUAUAUAUGAUAUUAUCAAUCAUUGUCCUUUAGCCUAAUAGCCAUAUCGUACGUUAGAUCGAGGAUUCAAAUUGCACCUAAUACAUUACAAAGAAGCAUUGUGCUUCUUUUAUUUAAAAAAAAAAAAAGAAUUUAGAAAAUGCAGUAGUACACUUGUCACCCUCCAUCCUAAAACAAGCUCCCAGUUAGACUCUUUCUCUCCAUAGAAUAGGAAUAGUAUAAAUUGUAGCUGUUAGACGUAUAUGUGUAUGUGUGUUUAUAUAUAUAUAUAUAUAUAUAUCCUUUUAUCAUUGUUGUCCAUUUAUUUUUGGGCACAUUCGGCUUUAAGCUACUAAAAAUGUGAGACAUUAGCUAUAUCUAAUCAUGGCUUGGGAAAAGAGCAUGCUAUCCCAAUUAACACAUAAUUAUAUCUGGACCUAACCCUAACCCUAACCCCCACCCAACUGUAUUACAAUCCCCAGUUACCACCCCAAAUCAAGGAAAUAAGCUCCACAAAUGUUUGUUUUUUGGCCUGAAAACACUCCUCACCAGCUUUUUUUCUGCCCCCACUUUGUAAUAAAGUUAAAGUAAGAAUAAAAAGAGCAAUAGAUGCAUGAUAUAUGGAGAGAGAAAGGAAGCACACACAGACACACACAAAAAACACAAAGCUUCUCAACCCCACAAGUAUGAAACACUACUACUUUGUUGACAAAGACAUUGGGUUUCCUGAGCCUCUUCUGAGAAAGCAAACACAACCCUGAAAGCUUCAACAAAGGCUCAUUUUGGUGUUCAAACAAGGAAAGAUGACAAAGUGAAGAGUAAAAGCUAAAAAAGGGAGCAAAAGGAAUUGUUACAGCUUGUUCUAUAUAUAUAUUUUGCACGAAUGAUUCGAAUAAGCAGCUAAAUCACUAGUACUACUGUUACCAAUGAUGGCAGGAAACCCUAACUGGUGGAGCAUGAAUAGCAUGCAUCCACAGUCUCAUCAGCACCAGCAGUUUCCUUCCACCACUACUUUUCAUUCACCUGCUCCUCCUCCUCCUCCUCCUCCUCCUCUUCCUCCACAGUAUAAUUUGUAUGGCGGAUCUUCUUCACCUCUUUCUGCCAACUCUUUGUCUGAUCAUCAUCCCAACCCAGACUUCCCACGCUCAUGGAGACAACUGCUCUUGUAAAUCUCUCCUUCUCUUUUUAAUUAUUUGAUGUCUGCUAAUUCACGCAUUUUCUUUAAAGAGGUUCUACUUGAAUUUAAGUUCUCAAAGAUGAACACUAGUCCUUUGCUAGCUGUACUUGUUCUUCCAGCAUGUUAACUUUUCUAGCUUGUGUGUUUGUGUUCUUUCUUUAUCUAUUGAUUUUAAAUAGUAAUCCUCAGUAGCUUUUGCAUAUCUAACCAGCAGGUAGAUUAAACAAACUUUUGCCACUCAACUUUUAAUCUUUUUUUUUUAAUUUUUUGAUUCUAGUGUCUGAUAAGAUAAAGUAUUUUUUAGCUCAAAGUAUUUGCCGUGAUUUGAAGAAACAUAGAACAUGGAUGAUCAAAUUUAAUGAUGAUUACUUUGCAGGGGUGGGUUAGCUAAUGAACAAGAAAGGUUUGUUGGCAGUCCUUUUCAAAACAAGAAGUUGGAGAACUGGGAAGGCCAGACUUUGAACCCAUCUUUAAGAGUUCCUGUUUCUGAUGUGAAACAAGAGGUUGCUCUAAGUACCAGCGUACUUUUUGGAGCUGCUGCAGAUGAGGAAUUUCAAGCUUCUACUAGGCCUUCUUGGUCACAAGUCGUGCAAGCAUCUUCUCCGACCUCUUGUGUUACAAGUUUAAGCAGUAACCUAUUGAACUUCUCUAGUAGCAAAACCGAAGGAAGGAACCAAAAUCCAGAAAAUUCAUCUGAGGUAAGCCAUCAAUUCAGUGGUGAAGGGUAGAUUUCUCUUUUUCCAGCUCUUUCUUUUCUGUUUUUCCUUUUUUGGGUUUUGCUAGUGGCCAAGGUUCCAUUAGUACAUGUCGAAGCUCUUAAUUUUUUUCUAUUUAGUAAUGUCCAAAAAUUAAUCAACUUUAAGAUUUAUUUGGUCUGCCGCCAGUUGAACCACAUUUAUGCAGAAGGAGAGAACAUUAUCUUUGCACCAUAGCACAAGAAAGGGGUGCUAGCUGAUUUUGUACAUUAAUUAGUCGUUGAACCAAACAGUAUUUCUUCAUAUUUAAAUUAUUCCAUUACUUCCUGCUUAUCGUUGUCUUUGUUUUGUUGUAAAAGUGCAACAGCUCGAUAGCCGGUGGUGUAUCUAAGAAGCCUAGGAUUCAACACUCCACAGCCCAACCAGCUCUUAAGGUAGUCAUUUUAUGCCUCAACUUGUACAAUCUUGCAUUUCUCAAGACUUCAUAGUCAGCAACCAUGUCUCAUUCUUCAAUGGAAAAAAAAAAGAGAAAAAACUGGAUCAAAUUUUUGAAAUGCAUGCUGGAAAUAGAACUUCCUAAUUAUUUUAUCCACAUACUUAAAUUUUACCAUAUAUAUAUGUAUAUAUAUUCAUUCUCAACAGGUAAGAAAGGAGAAGCUAGGGGAUAGAAUAACAGCCCUUCACCAACUUGUUUCCCCAUUUGGAAAGGUACAUAUAUCCAAUAUUAAUUAAACAUCUCCAUCUCGACCGUCUCCAUUAUUUACUUGUUAUAUCUCAAAGCCGACUGUGAUCACUGAAACAAAGAAAUUAAUUAAGAUAAACGAAAGAAGAAACUUGUUUAGUUUAUGAUAAAGGCCAUCAUGAAAGUUUUACUUAAUACAAAUACACAAUGAUAUGAUGCUUAACCUUUUUUUCUUUUGAGAGGAGGAAUGAGUUAGCUAGCUAAUAUUCCUCAACUUUAUCUUCCCUUCCCAUCUGGUUUGUCUUUUGAGAUUGAGAAGACCCGGUAAGAAAUGACUAUGUGGGUGUUGUGGCAUGUUUCUCUUUUGCAGACUGACACUGCUUCUGUCUUAUCAGAAGCUAUUGGGUAUAUCAGAUUCCUUCAGGCCCAAAUUGAGGUGAGGUGAUGUACAGUAGGAUAAUUCUUUCUAAUCUUGCAUCAGAUUUUUACCCUAGACACUUCAGUCUGCAACGACCUAAAAAAAAAAAAAACAGUUAGCUAGUGAAAGCGUGCAGUUCAAAAAGUUCCCAUCUGCUCGUGCUUUCCAGACAUCCAUGCAUGAGCUAAUUUUUGCAGUUGUAAGAGAUGAACAGAAAAGAAGAAAAAUAUUCUUGUACAAUCAAUUUUCUUUUUCUUUUUGGGUAGGUGCAAUCAAUUUUCUUUUAGGAGCUGCUUUAGUUUAAUUUGCACCUGAAAAUUUGAUUGCAGGCACUUUCCUCUCCGUACUUGGGUAAUGCAUCAGGAGUAUCAGGGAGCAUGGGUCAGGGUCACCAACAACAAUCUGUAAGAUAGAUAGCUAUUCAAUCCUUACAACAUGCGCAUCUUCACAUUUCCCCAAGCAAAGGGGAAGAUCCUCUUUCUUUCUCUCUCUCUCUCUCUUUCAUACACGUGUGUUUUACUGAUUAAUGCUGGCAUUCGAUUCUAGUUCCAGCCACCUAACUGGCUAUCAAGAUGGAAUUGUUUAAGAUUCUGCCUACAGAAAAUGGAAUUGUUUAAGAUUGAAGAAUAAAUUCUGCCUACAGAAAAAGGAAUUGUUUAUUUCUUGUUCGUCUAAGAGCUUAGCAGGCAUGCUGUAUUGGAUCCAUUGCUAGCCUUAAAGCAACUCAUUCUGGAAGUCAAAGAAAGCCUUUUCCGUUCAUUAUUGUCGUUGUUCUUUGCUGAAAAUUAUAGCAAGUUGAUAUGUGGUUGAGGGUCUAACCAAAAUUUGGACACCCUCACCUACGCACAAAGUUUGUGAAUAGUAAAUUAACGUGCUUAUCCUAUGAGCUGUGCAAAAACAGUAAAAACAAUAAUAAUUUUCUUCUUGUUACACUUAUUUAGGAUUCAUGUCUUCGUGUAAUCCUAGGUUGUCCAAGAUCGGCCUAAGGACUUAAAGAGUAGAGGGUUAUGCCUGGUUCCCAUAUCUUGUACUCAGCACGUCGGAAGUGAUAACGGAGCAGAUUACUGGGCUCCAGCUCUUGGCGGAGGAUUCUAGUCGUGGAUAUUUGUGGCAGCAGUCUGCUCUCGCUUUAUCAAUGGAACCCCCUUAUGGAAUGAUAUAACAUCACCAGCAGUCAUUCUUCAAACUAGGACUGACUGCUCUUGAUGCUACUAUGCAUUCCAAGAGAGGAAGAAAAUUAAAAAGAUCAUAUGACUCUCAGUGUUAAUGUGAUUCUUUUUAAUUAUUACCUGUACGUGCUUCAUAAGGGGGCCAAAAAAAAAAAAAAACAAUUAGCUAGCUCUAGGUAGCUAGCUUUGUGUGUAAUGUAUAUGCUCUUCAAUCUCAAGUUCAUUUUAAUUCAAAUCCUACGACUGUUCAUGUCAAUGGUACAAGUCACAAAUCCUAGCUAGUAUAAUAGUUUUAUGCUUUAAACAUAUUUUAGAACGCGCGGAAGCACGUGGAUUUAACUCCUCCCAAUGAGUUGCCUUCUCAGUUCUUAAAGCUCCAAUAUUCUGCUGCAAAAUAUCACUGACAUAAAGCAGAUAGAUAGAUAUUCGUUAAUUUGACAAAGAGAGAGUGGUUACCAUUUUCUUUUCUCGCUACAUGAAACUCCAGACUUUCUACUCUUUGAAGAAAGAAAAACUAUGGGGAGAAGUUGGUGUGCUACCUUUGAGUCAAUUUUUUUUUUUUUUAAGUAAAAUUACCUGAGCCAUUAAUUAAUCAAUUUAGAUGGAAGUAAUGGCUUAGAUAAUGCAAUCUCUGGAUAUAGGGAUAAUGCAAUCUCCGGGGGAGGGUUGGGUCGGGUGGUAUGGGAUGGAGGGAGUGUAAGUGAGAGGUCUCGGAUUAAAGUUCUCUUGCUUACACUAAAAAAAAAAAAAAAAAAGCUUGAUGUUAAAUCAUAUUCGGCUAAUUUAGCACUUCUUCAUCUAAUUCACCAAACGCAAAAGCAACCCUUGUAAUUUUGUGUUUAAAUGAGCACAAUUAACUAAACAAGUAAAAUGCUCUCCUUGCUGGGUUCUCUGUGUGUCAAAUUUAACCGAAUAAAAAUCGUUUAUAUUAAUCCACCCACAAAUCUAUUUCUCCUUCUUCCUCUAUCCCUUAGUGUCUUAUGAUAUUUCGUUUUUCAUUGGCUUGUGAAACACUUUUUAGUCAUUAUAUGUCCCAAUGAUUUUUUUUAUUAUAGCGAAGUUGUUGGACAGUGAUUUUCUUCUGAUUGUUAGGAAUUGCUACAUGUGAUAAAAAAAAAAAAAAAGAAGAAUUUCCUGACCUAUCAUGACUAAUGUGCUUUAUGAAUAGCAGCUAAUACAAAACUAUAGGGAGAGUUGAGACAAUUUUAUUUCCUAAUCUAUUAUAAAAAUAGAUUAAUUAAUUUUUAACGAGUUUAAAUGCACGACCCUUAUAAAGAAGCACUUCACUUCUGACAUUAAAUGCUCUUAACAAAAAUAUUUUUUAACUUAUCAAAAAUUGGACUAUUUAAAUUACGAAAAUUAGUUAUCAAGCACUAUAAAAAUGUUUCUAGUGUUUAAAAGCUUUUUUUUUUUUUUUUAUAAAUACACCUUAAUUCCAAACAGACAGGGCCUUAAUCAUAUAAGAAUUUUGUGAGCCAAAAGAUCUUGGCAUGCACCGACCAAACGAAGGUCAAAUUUUUAUGUCCUUCUUUGGAUCACUCAUUAUUAAUCUGUUCAUUCAUGACAUUUUACACGGAUCGGAGAGGAGAGCUGCAAAUGACCUUGCCAUUAUUAAUGUUAAGGAAGAAAAGAUGCUUGUAUGUGGCGCCAAAUGUGAAAUAUCAAGCAGGGCAUGGCGGUGGACGGUGGUGGGGCUGCGGCUAAUCCGCAUGUGCGAAUCUGGCCCCGAUGUCUUCGUAGGCCUAGCUUCAGGGUCAGGUCAACCUGGACUUCUUCAUUAUUAUGUUCGUUCAUCACCCCACGUACUGCUGCAACUGCAAGUGCCAACAACCCAAAUGAGGUCGUGACGUUAGCCUCCAUCUCGGGGGCGGGGGGGGGGGGGGGGGGGUUCCUCAUUUUCCACUCCUUGCUGCAGUUAUACUUUGUUUGGACAAAGAUAAUUUGAUUCGUAAAAUUUAUUCUCACAAAUUUCAAUCACAUUUUUAUAUUUCCAAUCACUUUUUUAUCUCACGUACAUCACAUCACAAAAAGUGCUACAAAGAAUAUCUCAAAUGAAUCAUCCAAAUAAACUCUUAUCCAAACAAACUCACUUUUUCUCCGGCUUCCAUUCUGUUUUCUUUGUGCCUAAAAACUACACCUCUCAGAGAAACCACUCGAUCAAUUCAUGUAUAGUAUAGUAAUUAAUUGUUAGCGCAUAAAAAUGAAUUACGCUCUCAUAAAGACUCGUUUGUUCAAAUUUCGUCCGUUAUUAUUCCUGUAAGCGAUUUAUAGUUUCGAUUCAGAGUAUGCUCGUACUUGUGAUUACGAGGACGGCACAAUACUCAAAACCGGAAAAUAAAAAAAAAAAAAAAGUAGUAACUAGUAAGUAAUAAUUUCUGCAAGAACCAGUGAUGCUUUUUCACCGGUCCGGUGGGAGGGACCAUUCCUUGGUCUCUCCUCCUUGUGACAAGCUGCAGUGUCGCAAUAGUGAUGUCACGUAUUCAUCAGACGCAUUAUGUACAAUGGAUGGUAUAAAGAGGGUUGCCAAAUUUUUUUUGUCUUUUAAAAAAAAAAAAAGUUAUUUAUUUUUAUUGUUUAAAAUUUUUAUGAGGGAGGGAGGGAGGGAGGGAAUUGUUUGAGUACUCACUCACGUCUUCCACUUAGAUAUUCCACUUGCUAAAAAAGAAUGCCUAAUAGUACUGCUGAGGUUUUAAAUUAUUAGAGAAGUAGAACAAUAAGUGGGCAUUAUUUAAAGAUGACUGCAAACCUGUGGCCGAACAAUGGGUCAAAACAAUCAUCAAUUAAUCAUACUAAAUAAUUAUGAAAAGAUUGAUUGUCUGCUUGUGCUUUGCAAAAGGGGUAGAGGAGUUGUUUAUUUACUAUUUUUCCGGACCAAAAAAAAGCGAUCAUUGGACGGGGGGCUUUGCCGCCGCGACGUUAAAAUGCUUACCCCUUUGCACUGGGGAGGCCACAAAUUAAACUGCCAAUAAUGACCAGCACUGACCAGAGGCCACAAAUUUUUAUUUUUUUUUUGUUAUUUUUGGCAGAAGCACAAUCAGACACGAGCAAAAAACUGUUUUGUGCUUUUUAUUUAUAAGGAUAUAAGACAUUGAUUGGAGAUCUCCUUCAAAUAUCCGGUCGAAAUACAACAGAGCUUGCGACAUUUUUGCUUUCUCGUCAAAAAAGCCAAACAGGGUCUGUCUUCAUCAACCAGCAUUAAUUAGUAGUGGAAGAAGUACUGGCUGGCUUUUUAAUCUUUUUUUUUUUUUUUUAGUUUUUAUUCUUGGGUUGUUUUGGACAUAUCAUAAAUACCACGAAGUACUUGGGUUUUUUUUUUAAAGCAAAAAUCAAACCAAAAUUUGUACGAAUGGUUCACCUAUACUUGUUUUGUUGGUUGGGAAUUUUCCUUUAGGUUCAUGAUAAUAAUAAUAUUGCCUUGUGUUUGGUGUCUAGCUUCAUCUUCACCCGAACUUUGCCCCCCUUAAAGAUGGUCGAUAUGGACCCCUCGACGUGACCAAACAAUUCCAGUCUCAUUAGGAAAAAAAAAAAAAAGAAAAAAUUCACUCUGAAAAUUUGGCAAGUAAAUAGAGAUAAUUAUACAUUGUUGGGAAUUGCCUUAUAUUGAUGCUACAAACUAAUAUGCUUCUGGCCCGAACUGCUUUGGGCUAGCAGUGGAACAAAUGGCCUGGCCCGUGCAAUUGACGAGAUUACAGCCCAAAAUCAUCCGUAGACAGGACCCAGAACUCAUUAACGAUGACCCAAAGUUUGAUACGUGAAUGUGAUAAUUAUUUACCCAAAAAAAAAAAAAAAAAGGAAAAAAAACUUAUAAUCCCCUCUGACUUGUCUUCGCUGGUAUGAUGGAUGGUAUUGGUAUCCCCUCUGCAAUUUGGAUUAGUUUGUAAGAGUUUAGACACUACUGGUAUUCGCCUAUUUGCUGCCCAAAAAUGGCCGAAAUUGAUAGUAAAUGGAAGAAGACUGCUCUUCUGGUCAUAGACAUGCAGGUGCUGCCCAUCCUCCUACCUUCUAUUGAUCUUACUUUGAACCCAGAAAGUAAUCAUUUCUGGAUUCUAGUUCUAGUGUUCUACAUCUGCUUUUCGAUGCCUUUACUAUUUCUUGUUUGGUUUGCAAACCAGCCUCUAAUCCUUUUCUUGAUAUUUUUGUCUUUCUAAUUCUUGAGUUUAAAAUUGAAGCUUUAUACAGCCUUGAGUUUGGUUGUUUUGCAGAAUGAUUUUAUCCUCCCAGGAGGUCCAAUGCUCGUUAAAGGUGGGCAAGCUAUUGUUCCCAACGUCAUCAAGGCUGUAGAGGUUGCCAGAGGACGGGGCAUCCCUAUAAUUUGGGUAUUCUUCAGACCACUUUUUGUGCUUAGCUGAGUUCUGUUACUAGACCCUUCCCGGCAGACAAGAGACGAAAGUUGAAACUUUGGCUAGAAAUUAAAUCAUGAUUGUUAAUUUAGACUUGAACAUUUUGGUCAAGGCAACUGGAAAAUUUCAUCUUAAUCAAAUGGUAAUUUUAAUCUGGUAUCAGAGUAAUCAGAGGCGAUGAGAAAGUUCAAUUUUGCUGUGAAUUUUUAAUUCGCACAAGUGCUUUAUCCAUCACCUAGUACAUGAUCCCUACGUGAACCCAGAGAAAAAAUAAAUAAAUAAAAAAGGUAUACGAUCCCUAUGCAUGGACUGAAAAAUUACAAGUUAAUAAUGUGAUGUGUAAGUCUGGGAAUAGCGAUUCGCUUUAGCCUGCAAAUGACUUUUGGUAAUUCGACUGUAGGUUGUUCGUGAGCACGACCCUUCAGGGAGAGACGUCGAAUUAUUCCGCAGGCAUUUGUACUCUCCGGGGAAACCAAAGCCAACAUCUAAGGGCAGUUUUGGAGCAGAAUUAGUUGAUGGCCUUGAAAUUAAGGGAGAUGAUUAUAAGCUGGUGAAGACACGUUUCAGUGCGUUUUUCAAUACCCACCUUCAUUCAUAUCUUCAGGGUGCUGGAAUUAGUAAUUUAGUUUUCACCGGUAAAUGAGUUUUGGGUGUCAUCUCCCGUAUUUUUAUUUUGUCUAUUUUGCUAGGAAAUUAUACUUGUUAGAUUUGUACUUUCCAUGUUGCGUAAUUGAUUUCUUAAAUUUCUUUCCUAGGUGUCCAAACUCCAAAUUGUAUCCGGCAAACUGUCUUCGAUGCAGUGGCAUUGGAUUAUCAAUCUGUAACUGUAAUUAUUGAUGCUACAGCUGCUGCUACACCUGAAAUACAUGUUGGUAUGCAAUUCAUGUCUUCAAUCACAUCAGCGAGUUUUAUACAGAAAGGUUUUCUUUUGCUCAAAUGGGGAAUUCCCCAUCUACACCAUCUUAGCCUCAAUGUGCACUAAAAGAUGGCUUCACUGUGCAUGUGGAUUAGAACUUGUAUCACUGUACUUGCUGCAAUUGAAUGAGUGCGAGGGCACUGCCCAUUUGUUGUCAUUUUUGUACCCUGAUAUCUUCAAUUCCCAGCAUGUUAAACUUCUCUAAAUGAAGUUAUGGAAACCAUUCCAUGCCCUGGUAGGCCUCUUCUUCUUUCAUUUACUUCUCUGAUUCUAUUGCGUGGACAUGGUUCCUUUAGCCAAUGUCACAGAUGCAAACUGUAACAGUAGCAUGAAUGCCCCCUAAAUAUGGAAGAGUGAUUGUUAUGGAGUUUUUAUGGUAAACUGUUGUUUGGGCUAUAUAAGCAAUGAGGAGUGCGCCAAUGAGAGGACGGUGACAAAACACAAUACUUAUUUCUGGUUUCUGUGACCAGUAGACCAAGUAAUAAUGAAAUCUGGCUGAGAUAAGUGGAGGGAAAAUUUCAUGGAAAAGGUGGUGGAACUCUUAAAAAUGUCAGGGUCUAUUUCUGCUGCUAAGUGGCAGUCUCUUAAAAAAGUCUAUUUCUGCUUUCUGAUACGAUUGCUUGUGAUUCCUCAACAGCAAAUAUACUGGACAUGAACAACAUUGGAGUCGCUGCGCCAACACUCGCAGAAUGGGCUGAAUCCAAUACCUGAAGUAUAGUCGGUGUCAGUCGGGUAACAGUAGAGUCCUUAAAGACUGAAUUUCAGCUGGUCAUAUCAUAUCCCAGAAGCUGAAUAUUAGGCUCUGCGCUCCCUGAUUUCAAGUAAUCAGCAGGUUUUUGCUUGCUUUGGCUUCUGUCAUUGUGAUUCAGAAGUCUCUUUUGUUGGCUAGUUCGCAUUGAAUGCAGAUGGCUUCAGCUGUUGCUGCUCUGUUGUAGUAGUUUCUCAAUAAUGUUCAGAACCGUGCCUUGGCUUUCUUCUUUUGGAACGUUUUUAUGUUUCUGGCUUUGGAAGGCAAGAUGGAAAAGUUUAAUGGAGAAAAACUCCCCCGGGCAAAACACUUGGGCUUGGCCCAACCGGCCCAACCGGUUGUUAGUGCUGAUACUGUUUGAUGGCAGUAGAGUGCCGUGCCAAAUUUGUGUUUUUAUUGGCCCUACUUCAGUAAGCAAAGGUGGGGAAGCCCAGCCCCCCCCCCUAAUGGGCCUUUGUGUAAGCUGACGUUGCUUUCAAUUUGCUGGGCAAGUCAAAACCGUGUUUUGGACUUUUGGUUUAGGUACUAUCAACCACCGCCGUGUCAGUGAGAAAAUGUGAGGAAUUUUGCCUUAAAAAACAAAAACUAUUUCUGGAGUGGGUCCCAAAAGUUGAAUAUCUUUGGUAAGUCCGAGCACGUUACUGCAUGCUACUACUGAGUAGCGGGCUGGGGCUUGGACCUGGUCCUCCCUCUCUCUGAUGUGAUCUCCCUCGCUUUUGAACAACGGCCGCUUUUUUCUUUUUUUUUUUACUUUUUUUUUUUUUGAAAAAGACAAUAAUAUUUUAUUACUUCCCAGAGAAAAUUGUUAGUCAAAGGAAGACUUGUCAGCAGAUGAGUUGCCUGCCCUCCAUAUCUGAUAUCUUCCUUCUUGGAUCACUAUCAGAAAGAGUGACACACACGUCCAUAUUUUGUCUCCUCAUGUUUCAUGAUCAACCAAAAUAGAUCCGAUGAUACGCGUGUUUAGGUUUUGAUUCUACUUUUAACAACAUUCAUGCUUCAUUUUGUACCAUCACUUUGCUUUUUGCUUUCGAGUUCAGCCCAACAAUUACCAAAUUCAGAGUUGAGCUCAGCUCAAGUGACUCGACUCGAUCAUCAAAUCAAAUACACUAAUAUGCUAUGCUUGAUCAUCAAAUACCGGUAUCUUCUGUGUUGCAUUUUGCAAGGGUCUGAAUAUAAUAUUAUAUUCAGCUCGAUUCGACUCGUUAAAAGUUUCAAGGACAUGUAACGUGUGGCAAUAUUAUCAUAACGAAGAAGACAACUUCAGUGCGUCUUUAAUUACUCCCAAAAGAGAAAAAAAUGAAGAAGACAACAAUAUGUCAUUGUUAGUUUCGUUGUCAAACCGAUUAUUAGAAAGAGCUGGCUUCAAUAAUAAUGAGCCAGAAGCCGGAAGGAACGACUAACGAGACAAUGACAGGAACCAUGAAAAAGAAAGAUGGCUGUGGGUACCGGCCAUCGGGGAAGAAGGUAACACGAUCCGUGUUCAAGGAUUAUUACUAUUAUUAUUAUUAAUUAUUAAGCGGAGAAGGGAGGAGAUUUAAUAAAGUGAUGAAGAAAAAGGGAGAUUCACACCCAAAAUUUUUAUGUUUUAAGAUCUCAAUUUUAGUUACUGAACUAAAACCUUCUCGACUCUAAAGAGGUACUAAUAUGUAUCAGUAAUCACCGCCAAACCAAAAAUUAUUCAGUCACUCUAAAAGCAGAAUUCACACUUAGAAUCCCCCCUUCAAGUAGAUUUUCAUCAAAGUUUGUCGCCUCUGAUUACACGAGUCCUCCCUGCAAAUCUCAUAACUCAGAGCUUCCCAGCAUGCUGAAAGUUGCACCGCGAAGAAAUGAUGAUAUGAAUUAGUACAAGUAAAUUCACAUCUAUCUCUUCAUACCAAACUUGUCGCAAGAUACAAUAAAAUAAAAUUACAAAGGCUGUUCGAUCUUUUUUUUUUUUAAUUGGACAGCAACAAUUAAUCUAAAUCUACUUCUACUCCUAAUCACACUCUAUCCUAUCUCUAGAGAAAUUGACAGGAACUGAACCAUUAUCGAACCAGAUAGAUACACUACACAUUCAUAUAUAUUUUAAAAGAAAUCAUAUAUAAUAAAAUAUUGAUAAAAGGUAAAAUUUGAACCUUUAUCUCUCAACUCGCCAAAACUUAAAAUUUUGGUGAUGCCAACCGCAUAAACAGCCGUUCCGUUGGUUACAAAUGAUGUCCGAUUGUUUUUUUGGGGGGGGGGGGGGGGUGUUUCACCAAUAGAUGUUAAUUUUGCAACAAUGCACUUUUGACUGGGGGAGGGUGUGGGUCGGGUACUCGCUCCAUUCACCAUUUUGCUGACUUGACCCGCACCUUGCGAGUCAGUCAUUUUUUGACCCUUAUCUGCCCCGCAUAUCAGCGGAUACCCUAUAACGGAUACCCGUUGAGAUAGGUCGGAUCAGCGGGUACCCGUCCCGCCCCGUUUAUCAUAUAAUUUUUUUAAAAAAAUGAUUUAUACUAAUUUAAUUUUAUAUUUUACACAUUUAUCUAAAAUUUACUAAUUUUUUUUUUCUAAAAAAAGGUUUCCCACCAAGAAACAAGUAUAUGAAGAGAAUAUAAGAUAAAGGAAAAAAAUUAAAAGAAUUCAAAAUCAAUAAAAGUUUGAAAUAAGUAGCACAAUUUUUAACAUAUAUGUUCCACAUUAAUUAAACUUUUUUCUAUAAAAUAUAAGAUCAUGGCCUUUACAAAUGAAUCUUGUAAAUAAACUAUAGUCUUUCAUAUUUGUAAUGCAAUUUGUUCAAUAAAAUUACUUAUUUAGUUCUAACUUAUUAUUUUAUAGUGUGUGUAUAAAAAUAAAAAUAAAAUAUAUAUAUGUGGGGCGGAUCGGGUAUCCGCGGGUUUUUAAUUAUGUGACUCUAACAUGUCCCGCAUCUUAGCGGAUAUCCGACCAUCUUUUGACCCGAUCAAAUAAUAAAAAUCAAAUAUCGUCAUUUUCGGAUCGGAUCGGAUCGAAUUGGAUACGACGAAUUUUCGGGUUAGCGGAUAAUCUUGCCCACCCCUACUUUUGACAGCUAAGUUCACAACCUUUAAUCCAUGUCCACAUCUGUCACUUGGCCCAUUUGCCAAUACUUUGCACGGCGCUGAGCGCUAAAUCAAUUACUCUUACUAUUAUCAGCCAUCGCUGUUAUGACUGCUACACCAGAAAGAUGUCAAACUGCAAAUCUCCAUUUGUGCAAUAAAACAAAAGGAACUGCACCAAAACUAAUACUCUACAGUACGCAAGAGUUUCAGGAGAAUGAAUACGUCCAUGAAUUUCAAAAAACGUAACAUAGUCAAAUCGCACUUGUAGCAACUUAUGGUUUUCAGGGCUCCUAAAAUAGAUAGGAGUACGGAUUUCUGGAAAACCAGGGUGCCUUAGGCCUGCUAAACCAAAAUGUGCAAGUAAAGAAACCAAAAUCCUCACGCCAGUGCAGGAUUUGAACUGCUCAUGGGCGAGGCCCUGGGACUGGGACUGGGACUGGGAGUGGGUGGCGCUGCCCCUGCCGAUCUAGCUAGUACCCUUACCUGCCUCACCAACAAUCAGUAAAUGCCAUUUUCUUCUGUCUACCAAACCAAACUAAGAGGAUACUGCUGCUGCACAGCCCAAACCAGUUGCCUAGCUACUUUGAUCCCAUGAAUUAUAUAAGGGGGAAAUUAUACGUUUCACGCCACUUAUUUAAUUGUCCCUGAAAAGAGAAACUCUGACGCGUGAAUACGGUGAAGCAGUGACGAUUGUGAGUUGGACUUGUCAGUACUGAAUAGUUGUUCCUAUGAGAGAUAUUUUAGUACAUCCAAAAAGCAACAAUAAUAUAGCGGUUUAGUUGGUAAGAUGGAUCAUUUUUUUUUCUUACCAACAAUCAUGUACUGAAAUUUGUGUGAUGAUUGUCCUGUAUUGGUGAUUAAUUAUAAAUACUCAUAUCCUUAUUAAUCUAUCUAAUUCUUGAUGAAUCGAAACCAACCUAAAAUAUUUGCAUCGAAAUGCAUUACAGAAUUCGGUGGAGCUUCAUCUUCUCAGACGUCAAGCGGGAUUACAAAAUAAGUCCAUCUCGUGGACUAUUAUAGCACUCGCUCAAACACAGGCUUUUCGCCUAAUUCACCCAAAAUUUAUUUAUUUGAUAGCAGAUUAUUGUUAAACUUAUCUGAAUAAUGAGAUACUUCCACGUAAUGGAAAUAGUUCACAAUUAUGGAUUUCGGCAGGCAAGUCGAGUGCCUCCCUAUUGCAGUAGUGCAUGCCUGAACGACGGGUCCAUGAUGUGCUUAGACCAGCCUAUGAGCCGUGCUCGCCGGGUCCCGGGGUCUGAGUGUGGUCCUAUAUCGUGGAUCCACCAAGUCGGAUCACACGGAAUCCUCAGUACCACUUAUGUAUUUAUAUUAAGAGUAAAUCUUAUAUAUAUUAUCAAUGUACAUACUAUUACGAUUAGACGAAUGACACGUGAAUCAAAUUCGAAUGGCACGAAUCACGUGUCAUAUUUAUUUAACUCGUCACGUGCUAUUUAUUUAUGUUUUUUUUUACUCUCACGUGAUGAAUAGAAUUUACAGUAAACUUUAUGACAUCGAAAUAGUGUACACAGAGUAUCCCAACUGAGGUCGGACACCCCAUGAGUAAUUAAUAGUAAUACACUGCGACUGCUGCUGCUACUACAAAAUAAUUAGUGUAAAAAUAAAUAACAAAAUCUAGAUUAGACAGAUAAUUUGAAUGAAAUACUAAAAAACUAUUUAUACACACUGGUACACUGAACAAGUUGCACCAAAAUUGUCUACUAGUUUUCGUCAUAUGUUCUGUGAGAAUGUUGUGUCCCCUCUGGACCUUCUCAUUCGGCUGAUCGUUCAUAUUGAAAGUGAAAGGGAGCUAUUGAAGUAAGUAGAAAUUCUAAGAGAAUUAGAGAACAGCUUAGAGAUAGAUUUUUUUUUUUUCCUAGAACCUUUUUGGGUUCUAGAUUACAGGAAAAUUGUUGAGGAAACUCCUUCACGAUGUUUAAUAUACCAUAAAUAAAGACUGAAAUUUUUUUUAAAAAAUGAUUAACAGCAAAUGGAUACAUUCGUUUGAAUUGCAAAUUUUAGAGUUUGUAUAUAUAUAUAUAAUUUUAUAAAUGAUGAUGAGCGCUGCUCCGUAACAGAAAACGUUAAUAGCGAGUCUUACAUUAUGGCUCAUAAAAGGGGAUCACGUCAUCUGUUUUGUACUUGUAUUGGGAAUAGUAUCAUUAAACCUUCUCCUCUUCCUCUUCUACAUGUUAAUUAAAUAAAAGGUCAUCUUUGACCAUGAAGCUUAGCGUAUAGUCGAGUGGAUCAUUUAUUUACUUGUAUUUUUCUUCUGGUACCUAAUCAGAAAUCUGCUGCUAACAAAAUUUGGCUCGUCACUUCGAAGUUAGAACCGGAACAAUGCCCCAUACAUAAGAAGGUAACUUCCCGAGGCAUCGAAUCAUCCGGGGAUGUAGCUGUUAAAUUUUGCCAAGAUUUUUGAACCUAUGAGGCAGGCUGUGCUAUAAAACCUCAAAACUCGCAAAUUGAUGCAUCGCGCUUCCUAGGUCAUUCCAGUACCAUACCACUGCAUGUAUCAUUGCCUGCCUGGGGACUGGUGGGAGUGGUUGAUAAGCCUCGAGCUCUCGCACCCUCCCUUCUUUUUUUUUUUCCUUUUUCUAGCUAGCUAACCCAAACUGAUCUUGUCUGCCCAACUAAGAUGAAGAAGGAGAUGAAGAAUCAUUCAGUAAUCUCACCAUCAGAAUCUAAGGUGGAAAAGGAAACCGGGAAUCCUUCGAGUGGGAUCGGUGAUGAAAAUGACACGGACAUGGAAAGGCUCACAGCAAGGAGCAGAAAGGGCGGCCUAAUCACCAUACCAUUUAUCAUAGGUAAAUGUUAACAAAACUACGCAUUCGUCGUGCCAUAAAAAUUGCAAGAAAGCCUAAUGUAUUUCCGAUGGACGUCCCGUCCCCUGUAUUAGAUUCGUGCAACCCAUGAAAAAAAGCCUAAUGUGUUUUCACUGAGCAAAACUGACGACUGAUUUCCUUUUGUAACCUUAACCUCAGCGAAUGAGGGAUUUGAGAAGGUGGCAAGCUAUGGGCUGCUGCCGAAUAUGAUACUGUAUAUGAUGAAUGUCUACCAUUUGGGAUUCGCGAAGGCAAACUACAUCCUCUUCCUCUGGUCUGCUGCCACCAACUUCACCCCAAUCAUUGGAGCUUUUCUUGCUGAUUCCUACAUGGGACGUUGUCUCACCAUUAGCCUCGGUUGCAUCGUCAGUCUCCUGGUAACUACUAUAUCUUCUCAUUCAACCUUUGGGUCCGGUAAUUUUUCCUUUUUAAAUUCUGUAGAAUCUCAUUCUCAGGCAGUGAGUUAUCACAAAAAUGUUGAUUUCACACUUUCUUUGCCCUUUCAAAAUAUUAGCUCAAGUAUUGUUGCAACAAUUACGGUUACCAAAUUAAAAGGAAGUUAACUGAUCAGUACUGUGCUUGCCAUUUUCUUUCUUUUCUUUCUUACAGAAAAAGAAAGAAAAUACUUUUGAUUGCCCACUUAACUAUUACACCUCUUUAACGCGCAUAUCUCGAGAGUUUUUUUUUUUUUUUUUUUUUUCCUUUUUUCUUUUUUGACGGGUGGGUUCAUUCGGCAGGAGACGAUGCAAUAUGUUUGCACAAAAGUCAAAAGGUAAUGACUGACUGACACCGCAUCCAUGUCCAUGUGUUGGGGAAAAGAGAGGCCGUUAAAAGUGUAUUUUAGUGAAUGAGUGUGUUGGGCCAAGUGUUGCCAUUGGAAACUGUACUGAUUUGCAAUUUUCUUUUUCCAAAUUCUUUUUUCUUUCGAUUCUUAUUCGCAUACCAAUUGUGUGUGUGUGUGUGUGUGUUUUUUUUUAAAAAAAAAAAAUUUCUUGAAAAAACAUAUGUAUUGUAUAUGUGUAUGACCAGUCUGCAGGCCUAAUCGUCGCAUGCAAAAACUUACUGUGCCAAUUCUAAGAGCAAUAUAUUAGUUGAACUAUUCCUUGUUCCAAAUUUGUUGUUAAUAAAGUAACGGAUCAGUUCUCUGCUAGUUAACUUGUUUCGUGAUUGAUAAAAGAAGCAAUCCUUUCUACGUCCAUUUAUCACUUCUUUUGGACUGAAAAAAUCAAGCUACAAUUAUUUGUGGGGCAGCACUUCCACACAUUCAAUACGCUUAAAAGGCUAAAAGGUCAUGAUUUUGCUUUUCAUUUUUGCUUUAGUCUCCGUCAAUACUGAAACAGGUGAAAACAAAAAAAAAAAAAAAAGAAGAAGCUGCUUUCAUGUUCUUUUACUGCUUCCUGAGGUCCAAAAAAUCAACUCGGCAAAUUAGAGAACUGAUGUAUGAGACUAUAGAUUUUCUGCCAUUAAUGAGCACGAGGGGACGUCAGAAAUGAAACAUGCACAUCUUCUUCCUUCUCCUGCAAAGUAGGGAGUUUAUUAUUAUCGAUAAAACCAGUGACAAGAAAUUGGUGAAAUGUUAAGACGAAAGGGAAUAUAGUGAAGGUAUUCUUUCCUGCUCUUGAGCUCACAUUUUUCAAAUUAAAAUGGACUGUGAAGCUAGUGAUGCAUCAUGCAUGUUUAGAAUGUUGUGCCCUUUGGAAGGAGCCUCUUCAUUUAGGAAACCAUAAAAGUUGACGUGGCAUGCAGCAAGAAAAGAAUAUUAGAGAGCAAUUGUUUGGCUUUAUGAUAAUCAACGUGAUGACCAAAUUGAGGGAAUGUUUGAUUGCAACAGGGCAUGAUGCUCCUUUGGUUGACGGCCAUGAUUCCGGGAGCAAAGCCUCCAACUUGCAGCCCGCCCCUGCCCUGUAAAUCUGCCACGCCCGCACAGUUAUUUUUCUUGAUCGCCUCUUUUGGCCUUAUGUCAAUUGGUGCAGGUGGGAUAAGAUCAGCUUCCAUGGCUUUUGGAGCUGAUCAGCUCGAUAAAAGAGAUAAUGCUGGUAAUCAAAGGGCAUUAGAAAGCUAUUUUGGAUUGUACUAUGCUGCUACCACAUUGUCGGUUUUGGUUGCUCUUACGGGCAUCGUUUACAUCCAGGAUCACAUGGGAUGGAAAGUAGGCUUUGGAGUUCCUGUGAUCCUAAUGUUCCUCUCGGCUUUGAUCUUCUUCCUUGCUUCUCCAAUUUACAUUAAAAAGGCAGCUACCACGAGUUUGUUCACUGGAUUUGCACAAGUAAUUGUAGCUGCAUACAGGAAUCGGAAACUUGUCCUCCCUCCUCCGGAAUCGGGUUACUACCAUCACGAAAAGGGUUCAAGUUAUAUGGUCCCAUCCGGGAAACUAAGGUACGAACUAUCAUUAUAUCAGCACUAAUUAACAUUGUGAUUUUGUUAUAACAACUCAGAAAACAUGAUACUGAGGCUUGGUUUAAGGUGCACUAAAAUGUCAAAUUGCCAUUUCACUACAAGAAAGAUGUCUCUUCAUGGUGAGAUGCACUUUUAUGAAAACGAAAAGACACAAGUCUAUUGGUUUCAAUUGGCGUCAUUCAAGUAAAAUGUUAAACACCCUACUUUAUCAUUCCAAUAAACCUUUCUGAUUCGGUAUGAUUAGGUUCUUGAGUAAAGCGUGCGUUCUCCAAAAUCCAGAAGAUGUUACACCAUCUGGAGCUGCUUCAAAUCCGUGGAAUCUUUGUACAGUGCAGCAAGUGGAGGAACUAAAGGCACUGAUUAGAGCUAUCCCAAUAUGGACCACAGGAAUAAUGAUGUCAAUUAACAUAAGCCAAAGCGCUUUCCCUUUGCUUCAAGCCAAUACUAUGGACAGACAUUUGACUUCCAGCUUCGAAAUUCCAGCCGGUUCUUUUGGCGUGUUUAUGAUCAUAACUAUAACUGUUUGGCUCAUUCUAUACGACCGUGUGCUCCUUCCAUUGGCAUCAAAGAUCAGAGGAAAGCCAGUGCGGGUUGGCACAAAAUUAAGGAUGGGAGCUGGCUUAUUCAUGACAGCAAUGGCCAUGGCGGUUUCUGCGAUCGUGGAGCAUAUUCGACGAAGAAAAGCAAUCGAUCAAGGUUUCUUGAAUAAUCCUCGAGGAUUGGUAAACAUGUCAGCUAUGUGGCUUGUGCCACAAAAUGUUGUUGCUGGUUUAGCAGAGGCUUUGAAUGCAAUUGGCCAAUUUGAAUUCUAUUAUACAGAGUUCCCAAAGAGUAUGUCCAGUGUUGCUGCAUCUCUAUUUGGACUAGGAAUGGCUGUGGGAAGCUUGUUGGCUAGCGUUCUCCUCAGUGCUGUGGAUAAAUGCACCAAAAGGGAAGGGAAAGAGAGUUGGGUUUCAAACAAUAUCAACAAGGGUCGUUUUGAUUACUACUAUUGGCUUCUUGCUAUUAUGAGUUUUAUCAAUUUGCUUUACUAUAUACUCUGUAGUUGGCUCUAUGAACCUUGUGCUGAUCAAGUGAAGAAGGGCGAAGUUGAAGAGAAAGAAAAGGAAUUGGAACAGCGAUCACUGAGACCAGAUUCACCAUUUAGGACUGAUGCCACCGCUUGAGCUGAGCAUCGAUACGUCUGGCUUCAAUUCUUUUAUAUAAUACAUCCGUGCGGUGCCAUAUAGGAAUGUACGUAUGUACCUAUAUUCUAGAUGUAGUAGAAAUUGUGGCCCUGAUCUUCCAAUUUUUAUUGAGUAUAUUCUUUUGCUCAUUCAAAUGAUAUGAUGAUGCUCUUUAUGUUACUGAAUCCUGAGGAUCCGAGGCAUAAGUACUAGGUAGAGAAGCAGAAUUCGAGUACAGUUUCAGAAAAAGUGGGCAGCAUAAUGAUAUAUUUAUCGACUGGUUUUAUAGUUAAUAGUGGAGGAGGACGAGGAGAAAAAGAUUCGAAGAGCUGCUAGAGAUAAGACUUGCUCAAGUCACUAAACGUUUUCAGUGCCUAAUGUGAAGAUGGGCGUUUGAAAAUUGACAUCGUGAUCAGAAGAUGGUAGGAACUUUUACUGUAAGAAAAGAAUUGCAAGAACCUCAACUGCAUGUUGAGAUUGGUUAUAAUUUAAAAUGUAUUUUCUGCAUUAAGGUUGAUUUUGACACAUACUCGUGAUGGGAAUAAUUUUUGUUUCCUAGGCAAUAUAAGCACUCGUGAUGGGAUGACUUAAAAAAAAAAAAAACUUGUAAUUUGCGGGCUAGUUACAAAACCACACGAGUGCCAUUUUUCUAGUCGCGAUUCAGUGUCAUUUUUAUAUUUGUGUCAAAUGUCAUGUUUAUUUAAUUUGUCACGUGCUAUUUAUUUAAUUUCUUCUACCAUCAUGUGAUAAGCAGAAUUGGCAUUGUAUUUGGCACCGAGCAGUGGCGUAGAGGAUCCCAACUGUUACAAAACUCUAGAAGUUAAUUUCUUAACCGUGUUUAUUCAGAUCUCCAAAUGGUAUGGUUUUGAUAAGAAAAUUCAACUACAUCUGUCCUUAUUCUUCGUCUUUUUCCUGAGCACUUACCAAUUAUCGAAUCUUACUGGAAAUUAAGCUACGUCAUACAAAGCCCGAUACAGAAGAAAAGCUGAAAAGGUGUAAGAAGGCCAAUAAAAUCUGAAAGCAAAAGUUACACAACGAAGAGAACAAGACGCUGCUGCUAUCAGGAAAUGAUAUUUUUGCUUUCGCGUACACAGCAUGGAGGGUCGGCAGUGCUUUCGUGAUGCUUCAAAAACGCCGGCUGCAGUUUUUCAUGGCAUAAAUGCAUAUGCAAAGAAAAAAUGUCGAAUUACAGAAAAUCAUUCUCCAAAAAAAAAAAAUUAACGACCAAAAAUUUGAAGGAUUCUUAGGAUAGUACAGGGGAAAUUCUAACAAUUGAGAAUCUCAUCCUGGGAACAAAAGUUGAAAGCUUCUACUGCUUACAAGUUGCAGUCCUUGGAGGCUUCCUCGAUCAAGUCACGCAGCAUAUUGCAGAGCCUACAAUACAAACAAGAAAGAUCAUGCAAUGGGCAGCGAGAAGAAAUUAUUACACCCUGAUAUAUCAUCAGAUUCAGGGAUGAUUUCAGCACGCAACCUCAUGCGAAAGUGAAAGUGAAUGGUUGGGUUCACUUGUAAAGGAAGGAUUGCUUCGUAUUUCUGGCUUUGCAACAGUCCCUACCAUACCAUAUACAACCAGAAAAACUUAACCUAUGAAUUAUUAUAGGGGAAAAACAUAUGUCAUAUCGCACUUUCAUUGGAUUUUACGCACUGACGCAUUAUCAAAUUUUAAAUGCAAAGUAAAUACUGCAAGCAACUUGCAUUAAGAUAUACUAGUGCAUGACAGUAAAAUGUAAUUAAGUUAUAAACGUAACUAUAUAUUAAUUUUUUUUAUAAUGAUGAAGUUGGAAGUUCAAAAUUAAGAUGACUAAAAAUAUUAAUUACACCAACUCUAUGAGAAUAAUUGUUGUUUUACACUAUGUUAUAAUCCCUUCUCUAUUAUCCAUUCUAUGGAAUAUUUGAAAUAAUUUCCUAAUGCACGAAAAAUGUGUGCUAUUCGAACACUUUUGUUUUUUUUUUUUUUUGUUUUCCCCAAAAGUAUAGAUAACAUACAAUUAGAAGUAAAAUAAAAAUAAAUAAAUACAAGGUCACUGCAAUUAGCUCCUUCUCAAGAAUAGAGAAUACUCUAUUCUUCAGUUGUAGCACGGUAUAUUACUUCUUAUUGAAUUUGAAAUGUUCAAAAUUUAUGAUUUUUGUGGCACUUUUUAAGUGUCAUUUAGGAGACUGGCACUAGUAUGAUACUGGCAGUAGCCACCACACUCAUUUUGAGUGCCACAAUGAUUUAAAGGGCACGUGAAAGCUAUGUCACAAUUCUUUUAAGCUACACUGAAAACUAGUUGUCAUGACGUUUGGGUGCCUUCGUUCAUGCUCCGGAAUUGGAAUUGGACACGGAAUGAAUUAUAAAAAAUCAUACUAUGGUAUCAUUGAAAUCACUAAUGCUUGAUACAAUUUUUAGUGGAAUGGGUAUCAAAAUUAUUAUUGCAUUUUUUCCCUAUCUUUUUCUUUGUUGGGUUCAAUCAUACGGGGCCUUUAGCAACAACCACCAGCUAUCAUCGGAUCACCCCUAAUCAAGACCUUAGGCUUUUUUCUUUCUUUCUUUUUUCUUUCCUAAUUUCAGUCAUAACUUAUAUGAUGAAACAACGUCAACUUUUCUUUUUCCUCAUCAAUUGAUACAAUUCAAAUUGAGAACUUGUCAAUGGCCUGCAAACAGAUUUAAGGAAGUUUGAGUGGGGUGACACUAGACUCAAGCCGAUGUGGUUUCUUUCUCAAGUUGAAGCUGAAUCCCUUGAGAUUGCGGCUGUAAAUUCUAGUACUGAUUCAAACUUAGAGGUGAGUUGUGUAGGAGCUUGUUGUGAUGGAUGAAAUUUGGGAAGGGUCUAGGGUUAGGAUUUUAAGGGUGAGGAAGGAGUGAUUCUAGUGAGGGGGAAGGUGGAAGUUUUUGAGAUGUUGAGUGAUGGCAACAAGGAAAAUUUUUAGAUGUCACAGAGGAGGAGACGAGUGGUAGGAAAAUUUAGUGAUUGAGGGAUGACUGGAUAGGAGUGAAGGGAUGAGUGAAUAAAAGAAAUGUUUUAUAAAAAUUAUUUUGGAAUCAAAUAUAGAAAUUAACAAAACCCACCAAUUCGAUUCGCUCAGGAAUUGAGAGUUGCUAAUUUUUUUGAAUUCAUUCCAAAAUCUUCAAUCCCACACCUAUUAUCCAAGCACUUAAAAUAGACACCAUUCUAAAUCCUGAUUCCCGUGCCCUCAAACCCAGCAAGCGCAAGUGUCAUUAAAUUACUGUUUGGUCGUAGUGGAUGGGCGGAUGCGGGCCUGGGCCCUGAGUCGCAUAGUGUGACUCUGUGCAAUGGACUACCGGCAACUGGGAGCAGGGACCCCUAACUUUUGACUAUUUUAGUUGUAGACGAACUUUUGACUACCGGCAAUUACUGUUUUUGUCACGAACUAGGAGGUGGUGGGGCCCUGAAGUUGCAUGAACGAUGGAAAGAAGCUGCCUACCGUGCAGUGUCCGAUGACAAGCAAUUCAAUUGGGGGUAUCAAUGCGUCGGGUUUGGAUCCAGAUUUGAUAAAUUUUUUCGGAUUUGGAUUAAAAUUAAUUUCGAUAUCAAGAUCCGAAUUCGUAACAAAAACGGAUCAAAUACGGAAUAUAAGAUUUCAACUCGUAUCCGAUCUAGACUCGAAUAAUAUAAUUAAUAAUUAUAAAAUAUGAAUAUUUCUAAAUGCAUUUCUUUUAUCAAAUUAACAAUUUAAUAAUAACUUUGUAGAUUGAUUUGUGAUUAGUUUUGGAUUGGCUAUUGCGAAUUAUUUGUUAUUUAGUUUUGUAAUAUGAUUUGUUUAACUUUGGAGAUUGGAUAUUGUGAUUGGUUUUGGAUUUAAUUUUGAAAUAUUUAAAUUUGGAUCUUUUCUUUCUCGAUAGACUCGGACCCGAUAGAACCAGCAGUUCUGGGACUCUAAGAUUAAAAUCCGUUGGGUAUACGGGUUCGAUUACGAGUCUAUUACAUAAAAGCGGGUUUAAAUUCAAAAUUUGCAAUUUCGACCCGAACUCGACCCAUUGACACCCUAAAUUCAAUCACAUCAAAAUCAAUAUUUACAAUCUUAAUGUGUAAAUACGUGCAAAAAAAAAAAAAAAGUCGUGAAUUCAUUCACUUAGAUGUAUCGUAUAUUCUUUUAAUUUUCUUUCUAUUAAAUACAUACAAAAUUAACUUCCUACUAAAAAUACAAAAAUAACUUUUAAUUUGUAUUUACAAAAUUCAAAAAGAAAAUUAUCACUAAAUUCAACAUUAAAGAGCCUAAAUAAAAAGCUAUAUGACAAGAUUAAAUCACAUAAAUUGUCCCUUUUUACAAUGUAUAACAUAUAAGGCGAAUGUUGGAUUGAAUUAUAAAGUGAAAGAGAUUAUAAGUAAGAGAUCUUGAAUCGUUAAUUCAAGAUUUCCUACUUAUAUUUAAAAAAAAAAAGGGUCUAACAUGCGAAUUUCUACAAUCGAUAAUUUUAUUUUAUUUUUCUUCUUUUGAAGUAGCGCUGUUAAAGAAAUAUAAGAAAUCAAGGAAAUCCAGCGUUUUACGUUCAAUCCAAAUUUCGAAAGGGAAGUCCCAAACCCAAACCCAAGAGGAAUGAAUCAUGAAACUCUUAAAACCCAAUGUAAAGGGAUGAUGGUUGGUAGCUAGUGCGUACGGAACCACGAUCGCCUUCCAUUUAGUUUACAUAUAUUAAGUCUGAAGCAUGUCUACACAUUGAGAAAUCUGUGAAAAAGUAAAAAUAAGUGAUUAAGAUAUAUCCAAAAAUUAAAAAUACAUUUUGAAGACCGGAAGCCGCCAUCCCAAAUACAAACCGGGCGACAGAUUGCAACUAUGGUAGAAGAUAUCCAAAUAAAUGACCUCAUAGUUUCGAACGCGCUCUUUUGAAGGGUUAAGUGACGGUGCUAAUAGGUAGCUUAUGCUACAGCUCGAGCAAAAUUGCUCUUCCGAACUUUUGUGAUAAGGAUCCACUCGGUAGUGCUAAAUGCACUGCUGUAAAAAUUGGGGCCCUUGCUCCAAUAAAUAAGUAAAAUUUAUUAUCAUUUCGGAAAAGAAAAUUAAGAUACAUCCGCGUGGUGGUGAGUGGUGACUGCACGAAGGGUACUAUACAUGCGUGCGUACACUCGCCAGGCUUUAAGUUGAUUUACGAGGAUUGAGGGACCACAGAAGCGCCUUAUUAGUAACAAAAGAAAUGUAUCGGAACUUUUAAGCAAAAUACACAAUUAAGCUUGGCACCCCACUGCAUUCUGCAAGGACUAAAGUGCAAAAAGCUAGGGCGGGGAGACUCACGGGAAGGAAUUCCAUGGUCUCAACAAGCCAGCACAAAACAUUUGCAAAAAAGCACAAGAAAAUGUUGGAUUAAUAAUUUGUUUUUCUGCCCAUUUUCUCCCACCAUCAUUUUCCCCCUUGGCGCCUCUUUUUUAAGUGAAGGCUUCAACUUGGCUACUGCCGCAUGUUUUGCCUCGGUCAAAUUAUAGCAAACGAGUAAUUACUGUGACAGUUGCCAUUCAGUGGUUCUUUAUGCGACAAAUAUUAUUGAUCUUUAAGUACAAGUUCUUCUAAUGCACGAUACAUACAUCGGAAAUGAACCUUUUUUUUUAUAUAUUUUUUUCCAAAAUAUAUUAACUUACCCAAAAACCUGCAAAUAAAUACAUAGACAAACAAACAAACAUACAUACACACAUACAUGCAUAUAAACCAAAUGAAUAAUUCAUUUCUUAGUGAAUAAAUAUUUUCUGUGCUGACAGUGUAUGCAUUAACGGGUCUUGAUGGAUAUCAAAUAUAUAAAAUUCGGUGUUCAAAUUCAAAUUGAAAUAAUGUGGCAUGCAUUUAGAUACAUUAACAGGGUAAGAAAUAUUAAAUUUUUUUAAAAAUGUAUGUUCUCUAUAAUAAAAUCAAUAUGGAAAUUAUUUUUGAAAAGCAACACCGUUCAUAAUAUGUAUAUCCCUCAUGCCAGUUAUACUCAAAUAAUGUCUAUUUCUAAGGUUUUUUUAAGCUACAUUAGUAUGAAGUAAAUUUAGUAGUUGUUGUCUCGUGGGCCAUCUUUUUUACUUUAAUCCAAAUGCCUAAGUUCUUACAACUUAACAAAAGAAAAUUAACUUUAGCUAAACUAAUUUAUCAACAAAAUUUUAGGUAACUUGUCAAAUGAAUUGAACAUUAGCUUCAAAAGUUCUACAAAGUGUAACGUAUUUGAAGAUUUAUUUUGGAAAAUGCUUAUAUAUGUCAAUUAGAUUCAUAAAGUUCUGCGAAAAUUAAUAUUUACACAUUUUUUCUAAAUGAAAAUCUCAUACUAUAAUUCCUUAAAAUUACAUUUCAUUGUUGGGAUUUACAUAAAUUUAGAUAUAAUCAAUUUGAAUAGCUUAUUCUUCGUAUCAAAUGCUUUAAAAUUUAGGUAUCCUAUUCAUUAAACAAAAAAACUGGAUAUCUAACUAUUUUAAGCUGUGCGUUUGCAAGUUUCUCACCAAUUUGCAAAACAGACUUGUUCCAGAAGAUUUUUUCAACUUUUUAAAAUCCUUAUUCUAUUAGGUUAUAUUGUAAACUUUUUAAGGGUAAAAGUGGUAUAUGGUUAUAAUUCAUUUAACCAACUCCACUUUCUUCUCCUGGGCGAAAAGUUUUGUUUGACUUGAAAGUAGAUUUGCAAAUGAAUCGAGCCGAUCGCAAGCAACUUGAGUCCGAGCUCGACUCGAGUUGGGUGAACAUCGAGUUCGAGCUACCCAAGUCGAAUUCGAAUUCGAAUUCAAAAAUAAUAAAUUCGUUAGUUCGCGAGCUAACGAGUUCGAUUAUAUAUAUUUUGUUUUUUUUUAUUUUAAUAGUAAAAUUACAUAUAUAUUUAUAAUAUUUUAUUAUUUGUUAAAAAAAGUAUUAUUUUAUUUAUUUUUUAAAAAAUAAAAUAAUUAUUUUUUAUUUUUUUAACUCGAACUCGAGCUUGAGAUUUUUAGGUUCGUCGAGCUUGAGUUCGAAUUCGAGGCUUCGUAAAAUUAAUUAUAUUAAAAUUCGGUUUGAUUGAAUUAAAAUUCGAUUCGAUUCGGUUUGUUUGCAUCCCUACUUGAAAGGGACUUGAUGUCCCUUCUUUUCUGUUCAAUUUUUUCCUACCCAAAAGUCUCAAAAGUGAGAAAAUUUCAACUUUCCUUAGUUUUCUUUUCCUUUCUCGCCGUCGUGAUUUUCAGAUUCUCUAAUUAUUUGCUUGUUCACUUCUGGAGUAUUUUUUCCUCAGCCGUCCCGGUGGUAGCGCUUGUCUUUACUGGUAAUCAAUUGCUGGCUCUCUAAAGCAAAGGUUUCUCAUAGAUUUGUGGUUAUAAUCUCUCGUGUAAGCUUUCAUAUUUGACUAUUGACUAACAAAACAUACUACUAGCUUCCAAAUAAAUAUGAGCAUCUCUCUUUGUUUUCAACCCAACGUGCUUCUCUUUCUGCACAGGAAGCCAAUACUGUGGGGAAGGGUCACAGUCAUUCACUCUCCUCCAAGCAAUCUAAGUUGGGAAAGGAGUUGGAGAGUUACUCAUAAAAUCAAUAUGGAAAUUAUUUUUGAAAAGCAACACCGUUCAUAAUAUGUAUAUCCCUUAUGCCAGUUAUACUCAAAAAGUGUCUAUUUCUAAGGUUUUUUUAAGCUAUAUUAGUAUGAAGUAAAUUUAGUAGUUGUUGUCUCGUGGGCCAUCUUUUACUUUAAUCCAAAUGCCUAAGUUCUUACAAUUUAACAAAAGAAAAUUAACUUAGCUAAACUAAUUCAAAGUUUUUUCGUUGGCAUGAUUAUGCAUCAUUAAAAAAGUUUAAAUAUAAAAAAGAACGAUUUUUCAAAGUUUUAUGUCAUUGGGCAAAUACUAAACAAUGUGUUCAAGGUUUAGUAAAUUAUUAUAGCAAUUGCCCCAAAUUUUCCUUUUCUCUAUUUGGUGUCCCCACGUAUUUACACUCCAGCCUCUACUCCAGCCCAUUUUUUCAAUUCGGUACCUCUCCAGGUCUCCCCUUCACUCUACUCUAGUUUGGGGGUUAAGGAAAGAAAGGAAAAGAACAUAAACCUUAAGCUAGAAAAGAAAAGAAUAGAAAAGAAUAGAAAAUAUUGUACUAUCUUUCCAUGUUAUUUGGGGAGUUUUGGAGGAGAAAGGGAAUGAAGUAAUUUUCCUUUAUUUGGAAGUGGAGAAAAGUGAAAAGAAAAGAUUUUGUUUUACAUAAAUGCCCUUAAAUGUUAAAUUUACAUGAGUAUUCUAUUAGGUUAUAUUGUAAACUUUUUAAGGGUAAAAGUGGUAUAUGGUUAUAAUUCAUUUAACCAACUCCACUUUCUUUCCCUGGGCGAAAAGUUUUUUUUUUUACUUGAAAGUAGGUUUGCAAAUGAAUUGAGCCGCUCGAGAGCCGAUCGCGAGCGACUCGAGUCCGAGCUCGACUCGAGCUAGGUGAACAUCGAGUUCGAGCUAUCCAAGUCGAAUUCGAGUUAAAAAAUAAUAAAUUCGUUAGCUCGCCAGCUAACGAGUUCGAUUAUAUAUAUUUUAUUUUUUAUUUUAAUAGUAAAAUUACAUAUAUAUUUUUAAUAUUUUAUUAUUUAUUAAAAAUUUAUUAUUUUAUUUAUUUUUUAAAAAAUAAAAUAAUUAUUUUUUAUUUUUUUUAAACUUGAACCCGAGCUUGACAUUUUGAGUUCGUUAAACUUGAGUUCGAAUUCGAGGCUUCGUAAAAUUAAUUAUAUUAAAAUUCGAUUCGAUUCCAUUUGUUUGCACCCCUACUUGAAAGGGACCUGACGUCCUUCCUUUUCUGUUCAAUUUUUUCCUACCCAAAGUCUCAAAAGUGAGAAAAUCUCAACCUUCCUUAGUUUUCUUUUCCUUUCUCGCCGUUGUGAUUUUCAGAUUCUCUAAUUAUUUGCUUGUUCACUUCUGGAGUAUUUUUUCCUCAGCCAUCGCCGUGGUAGCGCUUGUCUUCACUUGUAAUCAAUUGCUGGCUCUCUAAAGCAAAGGUUUCUCAUAGAUUUGUGGUCAUAAUCUCUCGUGUGAGCUUUCAUAUUUGACUAUUGACUAAGAAAACAUACUACUAGCUUCCAAAUAAAUAUGAGCAUCUCUCUUUGUUUUCAUUCACAGGAAGCCAAUACUGUGGGGAAGGGUCACAGUUAUUCACUCUCCUCAAAGCAAUCUAAGUUGGGAAAGGAGUUGGAGAGUUACUCUCUAUCUCCACACAACAAUCUAAGAUGGGAAUGGAAAUGGAGAGUUAUUCAAGUAAUACUGGUGCAAUGGACAAGAAGGAAAAACUCUCAACAACGAGAAGAAAAGGUGGCCUAGUAACCAUGCCAUUCAUCAUAGGUAAUUCAUUCAAUCAAGAAACAUAUAGUUUAUUUUCUGAUACAAUAACUCCUCAAAUUCUUACGUUUGAGCUGAACCAAUGAAUUGAGUUGAACCUUAUUUUUAUUUUUUUUCUUUCUCUUUUUGGGUGGGGGUGGUCAGCAAACGAGGCAUUUGAGAAGGUGGCAAGUUAUGGGGUGUUGCCAAACAUGAUAUUCUACUUGAUGAAAGGCUACAACUUGAGUUUUGCAAAGGCAAACUACGUACUCUUUCUCUGGUCCGCUGCUACCAAUUUCACACCGACGCUGGGAGCUUUUCUUGCAGAUUCAUAUUCGGGUCGUUUUCUCACCAUUAGCCUGGGUUGUAUCUUCAGUCUUCUGGUAAUAAUUUUACUGCUAGCUUAUAUCUUCAGCUUCUUCUGCUUGAAUCAUGUGCUUCAUUUCUUUUCCCGAUGAAACUUCCUCCUGACAGCUACCAAGUUAAGAGUUUUAUUUAGCCCUCUCUGCCUCCCCCGGUCCAAGUCCAACUUAGUUUAGACUAGAGGAGGGGGCAUGAAUUUGCACGACCUGCGUUUUUCUUCGUCCCUUUUUCCACUUCAAUUCUUCAAAUAACUAAUUUUAGUUCCAGUGUUGGAACACUUUUUAAUCUGUUUUAACUAGCAUUUUUCUGGAAGUUCUGUUUACAAAACUUUGCUGCUACUUAGUUCGUUUGAGUUUUAUCCCCUCGGAAAUCUUCCCAGGCAAGGUACCGGUACCUCAGCAAUAUGUUCCAAAAUUUCGCAAUUAUUGUAUCAUACUAACUGCAAUCAUUUGCUCCUUUUUUAAGGGAACAAAACGUAAAUAGAAAAAGUAAAAAGAAAGGGUACUAAGUACCGAUCGCUUUUACCUAGAUUUCAGCUCCCAAGGUGUCGUCGAAGCGGCUUAGAUGCCCAGAGAAUCCCAACUGCCGAGUAUGUCCAACCUUUUACCGUAAUUUGCCUUUUUCCUCCAAAGUUCCAAGCACCAACAAAUCCCGGAUCAAAUCCCAUGGCUAAAAAAAAAAAAAAUCCCAUUGCUAAAUAUCUUGGCAGUACAUGUAUAUCGGCAGGCCUUGUUUCGAUUGCAGUCUUUUAAAGAAAUAUUUUUAUAUUUUUUGUGUUCGUAUUUUUCAUUCACUUUUUUGUUUGGUAUGCAUCAGGUCGUUACAAGAUAUUUUUUUUAAUAAAAAUUUUAGAAAAUAAUAAUCCAAACCAAACCAAGUUCACCUUAAACGCCCAUUUGCACAAGGCCUCAAAAUUACUGCUCUAGUGGCACAACACAUAGGAAAGCACUUGGUAAUGCAAAAAAAAAAAAUGUUUUGUUUUGAGAUGAGUAUAGUUGUUGGAAGUCAAGAGCCAUGAUGAUGUUUACACCUGUCCGUCACUUCACCUAAUUAUGAAAUUGGAGUUCCAGGAUGAUGUCAAACUAGUUAACAAUCUCUCUCUCCCUGCAAAAACAUAUAGCUUCUGUUUGGAUUGUGAAUUAUUAGAGAUAUUUUUACUGUAACAUUUUUUGUGAUAUGAUGUAUGUGAGAUAAAAAGGUAAUUGGAAAGAUAAAAAAGAUGUAUUAGAAAUUAUAAUGAUGAUGUAAGUAAAUAAAUUUAGGAAAAUAAAGCCCAAUCCAAACAAGAAGCUGCUCAAGAAAUAAUUUUCCAGUUCGUUGUUGUCCCUCAAGAAGCUGCUCAUCUGGGGAAGCAAAUAAACGUAUGGUAAAUAUCUUAUGCGCAUUCGUACACGGCUACAGCUGCACUCCGCUCCUGUUGCUACAGCCACAUUUCCUUCACCAUUCGUCCUUGUAUUUUUUCUGCAGGGUAUUAUGAUUUAUGAGCUUUUGCUUCCUUUUCGGGCUGUGUCGACUAGGGCCUAGACAAUUCUCUAGCGGUAACUGUUAUGUAUGGUUGAUGUCAAUCUUAGGUCGCAAUCUUUGUACACUCUGAAACAAAUUGUACUUCUGACAAAGUCUUGAUGGUUCAAACUUCAAACUGUGAAGUUGUGGCCACUCUCUACCAUUAAUCAAUCAAUCGAAACAGCUAGAUUCGAUGGACCAAGUGGGCAUCUUUCUUAUCUUGUUUAAAGUGAAAAUGAUAAUUAAUGGACUAGAAAAUAAUAAACUUUCAUCAAGCAACAUGGCUGUUCGGUAAUUGCGGAACAACAUGAGUUUUGUCAGGUGUUUGUUUACUAGAAUGCCAGCCCUCAUGUUCUAGCUGCUUUUCAAAGAUGGAACAAAUAAACAAAGCGCAUGGCUUGAAAAUGAUGCAGAGAAGAUGGAAGGCAAUGCUGUCUAAUGCAUUUCCUUCCAUACCUCAAUUUAUAUAUAUAUAUAUAUAAACUUGAUAAAAUUCUUGAAUGAUCGCACAAUAUUCUGGACUUUUGGUUGUCUAAAUCUGUUCACAAAAUUCAUUGUUUUUCAUGGCAAUAGGGGAUGACUGUGCUCUGGUUAACGGCUAUGAUUCCAGGAGCAAAGCCUAAAUCUUGUAACCUAAUUCCGCCAUGUAAAUCAGCAACAGCAGGACAGUUGGGUUUGUUGAUCUCCUCUUUCGGCCUCAUGUCGAUUGGUGCAGGCGGGAUAAGAUCAGCUUCCAUGGCAUUUGGUGCUGAUCAACUUGACAACAAAGACAAUCCCGAUAAUGAAAGGGUACAAGAAAGCUAUUUUGGCUGGUAUUAUGCAGCCACUUCAAUCUCGGUACUGGUUGCUUUCACGGGCAUUGUUUACAUUCAGGAUAAAAUGGGAAUGAAAGUGGGCUUUGGAGUUCCAGCAAUCCUAAUGUUUCUCUCUGCUUUGCUCUUCUUCCUUGCUUCUUCAUUUUACAUCAAACAUAAAGCUACCAAAAGCUUGCUCACGGGUCUCGUGCAAGUGACCGUAGCUGCAUACAAGAACAGGAAACUAGCCCUCCCUCCUCUGGACUCGAGUUCGUAUCAUCAUCGAAAGGGCUCAAGAAACACCGGGCCGACUGAGAAACUGAUGUAAGAUUACUGUCCUACCUGUGGCGUUCUCAUCUUUCACAUUUUGCCACUGAAUCUUCUAUGCUGUGCUAUCUGUUCGCACACAUCACUAAACCCGUAUGAUAAUGUGUGCCGUGAUUGACUAGGUUCUUGAAUAAAGCAUGCGUCCUUAGAAAUCCAGAGGAUGUUACACCAUCAGGAGUUGCUUUGGACCCCUGGAGUCUUUGCACCGUAGAGCAAGUUGAGGAGCUGAAAGCACUCAUCAGAGUAAUCCCAAUAUGGUCCACAGGAAUCAUGAUGUCAAUAAACACCAGCCAGAGCUCUUUUCCUGUAAUUCAGGCUAGCUCCAUGAAUAGACAUGUCACUUCAAACUUCCAAAUUCCAGCAGGUUCUUUCGUCAUGUUUAUGAUGAUCACUAUUUCUGGUUGGCUCGUCCUCUAUGAUCGUGCAAUUCUUCCAUUGGCCUGAAAGAUCAGAGGAAAACCAGUACGCAUUGGUACAAAAGCAAGAAUGGGAAUUGGAUUAUUCUUCACUGGGCUCUCGAUGGUAAUUUCUGGUGUUGUAGAGCGCGUUCGACGAAGAAAAGCAAUCGAGCAAGGGUUCCUCAAUGAUCCACAAGCAUUGGUAGACAUGUCUGCCAUGUGGCUUGUGCCGCAAUAUGUUGCGGGAGGCUUCGCAGAGGCUUUUAAUGCGAUUGGCCAAAUAGAAUUCUAUUAUUCUGAGUUUCCCAGAACCAUGUCAAGUGUUGCAUCGUCUCUAUUUGGACUAGGAAUGGCUGUGGCAAAUGUAUUGGCAAGUGCUGUACUAAGCACUGUCGAUAGAUACACCAAAGGAGAAGGAAAAGAGAGUUGGGUUUCAAGCAAUAUCAACAAGGGUCGUUAUGAGAACUACUACUGGCUUCUUUCUAUCUUGAGUUGUGUUAAUUUGAUUUGCUUCAUUAUCUGUAGCUGGGCUUAUGGACCUUGUGCUGAUGAUGUCAAAAGGGAGGAUGACAUUGAAGGGAAUGAAUUGGAAGAAAUAUCACAAUUGAGACCGAGGACACCACUAAGAGUGAUGCCGGCUUGAUUUCGAAUGCCUGCUGGAGUUGAGCAGUUUAUUGAUCAAUAACAUAGUAAGCAUGUACAGCAAAUACUUGCACGCCAAUUACCAAAUAUGUAUCAGAAAACCCUAGCUCUAAAAUUUUCAUUUCUUCAAGUAUUCUUUCUGCAUUCGCACAUCCCACGUGAAUCUCGUGCUUCGGAAAGAACGAAGCUCUAAAUUUAAUGAGAUAAUACCUAUGUAAGCAAAAACAUAAAAGCAUAUUAUCUCCGAGGCCAGUGGAGAAGAACUAGCAACCAAGACUGAUGAACAUGGCUGAUGAGGUCUCGACGAUCACCAGGUAUAACGUGGACUUGAUGCAGAGAAACCAGGUAACGGUAAGCAGGCUCUAUCAACUCAUCAACGAAAGCUUAGCACUCACGGAUGGGUCUGACAACAUCAAUCAUAUGUCUGUUUCAGCCUUGAACAGAGGAAUAACCAAAUGUGACCUAAGAGAUCCCAUCUUCUUUCAGUUUUUUUCCACGGUUUCAUACUAGUAAUUCAAAUGCUAUAGCUAUUUUCCGAAAGGUUAUUGAAAUGAUACCUAGAUUUGCCUUUUCUUUUUCAUCUUUUCUGGACUCGUGAAUACAGGCAUACAAGAUAAACGAUGAUGUAAAUUCCAUUUCCUACAAGCCUAUUAAUCAAGAAUCUGAGAGAGCACUUCGGUCUCAGUAAGCCAAAUUAAUCUGCAAGUCCCAUGAUUGAAAAGGAACUUCCGAGACUUAACCAAUAUAACUAGAUGAUUAUGUAGGUAGGAUGAGCAGAAUAACGUGAGGAGUUUAUGAGAAUUCAAUCACUGAAAACCAAAUGUAAAUGUAGUAAGCUUUGCAAAGGUUGAUGUAUUAUGCUACCUGAAAGCUUUUUGCAAUUGUAUUACAUUAAAAGGUUACUUGUCCUACAAUCGAUUGAUCAAUUUAGAUAGAAAUGAUUCCUUCAAUCACUGUAGUGACACUAGGAGAAUUUAAAGGCCCUAAAUUUGGUAGCUCAGUACAUGCGUAGAAUCUCCAGCUUUUAUUAACUAAAGAUAACGUCCAAAUAGCUUCUUACUGUUCCUGAUGUUCACCUAUGCAGCCAUUCUUCUGAUAAAAGACACCUUGAAACAGCAAGAAGAGCAAAGUGAAAUGCAGCAGCUUAUUACUGCAAUCUACAGUUUCCGUCCUGUUCUUCAUUUGCAACCCUAAGAGUUUAUUGUACAUCAGCAGCUAAUUUUCUCUUCAAAUCUUUCUUAUUCACCUGAAAUCAAUUAAGAAUUUAUGAGCUUUUUUUUUAAUGGUAAAAUCACUACAAAACCAAUACUAAAUAGUGCAAAUGAUGAAAGUACUUAAUAAGAGAAGGAUGCCAAAAGAAUUUUCGGUAUCAUUUGCAAAACUUACCUUUCCCAUAGCAUUACGAGGUAGUGACUCCCAUAGCAACAAACGAGUAGGUAGCUGGACGGUUGAAGUAACAUGAGUUAGAUAAUGUAGAUCCUUCAUGCUAGUUGAUAAUUCUUAGAAGCACCACAAACAGAUCAAACUCUUGUCAAACAAGAAUCAUAUUUACACUCAAAUUGUUAAUUUAGAUAAGGAAGACAGUAGGUACUACAUAAAGCUGCCCAAAUAAUUAAACCAGUACAUAAACCUAAUUGCACAGGAAACAGUAACCCUGAAAUGUGGCGUGAUUUCUGAGUUACUCUGUUUAGAUGGCAACUAAAACUCAUACAUAGACUGUAUAUAAAGUUAAUUUUACAGAUCAAACCUUGUAUGGAGCAAGUUUCUCUUUAGCCCAAGUUGACAAUUCCUCUAAGCUAAGGGCAGGCUUAAGCUCUUCCUCCCUUUUUCUUUUGACUUCUGCAUCAGGUACAACAAUUGCACACACAGCCUCUCCAUAGUCUCUGUCCGGUAAGCCCAAUACGCAGCAUUCUGAGAUAACCGGGUGCUGCACAUAAGAAAUUUAAUGGAAAUAAAAAUGUGCAAUUAUGAAAAGAGGAGCAUAUUUAGGUAGAUCAAAAAUAAAAGUUAAGAUGAGCAGAAACCUCCAAAAGAACUGCUUCGAUUUCCAAUGCAGAUAACUUAUAUCCACCAGCUUUCAUUAUAUCAGCAUUUGUACCUGUAAGAAAAUUUUUGGUGUGAAAGGCCAUUUCAAAAACAGACAAUACAUGAGACCCUCUUUAGUAAAAGGUAUCCACAAACUUCGUAAAAUACAGGAUCAAUGCAGACAACCAAAUUUAGACAUUAAACAGGAAAAGUUUUUAGAGGCAAACCACAAAUGUCAUGCGGUUUAUCUUCUGCUAGAGAGAGAGAGAAUUCAAAAGCAUUAUUUUGCCCUCAUCACGCCUUCCAUAGGUAAACAAAACCAUUACCAAAAAAAAGGUGAAAAAGGUACAGCUUUGACGGGCUUUUUUAUAGUAGCUGUUUAUCUAGUGGAUGAUAAAUGUAGAUAUCAGUGCUGACUCUACAAAUGGUAUUUUCCCAACAAACCAAGAAACAGUUCAAUGGUCACCAACAUAUACUCACGUCCCAAAAUGAUGUAAUAUCCAUCUUCAUCCACUCUAACAGCAUCUCCAGUCUUGAAAAACCCCCCAUCAAUAAAAGAUUCCUCAGUCACCUAAGGAGUCAUUAAAAGGACAGGCUUAAGGGAAUGAGAUAUGGUACGAGACAAGAUUUACUUCAACCACAUCAAAAAAGAAUAGUAUAGAUCAUAAGCAAAAUUACCUUAGGAAGUUUCCAGUAUCCCUUGAACAGUGAAGGGCUCUUAACACAGAGUUCACCCACCCCUGAUUUGUCAUCAUCACUCCCAUCUUCAGCGAGAAUCUUGACCUACAACAAAGCUUGAAAUCAGUAAACUUAUAACCAUCAAGUAACACACUAUCAUGCAGAUGUAUAUUCAUAUUCACAGGAUAACAUUUGCCAAAUUCAGAAACCCAAAAAUCUGUCAGCUUAAAAUCUGGGAAGUAUGGUCAAGAUUUUCAACAUUAAAUUUAACAGCUGAGAAAUCUCACUAACCUGCACACCUGGCAAUGGUUUUCCAACAGUUCCACCUUUCCUUACACCUCUUAGGGGAUUAGAAAUAGCCAUGACAAACUAGCAAUAUCGAGCCAUCAGUAUGAGCAUAGAGAAUUUCUUCAGAAACCAAAUUCAGCAGUCCAUUCAUGAAGCAGAAAACCUGUUGACGACAGGUUAAUUACUUACCUCAGUCAUGCCAUAUCUUUCGAGUAGGCGAUGUCCAGUAAUGGCUUCCCACUGCUGCAUGAUAGGAAGAGGAAGUGCAGAGGAGCCACACAUCUAGAGGUACAAAAUUACAUACUUUUUAAUCAUUUUGAAGAUGAAAAGAAUCAACAGCAAAUCGAAUAUCAUAAAAUCAUUAUACAAGUUUACAGUUUCAAGAAUUCUACUCAUUACAGCAAACAGAGUCCAACUUCACAAGGUUUUAAACAAGUAAAGGAAACGAGAUUACCAUUAGACGAAGCUGGCCAGCCGCUAAAGCAGAGAUGGCUUGUAACUCAGGAUCCAUAGCUUCAUAACCUUGUAUUAAUCGUGUAUACAUAGUUGGAACCUGCAUCAUGCAAAGGGAAAACAUAAACUACACCAUUAAAAUGACAAAAGCUCUCUGGAAAUUACACGUAUACUGAAUGACUUCAAACAGGUAUAGUUAUUGUUGCCUCAUGAGGAACCAUCCUGAGAAUAUAAGUAAAUAACAUGGUUAUUUAUAAUCUAUGAUGGUUAUGUAUAACCACCUAGAGACAUAGAAUUAUGACAUUACAUAAGUAGCAUAUUUCUCACUUACUCCUGUAAAUACAGUUAUAGCAUCAUCAACUUUUGUCUCUUUUCUUGGAUAUGAUUCCCGCCAUCUCUGCCAAAUUCCCCUAACGCUAAAUUUUGGCAUGAACUCCACCUUUGAAAAAAAAAAAAAAGGGAUAAGCAAUAUCACAAGUGCUGCAACAAGACAUUAUUGAUUCUUUGGCAGGAAAGUUAUAGCAUAAAUUUGCAGUAUAAUUUCCGUUACAACUUUGAACAUGUGGAAAUAUAUAAGAACUUACCACAGAACCAGCAUAUAGAGGAGCAAGCAAAGCAUUGAAAAGGCCGUGCACAUGUUGGUAAAAGUUAAGGCUAGACAUAUAACCAACAUUUCAUCAAACUUAUACAGCAUAUCAACCCAGCAAAUAGGAGAAGAGAUGGGAAAAGCCAAAUUUUAUGACAGCCACAAGCAAUAGGUGUUCAACAGGAAUAUAUAUUGUAGACAAGGAUAUGAUGUAGCGGUAAACAGUGUAAAAAUUGAUCACUAGGUGAGUACUCCCAAGCAUUUGCCAACAUUUGAACCUGAAAUUAAGCAAACCAUCGUAAUGAUUAUUUCAAGGUGAAACAGAAGUGCAAUGAAAAGGAAAUACGCUUCAGUCAAAACCUAACAGUUCGAACUUCCAAAAAGUACACUUUAGAAAGAAAGAUUUGACAGCAAGCAUUUUGCAUUAUGCAAGUAAAAUUGACAACAUAUUGCUCUGCCUUGUACGUGAAAGAAGAGCUUUACAUGGCAAUCAAUUUUUGUUGUCUUAUUAUAACGCAUAUUCACCAUACAAGCACAUCUCACCCUGCCAAAAGUCUGACAUUUUCCACAUUAAGGAAAGAUCUAGAGUAAUUGGAAAAACUAAAAGAACAUUUUCCCACUUCAUUUUGUUUUAGACCAAGUACACACAAUAUAAAUGACAGGCAAGUAAUAAAAAUACCUGAGCCAAGAUGCUUCCGUGUGUAUGAACAACUCCUUUUGGUUUACCUGUUGUGCCACUAGUGUACAGUAUUAAUGCCGGUUUCUCAUCUACAUUUGGACAUGAAAGUCAGCAAAGAGAAUACUGUAAUUUGAGCAUUUAAACUUGUCAUAAACAUACACAAAACCAAAGGCAAACACCUUCGAUCUCACUAAAGUUUUCUAUUCCCUGUACCCGCUCAAUAACAUUCAGCUCUCCGUUAUGUGACUGAUCAAGCUCAGUUGAUGUGCUAACAACAGGAGGAAGAAGAGAAAAGUGAGCUGCAGUUUUAGCUGCAACAUCUUUCAAGAUUUCCUGAUGAUCUUCAGUACUCAAAAUCAUGGAGACGUCCUAAGAAUCACAUUCACACACAGAUUUUACUGUAUAGUCAAAGCAAAUGAUUAUCACACUAAAACAUACUUUUAAAUUUCUUCAAUUCUAGUAAAAUCGCAAGUUUGUGUAGGUCAAUACAAUAAUUUGGCAAAUGCUACAUUUUUACUUAAAAAAGUUUUUGCACAUACUAUAUAUGCUAAUAGCCAACAAAUCAUUAGUAGAACUAGAAAAAGCUACAAUAAUGAAGAUCAAAUAAUUGCCAGAUAUGCUUCAAAAUCUAGUCGAAUAGAGGGAAGCAAAGUCCAAAACUUACACUAGGUACAUUAAUCAGUUUAAAUGAAACACUUCACACUUAGACAACAAACCUGACUGUAAAAUUAGAAAGAAAAUAAAAUCUUUCUUUGACUUCAUGAAAUAUAUCAAAGGUUUUUUUUUUUUUUAAUGAAAAAAGUCAGGAGAAUAUCAAAUCAACUAGAAAAAGAUACGUGAGAACUAGAUGGUUCAGUGGAGCUAACAGAAUCAUUCAUAACAUGCAGUAGCUCAGCCUCUGGAUAGCUAAGUGCAAGAGGAACUGCAACACCUCCACUGAGCCAAGUUCCAAGUAUGCCAGCAACAAACUCGGCACAAGGUUUAGCUACAAUGCCUAUCCUAAUUCCACCAAGAUGCUUAUUUCCUUUGAGAUCCACAGCCUGUCAAAAUCCAAUUAUUUGUGCCACGAUCAGAUUCUAAAACUAGAAUGCCUCAGAUCAAACAAAUAUGAAUUGAGGUAAAGGUAUUGCUUUGACACAGUACAAGUAUGAAAUCAUUGGAAUAUUCCCUUUUUCCAACUUGCUAAGCAAUCAUGAUGAAAUAGAGGAAACUUAGAGAGCACCGAUACACUAGUUAUCCAGAAUCACACAUAAACUGAAAGCCAUAAGAGCAGUUCAAUUUUUCAACUCACAGUUUUCAGACCACCAUUGCAUAACAGAGUAGAAAUCCUCCAAGCAGAUGAUAUGAGUUGAUGGUAACUAUAGCUUUUCUGUUCAGAUCUUACGGCAAUGCUCUGCCCUGUUUGAGACCCUUUGCUUGCAACUGCUUUGACCAGCUCCAUCAGCAAAUUACUCCUUGAUGCUGCAUUUUUAAAAGGAAACAACCAUGAUCUAUGCAGGCAAAUUACACGAUAUAGUAUAUCCUCCAUCCUGUUAGCCCUAAUAAUUGAAUUGCUAAAGCAGAAAAGCUCAAAGCACAUUACCGUAUCCAGGCAGUUUCAGAGAGACCACUGUCAUGAAAUACCAAUACCAUCAAAGAGGAAAAAAAUUACUUUCUCCUACUUAAGCAAAACUAGUCCAAAGCCCCCAAAAAUUUCAAAACUUGAUUCACCAAUACCGGAACUUAUGUAUUCCAUAAGUUCCUUACCGCUCCUGCUUUGGCUUGAUAAUCAAAUAUUCCUUCUUCAAUUCCUAACCGUCCCCAUUCCCCUUUCCUGUUUCUCCUUCCACACCUCCCCUUUUUGAUAUACAACUGAUAUUGUAACAGGAUAACAAAAGCAGAGUCCAAUAUACCCCAUUUACACGUACUUACAAACAUAUGAUAUACUAUACGAAGGUCAUAAGUUAAUAAGUCAAACGAAAGGCUAUUAGAUUAUGAAAAGGGCUCUUACCGGAGGAAAGAAACCGAACUUGGGAAGUGGGAUUGGUGGGAUUUUCGCGAAAAACUUGAAGAAGAGGCAGAGGACAUAAAAUUCUGGUCUUGACAAAAGAAGAAGAUGAAUUUUUUGGAAGACGUCUGAGACUAAUAAGUAGCUGGAGCUGGCAGUUGAAGGCUGGCUUGGGAUUAAAUGAAGUCAUACUUAGGUGGGAACAGUAAUUACGGCAAUUACCGCUCAAUUUAUUUAUGGCCACUCUCACCAUAUCAUCACUGCUCACUCAUUCAAACUAAUCGCGCCACAGGUUCAGAUGAACAACCAGCUGAAAUUUUGGUUCACAUUUCUUUAAGAACUGUUCACACUACUUCUAGUUGAUAUUGUAGAUUACAACACAUCAGUAAUAUUUUGGGUAGGUUUGGUUGGAAGCUUUGAUGGAUAUGCUGGUUGAGAGUUUGAGAAGAGACAAUAAACGAAUUGCAUAAAUGUCGUAAAACACAGGCGGGCUCUUUGAAAACUUUUAUUCAUUUGUUUAUUUGAAUAUAAUAUUAUUCAUAAGAUAUGCAGGGGAUACGAAAAGGUUAAUAGAUAUUUCUUAAUUAGUUAUUAAAUUUUUGUAUGAUUAAAAACCUAAAAAUAUAUAUCUAUGUUUAAUUAACUACCAGAUAUGCAAAAAUAUUUUUUCUCCAUAAACAAAUAUUAAGUUUCUGACAGCAUUAAUUAAGUAACAAGUAAAAUAACACUAAAUAAAGCUAAUAAAUAUGGAUAAAAUAGAAAGUGUAUUUAUAAAUAAAAAUACAGUUUGAUAGAAUAGAAAGGAAAAUAAUAACAAAAAAUAAUUCAAAUUUAUCAAAAUGGACUAAGUUGCUAGGAGAGAGAGAGAUUGUGAGAAAUUUUGAUUAGAGAAGAGUUGGAUGUGAAUAUGGAUAAAAUCCAAAUAUCUAAAUGACCCACCAAUUCUCUUCAAUUAGCAUCCUGCCUAGGAAAGAGAAAAUGAAUAAUUAAAUUAACAAAAUAUAGAUUCAUUAUUACUUCAGAAUUCUACAAAUUUAUGUAAAAAAUACAAUAAUUGAGCUGAACAGGAAAGAAUCAACUGCAGAGGCCCCUUGUGCGAGUGUCUAGCCUCUUUCUUGAAGCAGAGCGUUCUUAAGACGUAUAAUUGCAACUAGGACGGGUUGAGUUUGUGGCUUACUUAUGAUUUGCACAUUCAACUGUGAUCAGCAUUUUUCAGAUAAACAUAAUAAUCUUAGCAUUGAAAUACCUCACACGAUUAAUUUGAAGUACAUUAUUCAUAUCAGCUAAAAACUAGUAACAAAAUUUAAUAGCUUUUUUUUUUUUUGGAAUAAAAAGUCUUUAAAAUGCCUCGAUGAAGGAGAGGAUUUUAGUGAACGGAAACAGAUUAGGCGUACCCAAGUCCUUUUUUUAUUUUAUAGAAUGAAAGAAAAAUCUAUUGAUAUUCAACUAAUUCGGAAGCAAUAUGAAACAAAUUGCUAAUAUAAGGUAUAAAAAUGCUAAAUUUGAUAACUUAAAGCAGAAAUCAGAAUUGCUAAAAUUGACAAUUUAUAAAUGCUGAUAAAGGGCUUCGACGCCUCUAUUUCUGUUGCAUAUAUGGCAUCCCAUAAAGAUGUUCUUUUUAUUUUUUUUUUCCAGGGUCUCCUACGCUAGGAGGAGGGGGCGGACUUAAGAAAGUCCAGAAUAACUCGGAAGAAACUGAAUCACCACCGGACCAAAUGGAUGCACUGCGCACCAGUCUAAACUUUUUGAUUAAAAUCACUUUUUAAUGUGGCAAUUGAUGGGCGUUUAGGAUUCCAAUAAGAUUUAAUGAUUUAGUGGUGGCGAACAGCCCAAAGCUGGUGGUUCCAUAAAGAGGUUCAUGUGAAGGCGAAUUAUAUAUAUAUAUAUUUUUUUUCAUCACAGUGUGAAGGCGAAUUAUAUAUGGGUCGUAACUUACUCGUUACUACUAUUACAAGGCGCGGAAGUUUUGUAAUUUUGUUGUACGUAUGGCACGGAUGACGCGAUUAUAAGGGCUUAAGAGUUAACGCCUUCUCGUUUGUUGAAAAAAAAAAAAAAGAGUUAACGCCUUCUGAUAUUAAAGCGUGGUGCUAGAAGUAAAGGUGGGUACCUUCCGGUUGACGACUUGGUUUGGUGGAAGAAUCGUGCUCUCCAGUGGAAAAUGUUAAAGGAGCCUCUGUUCAUCCAUUAGAGUUAGAAUUGGAUGAGAUCCUGUAAUGCUUCAGUUUGGCAUUUUAGAGUUCAAUGAAAGACGAGAAUUUCUUAGCCAGCAAGGUUUCAAAUCAACUCGAAACGAGCUCUAAAGGGACGUUAAUCUAUAGUUUGUCUGCUGGUAAAAAGAGCCGGCCUCCAAGUUGUAACAAACAACACAAAUGUUUACUGCAAAAAGAUCUGCACUUUCACGCUUAGACCGACCUUAUUCUGUUUACAGUUCACAAGCACACAACUCGUAGACUUCUUGUGGUACAGAAUUCAGAGUCAACAUUGUAUCAACCAACGAAACCUGACAAUCUUUACUUGGACAUGGACUGAACAGAGGGAGGAUUUGUUGCAUGUGGAUAUCCAUACUUCAUUCCUUGUUGUCGAGCGAGGAUUCUAUUCCAGCCUGCAAAGCAAUUUCCCAGGUUGUUACCACCACGAUAUUGAGUAGCUAAAUGAACUAAAGAGUUUGGUGAGUUGUGACUAGUGUCCAUGCUAUGCUGAGUUUACCAAUGCUCAGAAUAUAUUCUCAUAAAUCGAAAGUAGAAGUACCUAAAGCAGGAUCAAGAUCCCUGUUCCUGAGCUCUCGAAAUUCCUGACAAAGUGAACAAUAGGAGCAAAAGAUGUGAGAAAAUACAUCUUGAUAAGGGGCUUCAACUAGACCAUAUCUGGUUCUCAGUUUUGUUCUAUAUUUGGAACCCAUGAUCCAUUGAGAGCAGAGAGCAGGCAUCAUCAAGAGGUAAAUGAAAGUGCCCACAGGACUAGCUGCAACCAUCAAUCAAACAUGAAUCAGCUUGAGCUUAGUUUGGUGAAAUUUUAAAGACUCAGUCAAAUCAGAACCCAAGAACAGAGGCCAUACUCAGUUCUCCGGCAUCUAGGACUUCUGCUAUCUGACCAAAUGUCACGCAGGGGCAGCAUACAGUCAUACCGGCUGCCAAAUAAUAUCAGAUCAUUUUUAAAGUGAGGAAGGAGAAAUAUGUAAAGAUCAGAUCUAGAGUUGAUCAUCAUUCAUCAAAGAAGCAACAGACAGAGAAAUCACGAAUUACAAAUUUAUGAUAGUGUUUCUGACUGUUAGUCAUCAACGUUCUUUUCAGUAAAAUAAUCAACCAGCUUCAAUUUUCGGAACCGUCCACCAAGAAAUAUUUGUCCAGAAACCACAAUUCAUGCAAUCUUCAUCCUAAUUGAACUUCUUUCUGUGCAUAUUGUAGUUUGUUAAGAAAUUGAAAUUCCCGUGGUGAAAUACCUUUCCAGAGUGAUUCAAAGGACUUUAUUUCGCAUGUUCCCAUAAGCCUUGGUUUCUAACAGGCCACAACCCCAUCCCCAACCAUCGCUUGCCCUCUCCAUCGUUACCGUCCAAUUCUUCACCGCCAAAAUAUAUAUAUAUAUAUAUAGUUUAUUCAUUCCAUUCUAAACACGAAGUCCAAAUGUCUUGAGCUUCUGGACAAUGAUAUAUCUGGUUUUGAGAUUGACUCUAAUCUGGUUUAUCUUCAGUUACUAAGAACAACUGGAGAGAACAAACAAGAAAGAGCGAUUACCAUUUGUUUUGUCUUCAUGGCAGUCGAACAAGCCUGUACUCCAUGGGCUUCCUACGAAAGUAGGCGGUGCCAGCGACACUCCUCCUCCUUGUGCUACUGGAGGAAAUGAGACCACUGCUUCUCCUCCCUGUUUUGGAUCAGUUUCUACUGCUACAUCUGUGGCUUCCACUUUAAAUUUUAAAGUCACGAUCAUUGUUAAGGAUGCUUUAUAUCUUUCUCGUUCUGCUCACCACAAAACGAGAAAUAUGCUGGAAGUAGAUGGCAUGCCAACUGCUUUCAUAUAUUUAUCAUACGCUCUUUAGUAGUAGUAUGUGCCAAUGCCUAUCUUCUUGAUUUUUUUUAUUUUUAUUUUUUCAUUUUUUGGAUGGCGGCCUUCUUCAUUCGGAGCAAGUCGUCGAAAAGUCAAUGUGAUGCACAAUAAUAUCUUUCACGAUAGAUAGAUUAUAGAAUAUGGAGCUAGAAAGUAAUGGGUAAGUAGCUGAAAAAUAUACAAUUUCUGACUGGAAGUUCAGUCCAAGUUUCCUAUCAAAUCCAGCCAGUUGCACCAGCGACAAAGCAAAUAAAACUUGGAAUUUCCCCGUUUUCUAGAAGCUGGGUUUAUGGCGGGCAUUGCCGUCUUAAUUACUGGAAUAUUAAGCAAAAAAUUACCAUGCCCGACUUUCCAAUAGAAUUAUUUUUCUUCGUCAGAUACAAGUACAAAAGUUUUCAGCAAGCAGUCAAGGAAGUGAAACUGGGACUGUUAUGAAGUGAAAUCAAAAGAAGAAUCCUUCUGUUCUGAACGUAGUAGUAAUCGCCCCCAUUAAUUGAUGCAGUCAUUAUUCCGAACAAUUUCUAACUGCUGCAAAUACAGCAUCUAAUCUAAUAACGAUACAAGGUUAUGCUAACUCUAAAAUAGUUGCUAAAAAUUGCAGCAGAGAGGCCUUGCUAUUUGCUCACAGAACGUACCAGGCACUAUACGAGAGUAUUGCAGGGUCACGCCAUUAAGUGAAGUGUAUGCUUCGGAUUGUUCUCUCUCCCGAAUGUCCUCUAGCCAUACACCUCCGCAGAAUAACAGUGAAAUGACCACAAAAUAAGAAUAAAUUCUACAUAUUUUAACCAGCAUUUGAUCAGUAAUUGCUCAAAUUUCUCUUGAAGCUAAUGUCCCAUAAUUAUAGAACCCUUGUAACUCAGGAUCCAUAGCUUCAUAACCUUGUAUUAAUCGUGUAUACAUAGUUGGAACCUGCAUCAUGCAAAGGGAAAACAUGAACUACACCAUUAAAAUGACAAAAGCUCUCCGGAAAUUACAGGUAUAUUGAAUGACUUCAAACAGGUAUAAUUAUUGUUGCCUCAUGAGGAACCAUCCUGAGAAUAUAAGUAAAUAACGUGGUUAUUUAUAACCACCUAGAGACAUAGAAUUAUGACAUUACAUAAGCAGCAUAUUUCUCACUUCCCCCUGUAAAUACAGUUAUAGCAUCAUCAACUUUUGUCUCUUUUCUUGGAUAUGAUUCCCGCCAUCCCUGCCAAAUUCCCCCAACGCUAAAUUUUGGCAUGAACUCCACCUUUAAAAAAAAAAAAGGGACAAGCAAUAUCACAAGUGCUGCAACAAGACAUUAUUGAUUCUUUGGCAGGAAAGUUAUAGCAUAAAUUUGCAGUAUAAUUUCCGUUACAACUUUGAACAUGUGGAAAUAUAUAAGAACUUACCACAGAACCAGCGUAUAGAGGAGCAAGCAAAGCAUUGAAAAGGCCGUGCACAUGUUGGUAGAAGUUAAGGCUAGACAUAUAACCAACAUUUCAUCGAACUUAUACAGCAUAUCAACCCAGCAAAUAGGAGAAGAGAUGGGAAAAGCAAAUAGGUGAGUACUCCCAAGCAUUUGCCAACAUUUGAACCUGAAAUUAAGCAAACCAUCGUAAUGAUUAUUUCAAGGUGAAACAGAAGUGCAAUGAAAAGGAAAUACGCUUCAGUCAAAACCUAACAGUUCCAACUUCCAAAAAGCACACUUUAGAAAGAAAGAGUUGACAGCAAGCAUUUUGCAUUAUGCAAGUAAAAUUGACAACAUAUUGCUCUGCCUUGUACGUGAAAGAAGAGCAUUGCAUGGCAAUCAAUUUUUGUUGUCUUAUUAUAACGCAUAUUCACCAUACAAGCACAUCUUACCCUGCCAAAAGUCUGACAUUUUCCAGAUUAAGGAAAGGUCUAGAGUAAUUGGAAAAACUAAAAGAACAUUUUCCCAUUUCAUUUUGUUUUAGACCAAGUACACACAAUAUAAAUGACAGGCAAGUAAUAAAAAUACCUGAGCCAAGAUGCUUCUGUGUGCAUGAACAACUCCUUUUGGUUUACCUGUUGUGCCGCUAGUGUACAGUAUUAAUGCCGGUUUCUCAUCUACAUUUGGACAUGAAAGUCAGCAAAGAGAAUACUGUAAUUUGAGCAUUUAAACUUGUCGUAAACAUACACAAAACCAAAGGCAAACACCUUCGAUCUCACUAAAGUUUUCUAUUCCCUGUACCCGCUCAAUAACAUUCAGCUCUCCGUUAUGUGACUGAUCAAGCUCAGUUGAUGUGCUAACAACAGGAGGAAGAAGAGAAAAGUGAGCUGCAGUUUUAGCUGCAACAUCUUUCAAGAGUUCCAGGCAGUUUCAGAGAGACCAUUGUCAUGAAAUACCAAUACCAUCAAAGAGGAAAAAAAUUACUUUCUCCUACUUAAGCAAAACUAGUCCAAAGCCCCCAAAAAUUUCAAAACUUGAUUCACCAAUACCGGAACUUAUGUAUUCCAUAAGUUCCUUACCGCUCCUGCUUUGGCUUGAUAAUCAAAUAUUCCUUCUUCAAUUCCUAACCGUCCCCAUUCCCCUUUCCUGUUUCUCCUUCCACACCUCCCCUUUUUGAUAUACAACUGAUAUUGUAACAGGAUAACAAAAGCAGAGUCCAAUAUACCCCAUUUACACGUACUUACAAACAUAUGAUAUACAAUACGAAGGUCAUAAGUUAAUAAGUCAAACGAAAGGCUAUUAGAUUAUGAAAAGGGCUCUUACCGGAGGAAAGAAACCGAACUUGGGAAGUGGGAUUGGUGGGAUUUUCGCGAAAAACUUGAAGAAGAGGCAGAGGACAUAAAAUUCUGGUCUUGACAAAAGAAGAAGAUGAAUUUUUUGGAAGACGUCUGAGACUAACAAGUAGCUGGAGCUGGCAGUUGAAGGCUGGCUUGGGAUUAAAUGAAGUCAUACUUAGGUGGGAACAGUAAUUACGGCAAUUACCGCUCAAUUUAUUUAUGGCCACUGUCACCAUAUCAUCACUGCUCACUCAUUCAAACUAAUCGCGCCACAGGUUCAGAUGAACAACCUGCUGAAAUUUUGGUUCACAUUUCUUUAAGAACUGUUCACACUACUUCUAGUUGAUAUUGUAGAUUACAACACAUCAGUAAUAUUUUGGGGAGGUUUGGUUGGAAGCUUUGAUGGAUAUGCUGGUUGAGAGUUUGAGAAGAGACAAUAAACGAAUUGCAUAAAUGUCGUAAAACAUAGGCGGGGUUUUUAUACGAGUCCGGGUUCGAAGUUUUGUCCAGCUUGUCCAUUUGUGCAAUUGAUUAACAAACUUGUCCAUUUGUGCAAUUGAUUAACAAAAAUGGGAGUGUAAAUAAUAUUUUCUUGAACAAAAUAGAAUUUUGGUGUAAAUUUAAAUUUUGUCCAAUCAUAUAUAAUUAACAAGUAUUUUAACCUGUGCAUUAGCAUGAUUUUUUGUAUUAUUAUUAGUUGUGAUUUUAUGGAAGCAUAAAUAAUUUUAAAAAAUAAAAUAAUAUUCUUACAUACACAUGAAUAUUUAAGUGUUCAGAUAACAUAUUAAUCUUUGAAAACUUUUAUUCAUAUGUUUAUUUGAAUAUAAUAUUAUUCAUAAGAGAUGCAAGGAAUACGAACAGGUUAAUAGAUAUCUCUUAAUUAGUUAUUAAAUUUUUGCAUGAUUAAAAACCUAAAAAUAUAUAUCUAUGUUUAAUUAACUACCAGAUAUGCAAAAAUAUAUUUUCUCCAUAAACAAAUAUUAAGUUUCUGACAACAUUAAUUAAGUAACAAGUAAAAUAACACUAAAUAAAGCUAAUAAAUAUGGAUAAAAUAGAAAGUGUAUUUAUAAAUAAAAAUAUAUAGUUUGAUAGAAUAGAAAGAAAAAUAAAAACAAAAAAUAAUUCAAAUUUAUCAAAAUGGACCAAGUUGCUAGGAGAGAGAGAGAGAUUGUGAGAAAUUUUGAUUGGAGAAGAGUUGGAUGUGAAUAUGGAUAAAACCCAAAUAUCUAAGUGACCCACCAAUUCUCUUCAUUUAGCAUACUGCCUGGGAAAGAGAAAAUGAAUAAUUAAAUUAACAACUUUCUUUUGGAUAUAUAGAUUCAUUAUUACAUCAGAAUUCUACAAAUUUACGUCAAAAUUGUAAAAAUUACAAUAAUUGAGCUGAACAGGAAAGAAUCAACUGCAGAGGCCCCCUCAUGCGAGUGUCUAGCCUCUUUCUUGAGGCAGAGCGUUCUUAAGACGUAUAAUUGCAACUAGGACGGGUUGAGUUUGUGGCUUACUAUGAUUUGCACAUUCAACUGUGAUCAGCAUUUUUCAGAUAAACAUAACUAAUCUUAGCAUUGAAAUACCUCACACGAUUAAUUUGAAGUACAUUAUUCAUAUCAGCUAAAAACUAGUAACAAAAUUUAAUAGCUUUUUUUUUUUUUUUGGAAUAAAAAGUCUUUAAAAUGCCUCGAUGAAGGAGAGGAUUUUAGUGAACGGAAACAGAUUAGGGGUACCUAAGUCCUUUUUUUAUUUUAUAGAAUGGAAAGAAAAAUUUAUUGAUAUUCAACUGAUUCGAAACAAUAUGAAACAAAUUGCUAAUAUAAGGUAUAAAAAUGCUAAAUUUGUUAACUUAAAGCAAAAAUCAGAAUUGCUAAAAUUGACAAUUUAUAAAUGCUGAUAAAAGGCCUUCGAGGCCUCUAUUUCUGUUGUAUAUAUGGCAUCCCAUAAAGAGGUUCUUUUUAUUUUUUUUUUCCAGGGUCUCCUACACUAGGCGGAGGGGGCGGACUUAAGAAAGUUCAGAAUAACUCGGAAGGAACUGAAUCACCACCGAACCAAACGGGUGUACUACGCACCCGCCUGAAUUUUUUGAUCAAAAUCACUUUUUAAUGUGGCAAUUGAUGGGAGUUUAGGAUUUUAAUGUUUUGGUGGUAGCCACCAGCCUGAGGUUCAUGUGAGGGCGAAUUGUAUAUGGGUCGUACCUUACUCGUUACUACUAUUACAAGGCGCGGAAGUUUUGUAAUUUUGUUGUACGUAUGGCACAGAUGACGCGAUUUAUAAGGGCUUAAAAGUUAACGCCUUCUGAUAUUAAAGCGUGGUGCUAGAAGUAAAGGUGGGUAUCUUCCAGUUGACGACUUGGUUUGGUGGAAGAAUCGCGCUCUCCUGUGGAAAAUGUCAAAGCAGUCUUUGUUCAUCCAUUAGAGUUAGAAUUGGUUGAGAUCCUUCUAAUGCUUCAGUUUGGCUUUUUAGAGUUCAAUGAAAGACGAGAAUUUCUUAGCCAGCAAGGUUUCAAAUCAACUCGAAACGAGCUCUAAAGGGACGUUAAUCCAUAGUUUGUCUGCUGGUAAAAAGAGCCGGCCUCCAAGUUGUAACAAACAACACAAAUGUUUACUGCAAAAGGAUUUACACUUUCACGCUUAGACCGACCUUAUUCUGUUUACAGUUCACACACGCACUUGCACACACACAACUCGUAGACUUUCUUAUGGUAGAGAAUUCAGAGUCAACAAUGUAUCAAACAAUGAAAUCUGACAAUCUUUACUUGGACAUGGACUGAACAGAGGGAGGAUUUGUUGCAUGUGGAUAUCCAUACUGCAUUCCUUGUUGUC
rnacentral:lncRNA from 1 species